UUAAGCUUUGGUAACUUGUCAAUACCACGAGGCACCUCUGUCAGUUCGCGAAUCCUGAAUAACUUGAGCUUUUCGAGAGAAGGCAAUGCUCCAUCUUCAAUUACGAUGGAUUUCAAUUGAUACAAAUCUGCCAGUAGUAUUUGCUUUAGGUUUGGAAACCCCCUGUUUGGAAACUGCACAACUUCACUAUUGUAUGCAUGAAGGAGUAUACUAAGGUGCGUCAAAUUUGGUAGAUCUUUAAGUAGUGGCAAUGGAUCAUGUGUCAAGUCGGUGAAUGACAAGGACAACGUAACAAGAUUUUGGAGCUUGGCAACCCAGUUUGGGAACUUCUUUAACCGCCCCAUAAGACGAACCUUCUGAAGUACAGGUGCCAAUACAUCAAAAUGCAAAUCCAUCUUCGUACGAUAACUUGUUGUAGUAAUAUAUAACUUCUCCAGGUGUUGCAUCUUGUUUAUCAAGGAGCACAGAAAACUUUUGAAUCUUGGCUCAACUUGUGUCAAGCCCAACACCCUUAAUUGUGUAAGUUUUUCCAACCCUUUUACUACUUCUUCUGUAUUAUGGCUGAUGUUCACUCUACGUAGUGUUUGUAGGGAUGUUAGAUCUCCAAUGCCACCAUCCAUUUUAAGCCCUUCAAAAUCACUCAGAAGGUGUCUUAACUUUUUAAGCUUGUAGAUCUCCCUUGGCAUCACAUGCACAUAAGUUUCUCUUAGAUCCAAUGUUUCAAGGUUGUGCAGCUCACCAAUUAAUUUUGGAAGAUGGACUAUCUUCGAACAUAAGCUUAAGUACCUCAAAAAUGAUAAGUCCCCCAAACUUUCGAUGCGCGGAAAAUCGUCCAUUGGAGCACCUGCAAAUUGAAGCACCCUUAAUAGCCUGUACUUUGUAGGCAUACUCUUUACCAAGGAUUCUGACAAUUCUUCAUCACUGAAAACAUGAAGUGAUCGAAUGUUCGAGCUUUCAACACUUCCCGUCAAAUUGUUGGAACCAGAUGCUAUUGUUAGGCGACGAAUCAUCCCACUUCUGGACAAGUUCCCACGCUCACUAGCAGAAUGGCAAAAGCUUAAAUCUUGAUUCUUCUCGCGGAUCAUUUCACGUACUACGUCAUGAACACGACACCUUUUAAUUUUGCCAAACUUUGUAAAUGAAGAUACUUGAACCAAACUUCUUUGGAUCAACUCAUUCAAAUAUUUUUCUGCCACUUCUUCUAAAGUUUGUGCCGCUUCAUCAGAUUUGACAAACCCCUCAGCUACCCAUUGUAGAAUCAAUCUCCCGCACUCAACUUCAUAAUCUUCCGGAUAUAUUCCGAAAUACAAGAAGCAUGGUUUGAGAUGGUAAGGCAAAUCAUAAUAACUUAAACCCAAAAUCUUUGUCACGGGAGUUAAUUUGGGAUGCUUUCCUAAUUCUGAACUUAGAUUCUCACUAAAUCUUUGCCAUUCACGGGCAUCUCUACUUUUGCGAGAUAAAAGGCCACCAGUGGCCACAAUAGCUAGUGGUAAACCUUCACACUUUUUAACAAUUUCAGUUGAUAUGCCCUUAAGAUUGUUUGGACAAUGCCCAUCUAAUUCAGAUCCAAAUGCCGUUUUACAAAACAAUUCGAAAGAUUUGUCAUCAGUUAAAGGUUGCAACUGAUGCACUUGAACAAGAGAAGAUGUCCUACAAGACUCUGCAACCUCACGGUGCCUGGUUGUGAUUAUUAUCCUACUUCCAUUUUCAACAUCAACUAAAGCAAAUUUCAUUUCCUCCCAAAAAUUUUCAUUCCACACGUCAUCAAACACGACAACAUACCUAUUGUGGCUCAAGUGAUUUCUCACCUCACGUAUCAACGAUGCUUUAUCCAUUGUAGAAUCCUCUCUUUUUUCUGCUUCUAGAAACUUGAGCAACAACCCUUCUAUGGUGUAUGACUGAGACACUGUGAUCCAGACAUGGCGAGGGAAGUGUGUCUGGACUUUGUCAAAAACUUUCUUGGCAAGAGUAGUUUUUCCACUUCCUCCCAUUCCUACCACAGAGACAACAGUGAGCUUUUUCCGCCCCUCUUUCAACCAUCUUUCCAAUGUGUGUCUAGGGCGGUCAAAGCCCACAACCUCAGCCUCCUUAAGAAACAGAGGAGCCAUUCGAAGGUUGUCGAAGGUGAUGUUUUGGUUUCCUCCAGAAGAUUGAAUUUGGGAGCAAUCCUCAGUUUUGUUCCUCUCCUUGAUCCCACGAAAUUCUGAUUUCACGUCCUGGUUCAUGUAUGCAAAUUGAAGACGAGAGGCCGUAGUUUUGACGAAAUCAAUAGCCUUACAAGGUAAAGAUGCACAUCCAGGAUCAUCAGCAAGCUGCCUUUCCUCAUGGAUAAUGUAUUCAUCAACGAUAUCUUCCAUGCAAAAAGAUGUUUCCACCAGCUGCUUCACCUUUGCUUUGAGACCAUCACGUGAGUUGCCUUCUUCAGCUGCUGCCAUCUUGUCGACAUCAUGAAUCAUGGCUUGAAUCCCAUCAAGUUUGUCGUUCAUGUCUGCAGCAUCUUUUGGAACCUCCAUGACUGAAUUCACUGCUUUCUUUAAGGGUGGAAGCAAAUAAUCAACAGCCAAGGACACUGCAAUUUCUUGCAAUUUCUGCAUCUUAGUAUAGAUCUAGUUUCUGCUAUUGUUAUGUGUUGAGAGUGAGAUGAGAAGAAAGUAAAGUGUGUCUUUCAAGAGGAAGACAUUCACUUUCCCUUGGUCAUUCUUUAGCGUUCAAUUAUUGAGCAAGUUGCACGUAGGGCAUAGUCAAUGAGAUUGUCUUAUUGCUGAUCUGUUAAUGUAAUUAAACAAAUAAAAGAAUUAGUGAGGAGCAAGUUGCAGGAGCGUACCCAGUGAGAUUGUGAUUGUAAUUUACCAAUAGAAAAAAAAAUGUCACACUUUGGAAAUACACGUAAUUCUGAGCAUCUUUUAAAAAAACUUUUCUAAGAUGUUUCUUUGCCGAUGGAUGUAAAUAUUUUGCUUACUUUUACUGAACAAAACUUAGGAAGAAAGGAACUAAAAUAUUCAGAAAGGAACUAAAAUCAUUUUAUGACUUAUUUUUUCCUUUUCUACUUUACGAGUUCUUAAAUAAUUUAGAAAAAGAUUACCCUAAAGGUUCGUUUGCCCCCAAACUUGUAUAUAAUUUCGCAUUUUUGGUAUUGCACUUUAAUCAGAAUUAGAGUUUUAGUUUGAUAAUCUAUGUUAACUUUUAAUGCAAACUUUUAUUAUGUUUAUUAUUGAAAUAAAUUAUAAUUUUGAUUGGAAGAGAAUACGACAAGUACCUAUAUACUGCAUCAACUUGUCCUUUUGCUGAAUAGGUAUAUAGUAUGAAAUUACUACGAUUGCGUAGUCCUAAGCCAAACUAAUAUCUACGUGCCACCAGAGUUUUAUUAACUCUUGUCAUAAAUUGAAAAUCUUUGGCUGAUUUGUAUAUAUAUUGGCCGGAAUCAUAGACAUGUGAGUAUGUGACAUCAGAACGUACAAUAUAUUUUUUUAUAUUAAAAAUAUUUUGAGUAGUGUCUCGUCAUCUUAAAUAUAUACAUAGCAAAUAACCAUAACCAAUAUCAAACCCACAAGAAACAUCACACACUAUACCAUACAGGUGACACAUGAAACAAUUUUGUACUAACAAAUGGUCAGAGUGAUAGUGCUGCUUAUUAUGAAGUGCAUCUCAAAAUUUUACCACUUAAAUGCUUAUGAUCAAAUUUGAACUUCUAUGCCUUCCUUCAACAAAUGCUCUUUUACCGACUGAAUAGGCACCUGCAAUUAAAAUGAUUUGGUUUGGGGAAACGUUUUGUUAUCAUUUUUUGAAAUGUUACCUUGCUUUCACUUUGUUCAUUUUAAAAAAAACAAAUUGCAUAAAAAAUAGUGAAAACAGGAAAUAACAAGUUGUUUUUACUGUUUACCGUACAAACUUUUAAAAUCAACAAAACAAAGUGAAAAUAAAAUAGCAUUUUUAUAAUUUAAAGUGAAAGCAAAAACUGAAAAUAAAAAACAUUUUCUCAAACCAAAUGAUCCCAUAGUUGUUUGUGGUAUUUUUAAAAGACAAAGGGUUUUCUAAAACCGAAAAUUGCCUAAAAAAAUUUCAGAUAAUUAGACAAGUUAUUAAAAAAGUAAAGUUUUGGUACUUUCAAGAAAAGAAACAGUAUCUUCUCAAAGAAGCACUAAAAAAUCCAUAUCAUAGAAAUUUUUGCUUCAGAACUAUCCAAACACACACAUGAUAAUAAUAAAUGAAAAUGAAUCAAUACAAUAAUUGAUCCGUAACAUAACAUGGUUAACAAAUCAAAAUCAUUCCCAUCAGCAUUAAGAAAUUACCAAAACAGAAGCAAUACCGCUUUCCUGUGAAAAAUGCCGGCAGCAAGUGCUACUGUUUCAUUUGUUUUAUAGAACACCUCAGAGAAGUGUUGAGGAGCACCAGCACCGCUACUUGCAAUAACAGGGAUACUUACAGCAUCUGAUAUCAAUUUAAUUAAAUCUACAUCAAAUCCUUUUCCUUGACCUGAAAUAUUGACAAAAGUAAAAUGAAAUUAGAAUAAAAGAAACAUUUUAUUAAAUAUAUAAUCAAAUUACCCCAAAAUGUCUUACAUUUUUUCAAAUAGAAAAAUGUUUAUAAGAGUAAAAAGAGGGAAAGUACAAAUAGGAGGAAGAAUAAAAGAUCAUACAGAAAUAGGAAAAUUUAGACAAAAACAUAACAACGAACAAGAAAAAAAUUCAUGAAUGCAACAAGACACUCCAAUCUCAUUGCACAUAAGAAAUAAUUAAAACAGCCUUAAGAAUGAAUCAAAUAGAGGACAUACCCAUACCUAUACUGAUAAUAUUAAUCCACAAUUCCGCAUAACAGGUAGAGGGUCAAGGUAGAGGGCAUAUAUCUUAUUUUACUCUCCCUCAAUUGUGAAGACUGGACUAGUAAUGAGUCAUCACUCAUCACACCUUUGAAAAUAGUUCAAGAAAAGAGAAAGUCAUUUUUAUCCCCCUUUAGUGUCCAUAUAUUGCAAAUAAGAAAGUCAUUCUAUUUUAUAAAAUUUAUGGAUGAUGAAAAUGGUCUAGACAACAGUCAAAAUUCUGAAAAUAAAUAAUUUUUAAAAUUAAUUAAAAAAAAACUGCUUUUACAAGUAAAUGACAAAAGCCUUAUUCCAUUAGGUAAGGCCAAUUACAUGAAUUACACAAUGUCAUUUGGAGUAGUGUUCAAAGAAAAAACCAAACUGCACUUAGUGAAAAGAAAAUAUAGUGAAAUAUAGUUAAAGGAUACAAAAUUAUAUUUACCAUCGCAAUCAAUGCAAUUACGUAGUAUUUCACCGGCGCCAAACUCUUCAACUGCUUUUGCUAGUUCAUAAGCACCAACUGGCCGGCCUUCUCGUUUCCCAUUAACCUUACAAUAAACAUAAGUAAUGAGAUAAGAAAAAUAAAUUAAUACUGCAGGAAGUAAGAAGUCAAAUGACUAACUAUCUUCAUUUUUUCACAUCAAAAGAAAUUCCAAGAGAUCCAUGAAUUAGAAUCUCAUGAUAACCAUUGACUAAAAAAAUAGAAGGCUAGAUGCACGAGGAAAGUGAUGAUCGUAGUCCCCUUCUAGUAUUGCAAACAUAACCAGCAGCACUAAUUACAUACAAGUAGAGAUAAAAUAAACUUACUGUACAUUGAUACCAUGCAUAUUCUUCUCCAUUUGGACCUGAAACAACAUAAAAUGGUUUUUGAAUAUUUUUAAAUUUAAUAUAUUUCACAUAAAAGAGCACUAUCAGACCUUAUUUACUUUAACUAGAAAUCGAAUUAGAAACUAAUUACCCUACUGCACACUAGAGCACAUUUCCUCCCCCACCCUCCACCCCCAAUACCAUAAUAGAGUACUGUAUACAGCUCAAUAUGAUAGAGUACAAACAUAAGAAGUCCCUACUUCAAAUUCAAACAAUUGGUAGGCAUAAUUCUUUAGGACCACCUUAAAAGAGGUCAGAUCAGCCUCUUAUUAAUUAGACUCUUAUUAGAGUAAGAAUUUAGAUAAUUCAGAGCCAUAAAAUAUAAAAUAAAGGAAAAGAAAAAGCAAGCUCUUCACCUGAAUUUGAAACCCUUAUGGUCUUCAAUUGCACAUCAUUAUGAUCCUUUACAUACACUCUAUGGGGAUCGAUACUACCGACCACUGCCUGCAAAUUGAAAAUUAAUUGGAAUGUAGACAAUUGAUUCCAUAUAUGCAUACACACUGAUGAACUAUUGUUAAAGAAUAAUGCCAAUCAUUUACAUAUCAGUUCAGGGAAGAGGUUCUUUAACAUCUCCCUGAAAAACAUUAACAAAUGUCAAAAUAUAUGCCCUACCUCUACAAGAAUCUUAAAAGAAGAUACAGACAUCCAACACUUGUAUUUGUAAUCACUCUUUUGUCAUCAUUCACAUUCACAGAAACUUUAAAUUCAUUUUUUUCUUGCCAACAUAUAGUGAUGAUGGAACAAAUUGCAGUUGGUGCAAAGGAAAAAGGGAUAGGAAAUUUAGAUGCCAGAUGAAACCAAUUUGAAACAAAAGCAUGACAGCAACUAUAACUGGUAAAUAAUUGGCCUGUCCUCAUCCCCUUUGGAUUAGUAUAAUCUAUUAUCAAUAGACACUGAACCCAAAAAAACUUAAUACAAUACUAGAGUACAAUGAGUUUGACGAGGUCUAAUUUGAAUUUAGUGAAUUAUUUAACAAUUUACUUUCUCCUAAACAUAAGAUAAGAGCAUGUACCACAGUUUUCUAAAAGAUAAACUGAAGUGCUUAUCCCAAUUAUCAAUCCAAGCUACCCAAUAGCUACAUCUAAUAAAGCUGAUCGCCAAGUGGAGUACAACACUUCCUAAUUUUUGUCAUGUGAUGUGGUUAUGCCCAAGACAGUUAGUGAUACGAGUACAGAGAACACAGAGUUUGGGAAGGAAGACGCUGAGGAAGAAGAUGAUCUGAGUAAGAUGGGAGAAGAGGAUAGAGGGGUGCAAAGAGAAGGAAAGCCCAAAAGGAAGGUUCUCAAGCCCAAUUAUCUAAAGGAUUAUGUUUAGGAGAGAAUACUUCAUCAUACUUAGCCUUAUGCCUAACAAAUAGGAAAAUUACGAAUAUAUACUCAUUCAAAGGAUAAUGACAAGCAAUUCUGUUAUAUGCAUAUUCUAGAAUUAUUCCCGAAAAGACAGCUCAGCAUAAUUCUGUUACUAGACCAUCUAUAUAAUAUCAUGUAAAUAAAGCAUAAGGCAAUGAGAAGAUAUUUUUCCUUAAUUACCUUCUUCUUCUUCAUCUCUUCUGUGGAGGGUCUGGACCUCGAAAUCCAGAAGCUAUCAGUUAGUUAACUAGUUGUAUCAAAUAUAUCCCUUGAUUAUAAUAAUUACGUAAAAUAAGAAAUUUGAAUCAAAUAUGUCCUAAGUUAUAAGCUGUAAUAUAGAAAAAAUCAAUGGCUAGUCUAACGGUUUCAAACAACGACAUAUAUCAUUUGCAUCAAACACGAAACUUCUUCAUUAACAUUAUAAAAUAGGUUCCAAAAUUAUCUUGGUACACAACUUUGGAACCAUUUCAAUCCGGAUCAACCUUAGCAGAGACCAGGUUAAUUGUCCCAAGAGUAGCAUCCAUUGUUUUUCAAAAGUUUUUAAGAUAAUAUUAAGAAUAAUCAUAGAAGAAAUUAAUAAUAGUACUGGCACAUGUAGCAAUUAGGUAGACUAAAAAAUAGUACAUUCCUUGUUUUCCACAAUAAAGUAAUGUUUUUGUAUUCCAACAUGCCGAAGACUACCAUCCAUUCAGCAUGUAUACAGCUAAAAGGAAUAGUUAAUUAAACCAACUUCAUUCCAAUUUUAGGAUUUCUUUGAUUCUCCGUCUAAACUAAACUUGGCAGCGCAAAUUAAAAAUCAAUUCACCACACAGCACAUUAUUGGUAGAAAAGGUUGUUGAGACUAAAAGAAAAUGAAAAGCAAAAAUUAGCGCAAUCAUUUUCUAUGUUAGAUAUCAGAGCCAAACUACUGAUUAGUGUGUCAAAGACAAGAUCUGAGUACAACAUUCAAACUCUCAAAGCAAAGUGUAACAUUAACAAUGCAUCAUAAAAAAAACAAGUAGAACAUAACAGAGUAGUUUCUUAGGUGCUUUAGUACUAGUCUUCUUGUAUAAAUCAGAAUUGAAGUUUCAUCUUUAUGACUUACAUUUUAUUAAGUGGAUUACCAUGAUGAAAUUCCAAUUCUGAUUGGAGAACACUACUACAAAACAUUUAAGUAACUGUGGUUCAGUUUGUCCAAAACAAAUAAAUGAACUCGAAUAAAUCAAACAACAAUAAAAAUAAAAAUAAAAAGAAUGAAGCAAAGAUACACAAAGUAGUAAACUAGUAACUAUCUAUCAAGAAACCAACCAGAAGUUGAGGAAGGUCCAUAAAGAGAGCUAGAUGGAAAGUCCUCAAAGCUUCAGCAUGCAUUAAACACAUUAUUUCCCUCAUUCAAACUCAAGUAGCCUCGUUUCUUUGAGUUCUUGCCCGAAGCCAUUGCCUGAGCCUCGAAGAGAAGAUCCCCCAUCAAGCCACUACUACUACUUUGAAAAGAAGGAUCAUUGAACUCAAUGUCAAGUUUAAUGUCUUGCUCUUGGGAUGGUUUAUAGUACUGGCUUAAAGGGAGCUCCAACUUGGGUUGGAAAGCCAAAGAGGAGGAGGAAGAAGAAACGCCUCGAUCGGAGUCUAACAAAGAGGGCUGAAAAAACUGAGAGAAGCCUGAAGAAACAGGGAACCUGAAUCCAUCAAGGUGAGGGAAUUGGGUGGUGAGAGGAGGGUCAGAGAGGUUGUUGUUGUUGUUGUUGUUGUUGUAGCUUGGAGAGGCGCAAUAGCGCUUGAAGCGAAGAGGGGUGCUUAGCAUUGGUGCUGGUCUUUGGAAGGUGAAGGAGAGAGGGGAAGGUGAAUAGGAUGAGGAGAGUGGAAGAGGUGAAUGGUCUAAGAAAUUGUGAGGUGAUGAAGAGGUGAAGGGUUGUCUAUGUUGGAGAGGGGAACUAAGAGGGGAAUGAUGAGAUGCAGUUGGAGACAGAGGGUGUUGUUGGUAUUGUUGUUGUUGUUGGUAUUGGUAUUGUUGUUGUUGUUGAUGAUGUUGUUGUUGGUUUUGAUUGAACAACUCAAAACUUGUGGCAAUGUCGGGGUUUGAUCCUGUUGGGGUGAGGCAUGGGAAAGGUGUGGUUGGAGGGGUUGGUGUUGUGGAACGAUUGUGUUGAUCAUGCUCAUCUGAAUAGAGAGGGAGACCCUGCCUUUGGCGGCGUUUGAUCCCUGUGUUCCAAUAGUUCUUGAUUUCAUUGUUUGUUCUCCCAGGCAACUAUGUCACAAACAACAACAACAAAACAAACCACAGUUCAAAAUCUAAAUUCAAAUAUGAUUUCGCAUGCUAACUUUUAACUUGAUGUGUUUCAAAUUUUCAACUUAUAUGCAUAUCUUUUUUCUCAACAGAUGUUAAACCAAAUGAAAGAGACAGAAACAUAAUUUGACCAUAACAUGUCAGGUAAAUGAAAGAGUAUAUUUAAUCAAGUUACAUUAAGGAUCACUUUAAUAUGACAGGUCUAAUAUUUAAACAUGUUAUUACCAGCCAUCACUUUAAUAUGACAUGUCUAACAUUAAACAUGUUACACCAGCCAUCACUUUAACAAGACAUAUCUAAAUAGAUGUCACAUUAUUAGUAAAUGGCAAUUAAAUUACCAGAAUCAAAAUUAACAAAGUUUUUUUUUUUUCUUCUGAAAGACUAAUAUUAAAUUUCACCAGGUUCCCAUGCACUGACAAACAUGUUAAACCUUUAACAUAACAUGUCAAUAAAUAAUUCAUAAUUUUAUUGUAUCUCGAGUUUUUGAUUAAUUUAGAUAUAUUUGUAGAUACUAUAUAUUCAUUAAAAAAAUUGCUUUCUGGAAAUGCAUACCAAAGCAGCCAUUCUGGCCCAUUUGUUCCCAAACUGUGCAUGAAGAUCAACAAUGAGCUUCUCUUCCUCAGGUGAGAAUGCACCCUUCUUCAAAUUGGGCCUCAAAUGGUUAGCCCAUCUAAGCCUACAACUCUUGCCACAUCUAUUCAACCCUGUGUUCCUCUGAACUGCAUUCCAAUUCCCUUCACCAUUUUGCCACAUAAUCCAUGAGGAUAACAUCCUCUGCAGUUGUCCAAGGACCCUUCUUCAGAGCCACAUCCUCCACAUUACCACCACCCUGAUCACCACCGCUACCGACACCGCCACUGCCACCACCACCACUUUCAUCGCCACCAAACAUUGCCAGGAAUCCAUUUUCACCAUUGCUUGCAUCAUCACUAAUUGCCAUACCCUCCAUCAAACUCCAACUCUCCUUCCAAAAUCUUAAUGGUGGCAAUUAGAGAAAUUACUUGAUCAACUUCUCCCCUCUUGCUAAAAUUUUCUCCCCAUAGGCCAAUUGCUUAAUUUUUUUGUCCACGUACGUGGUAGAUAAUAAUACUCUAUGCAUAUACACGUUAAGAUGGGGUGUGUGUAUCAAACUCCUUGAUGCACAGGUUAAUUAUUCCUGAGUUCCAAAUAAACUAUACCAUAAAAAAAAUUGUUACCGUGUAGUAACUAGGAAGUAAUUUAUGACGGUGGUGGUGGAGGCUGCGACGGGGGGUGGUCGAACUAUGGCAGCGAAGAGUGGUGGAGUGGUUGCUAAAUUUGCGGUUCCGAAUAACUCCAAGAGCCAAUGGUUCCUCCUAAGUCCUAGCUGUUAUGUAAGCUCAUAACAACUCAGAUAUUUGCUGCUACAAAAGGACAUUGUGGAAAUUGAACAGAAGGGACAAGCAUUUUGGGCAACACGGGUUGGUGCUCAAAAUAGCAAAUCCAUCACACAACACUUGGGUGAUGAAGAACUUUAAUUUGCAUUUGCAUGUGAAACAUGUGGCAUGCGUUGUGACUACUUUUGAGUUUACUACACAGAAUAGUACUGGGUUGGUUUUAAGGUGGCAUGAGCUGAGUUGGAAUGCUUUAAUUAUAGAAAGAUUUUGGCACACCUCAUGCCUAAAAUACUUUGUGGUUCUUGUAAUACUUUUUAUGGUUCAUCUGUCAUGUUAUUUCUAAAAAAAUUAUACAUAAAUUUUAAUCCAAUGCUAAGAAAUUUUUAAAAAAUCUACAUAUUUAUAUAUAUUCUUAUUAUAACUUAAUUAUUAUUCAAAUAAAAUAACUAAUUCAUUUUUUAGUUUAUAUAUAUAUAUAAAUAAUAAAUAUGAAUAAUUAAAGAAAAUUUUAAAUAUCAAUUAAAAAAAUUGAUUGAGAUCCAUUUUAGAAAAAAUAAAAAAGAUUGAAGCUUGAUAGGAACAAGAAAAAAAAAAUAGGAACAAAAAUAUUGUGAGCAAAACUCCAUUAACAAGACUCAAAUUUAUAGGAAAGAGUAUGUAACGAAUUAAAAAAAAAAAUAGUCUUAGAACGGUAAUAUCCUCAUUGACAACAGUAAUAUCCACAAUUUUAAAAAAAAAAUUGUGAUAAAAGGGUUCAUAUCCUUUUGCACUACUGUUUUCUUUUAUUCCUUCAAAAAGCUUUUUUUUUUUCGGAACCUGGACAUACCGGCAUCGACCUCUCUCUAGUCUCUUUUUUCUCCGAAACCUUCCCCUCCCACUCCUUCUCAAACUUUUAAUGCCACCCCACCCCACCAUCUCUUCACUUUCCUUAAACUUCUCAUCGAGCCAGAGCUCACUCCGUCCUCCAACAUCGUCGUGUUCCCUCAUCGCACCACCACCCAACCUAGACCCCAACGUCAGUCACGUGCAACACCACCCACUGCCUUGCUACCGGCAUGCGCAAUCCACGAUGUUCGAAGUUGGUCGAAACGACAUCGUUGGAGUCAUGGUUACUAUUCAUACUCUGUUCACGGUCAUGGUAGGUACUCUUUAAUUUGAUUUGUAUUUUAUUAUGAGAUGAGAUUGCAUUGAGUGAUUUGAUCUGUUUGGAAAAAAUGUAAUUUUUUUGUGAAAUUUCAUCUCUGCGUUUGCUUCAUCUAUUUAAUCUGGUUUAUUGGAACUAUUCACCUUCUUCCUUUGCUUCUUCACUUUGUUGUUCUUGUGGUUGGAGAGUACAAAUUCUAUGAAAAUAAUGGUUUUUUUGUGUACGUUGAAGAAAUCAAUUCUACCACGUCACUUUGAAGAACUCGAAAGAAAUCGUUCCUUAGACUAAGAAACCAAAGAAGCAUGCUUUAACUAGAUAUAAAGCUCACAAAAUAGAUCUGUGGGUUCAGAGUGUGAAAAACGAACUGAGUUGAAUUAGUCCAUAUUCUAUAUAAACCUUAUUUUUAGAAGUCCAGUGAGGGUUGAUGGUUGAUGGCCUAUUGGACUGUUUCAAAUUGGGUCAUUUAUUUUACUUUUUUUAGACUAAAUUUAUAUAUUUUUUAAAAAAAAAAUAUUGGGUCAAAAUUAUAUGUCCGUUUGAAUUUAGACCCAUGAUUUUUUACUCCAGCAUGAUGGGUUGGCCUAAAUAAGUAUGAUUUUAUUCGAAUCAAUAUUUUAUCAGCUCAAUUCGACACAAGUUGAUAGACACGAUUCAUUCUUUCUGCUCUAGCUAAAUACAAUACCCGUGAGUUUUACGAAUUCUCAUUUGAAUUUAUUAAAAAAUGUAAUUUAAAUUUAUAAAAAAAAUAUGUUAAGAAAUAAAACUUGUAUUAAUUUGUAGUUUUUUAUAUACGAUUUCUUGUAAAUAAUAUUCUUAAAAUAAUGUGUGUAUUUUGUUAAGAUAAAUAAUAUCAAUUGUCAAUAUUUAUUAAUGAGAUUAUGAUUGAAAAAUAAAUAUAUAUAAAUGUUUUAUUUUACUGAAGUAAUUUAGUUAGCAUUUUGUUGUAGACUAAAUUUUCAAUGUACUUUGCGUUUCAUUUUGCUCAAAUAAAAAACACAACUCUUUUUGAUUGUGUAUAUCUUGAUAACUUAACAUAUAAUUAAUUGUGUAGGACAACAUCCACAUAAUAUUAUUAGUUAUUUUUGUUUAAGUUUCAUUGCUCUUUUAUUAAUCCUCCAAUUAAUUACUCCAAGAAUUAAUUGUCAAUAUUAACAAUAUUAUCAUUUUUUUAAACGAGUGGUCAUUGUUCUCUAUGUGAUAUCUACACAGUAACAUUCCGAAGAUGAAUCACACUAAAAAGAGAGGAAUCCAGCAACUAUAUAGGUAUGAAAUUAUAAAGUUAAGAAUGAUUUAAAGGAAUUAAUUGAUAUAAUCUAUAUCAAGAAGAUACAUCUAUUUUUUGGUAGUUUAUCACUUAAAAACUCCAAAAUUGAAUGUGUUUGAUUUGAAAUAGUAAUGAGAUGUGUGACUUCCAAAAAAAAAAAUUUAGAAAGUGUGUAAGUGAGGAUAAAAUAGGUUGAAAAUUCUCGUGUUGGUUUGUGGGGACAAUAAUUAAUCUUGAAAGCAACAGAAGCAGAUUGUCGAGGUCUCGAAAAGGAUUACUUACGGAAGAUUUUGACCGGUGAAAAAUUCUAACCAAUGAGAUAGUUGAGUAAGGUGUUACCAUAUGAAAUAUUGUGUGAGCCGUCUAGAAAUUGAUGAUCAGGAACAAAAAGGUUGUUUUAAAUUUGUAUGUGUACUUUUGAGUAAAUCACUCAAUGGCUUAAAUAAAUAUUAGUUUGAUAUUUUUUUCUUAUGUUUAAAUAUUUUAUCUUUAUAAUGUAAGUAUUUUUCUAUAGUUAGUUUGUAAAAAAUCAUUUGUUAAAUUCAUGUGUUAAAAAAGUUUAUUUUUACUUAUAAUAAUAGUAUCAAUAAUAUAACUUUCAAUACAUAUAUAUUUACUUGUCGUUUCAUUUAGAUACCCACAGCUUAUGUCUUUGAAUGACAUAAUAAUGGACUUCAAGUACAAUUUCUUUAUUAGCUAAGCAAUUUUGGUCCUGUAUAUUUCAUUAUUAGUUAUGUAAUUUUUGAAAAAUAUUUUUAUUUUAUACGUAGAAAAAUGCGAAGUAGCGACUGAGACAUUGAUGACAAACAGCGACUGCUUUAGCAACUGAUGCAAUUCAUCAUAUGUUCAAGAUAGCGACCAUAUCUGCGACCGAAAUUAUAGCACAAGGUGGUUUAAAUUUUGAAAUUGAAUUCUAAAUAUUAUAGCGAUUGAUUUUGAGACAGACAUUUGUUUAUUUGAAUCAGGGACCGAAUAUGUUUGGGUUGCUGACAUGAUUAAAUGUAUCAACUAGCCACCGAAUAAGUUUCGCUAUUUCACUCUGAACAAUUUUGAAUUAAAUAGACAUUGAAACUCAUGCAAUUCGGUUCUAUUUAAAAUUUUGAAUAUUGAUUAUAUUAUAAAUAUUUCAUACAUAAUUAAAAACACAAAUAAUAUUAACCUAAAAUCAUAAAAUAAUUUACAAUGUGAUUUUUAGAAGAAAAAAAAAAGAGUAAAGAGAUGAGAGAGAAAAUUAUACAGAGGGAAAGAGUGGUGGUGAGGAUGAGGGGUCCACAACAUUGAGAGUGAGGAGAUGGAAAUUAAGCAAGAGGAUCAAGAUUGACAAGAGACAAGACUUAGCAUGUGAGUGUAUAUGAAAAAAAAAUGGAGAAUGACAAAUAGUAAGAUAUAUUAUUUGUUAAGGCUCAAGUUUAUGAUCUUCUCCUCACUUAUAUGGUGUUCAACCUUUUCACUUCUAUUCGAUGUGGAAUUUUUCCUCACACUUGUAUCUCAACAUUAUUUUAUGUAUAUUUUUGGACAACUUUUGGAUUUGAAUUGAUGAGAAAAAUAUUUCAAAAAUGGAGAAAAAGUUGGAGGAUGUGUUUUGGUUUUGUAUGAUAAUGUGCAGUAAGGGAUUCGGAGGAAGGUUGAAGCACAAUUGGACAAGGUAUUGAUAUAGGAACAUACAAAUUAAGGGCCAACAUGUCAAGAAUUAUAGAAAUAAAAUAAGAAGCAAUGUAACAGAAGAAAAUAAUGCGAAACUACUUCAAACGAAAAUUAAUAUUAUGACAACAUAAUGAACAAGAGAACUGAAAUAACAACAAAAAAUAGAAAAGAUGAACAGACAGAAAAAAAGGGGAAAGAAGGCGCUACACUCUUAGAAAGUGAUAAGUUAAAUAGGAAUUCACAACAAAGGUAUUGAAACCUUAGAUGAGAACCAAAAAGAGGGGGCAAUGGUCUACUCACACUUUAACAAGAGCAACUCUUCAAUUUAUUCAAGUUUGUCUAUUAAAUGAAUAAUGACAUCUCUAUUUUUGAGUUUAUUCCAAGAGGCUAACACUAAUUUUAAAGAAAUGUAAGAAAAGACCCAUGUAAGCUUAGCUUAAAGCUCAAAUUACAACUUAAAUUAAAUUUAUAGAAUUUUUUUCUUCGGACAACUAAAAAAGUAUGAUAAUCAUAUUAAUUACAUUUAAUAAUACUAAUACUACUUCUACUAGUCUACUUAUUAUUAUUAUUAUUAUUAUUAUUAUUAUUAUUAUUAUUAUUAUAUGGCAGUUGUUUAAUAUUUAAUUUCAAAUACCUUUUCUAAAAAGAAAAAAAAACCUCUUGACAAAAAAAAUGCUUUUUUGAAAAGUUAUUUUUCCUUGACCCUUCUUCGUCAAUGAUAGGGAAGAUAUAUUCUGAAUUAACUAAUAUGUAUAUCCUUAAUUAAUGAAAAAUAUAAUAAAGAUGAUACUUUCACUGGUAAUUACCUUGGUAUGCAUACAUUUUGUGAAAAAUUAAAUUUAAUUGUUCAACUAUAUGCAAUGAUAUACAGUUACAAAAAUCAUAAUUUUCUUGUUAUUAAUUUUUCCAGGUAAAUAAAGCUUAUAGUAAUGCUUUCAUUUCAAGUUUCCUUUUUUUUUUUACUUUUCAUAAUAGUUUUAACCAUUUGUGAAAAUUUUAGUUUUAUUGACAAUUUACAUAUAUAAUUUAAUAUGAUUUUUUACAGAAAAGGGUCAACAUUCCAUCUAUUGUCUUCGAAGUGCUUAAAACAAUGGACCAAAAUUGUAUCCAUGACACUCCAAACUAAAAGGCUUGCAAUUCUCUUCAACUUAGGUGAUUACUGGUUAGACUUUUACAAUGAGGAUUUACUUGAAAAUAAGAGAAUAAAAAAGUGACCGUAAUUCAAAAUUGGUAAAAGUAUUUGUAGAAUGAGUUAUUAAUCAUUAAAUGAUUGGUAAAGACUAGAGAGUGUUAUUCCUUGCAGAAAUUGAAUAUAACCAAAAAGGUAUCUUUAUAGAAUAAAAUGAUCGACAUUCUGGAAUUGGAAACAAUAUCUAUAUCAUAGUCGCUUUAGGAAAAUGUUGCAUUGUUAAUUUUGUUACAAUGAUUUUAGUGUAGUAAAUGGAAGCAUCCACGAGAAAACACUAGCAAAGGAAAUUUUACCAAAAUUAUAUAUAAAAAAAAAAUUCUUCUCAUCCAGAAGUUAUACAGUGACAAAUUGUUUUUCUCCUCAUUCACAAAUAGAAAACAAAUUUCAAUGUAUGGUAAGACCUUAUUCAUUGAAAGAGGAAUUCUCAUAACAUGGUGCAAACAUGAUGUAUCUAAGAAGGCAUUGAAUCAAAAAGCCAAAUGUCUUACAUCACUACCAUUAAUUCAGAAGUUAAUUUUAUCACUUUGCUAAAGAAAUUAAGAUAGGUCCACAUAUUCUGUUUAUUUGGAGACUUGAAGGUACAAUGCUGAAUUCCAAGGCCGUCCGUGACACUUAAAUCCCAGAGCCUACCAAUUCAAAAACACUUAUAUUAUGAGUAAUCUUGAAAAGGAACAUGCAGAAUAAACAAAAAAAAAAUAAAAUGCGUAUACUCCAAAUUAAAGAGAGGGUAUGAGAAGCCAAAACAUACAAAAUACUUUAGGAAUCAAAUAAAUUAAACUUAUAUGUUAAAAGCUAAUAUGAUUUUGAAUGAAAAUUUCUUGAAGAGUUCUUUAGGUGAAGAAAUCGUUUCUUGUUGUUUCUUCUUUUUUAGGGAAUAAAUUUAUAUAACAGAAUAAAUUUUUUAAAAAUAAAAUUUAUAUUUUUUACAAGAAAUUGUUUCUUAAAAAUAAAAUAUGGUAUUUAUAUGAUACAUGGAUGACAACACCAAACAAUAUCAUAAUUUAGUGAAAUAAAAAAAUUAUAAAAAUAAAUUUCUUACAUUGAAGUAAAAUUUUAUAUAAAUUUUUGACAAUAACAAAAUCCUGAAGAUCACAAAAAAUAUUGUGAGAAAAAAAAAACUUAAAAAAUCCACUUAAUAAAAUUUCAUUUAAAGAUAGGGUAAAGAGUUGACAAUUGCAAUAACAUUUAUAUUCAGCAUAAGAAUAACAAAACACUCACUUUGAAAGACGGACUUUUUUCAUUCCCAGUAUCUUUCUAUUAUCCAUUGACGACGUUGUCCUCUGUUGAGAUUAAAGUUUUCUUUAAAUUCAUCUGACAUACCAAAACAAUGGAAAACCUUAAGCUUUGGUAACUUGUCAAUACCACGAGGCACCUCUGUCAGUUCGCGAAUCCUGAAUAACUUGAGCUUUUCGAGAGAAGGCAAAUGCUCCAUCUUCAAUUACGAUGGAUUUCAAUGGGAAACAAUCUGCCAGUAGUAUUUGCUUUAGGUUUGGAAACCCCCUGUUUGGAAACUGCAAAACUUCACUAAUGUAUGCAUGAAGGAGUAUACUAAGGUGCGUCAAAUUUGGUAGAUCUUUAAGUAGUGGCAAUGGAUCAUGUGUCAACUCGGUGAAUGACAAGGACAACGUAACAAGAUUUUGGAGCUUGGCAACCCAGUUUGGGAACUUCUUUAACCGCCCCAUAAGACGAACCUUCUGAAGUACAGGUGCAAAUACAUCAAAAUGCAAAUCCAUGUUCCCACUAUGACUUGCAGUAAUAUAUAACUUCUCCAGGUGUUGCAUCUUGUUUAUCAAGGAGCACAGAAAACUUUUGAAUCUUGGCUCAACUUGUGUCAAGCCCAACACCCUUAAUUGUGUAAGUUUUUCCAACCCUUUUACUACUUCUUCUGUAUUAUGGCUGAUGUUCACUCUACGUAGUGUUUGUAGGGAUGUUAGAUCUCCAAUGCCACCAUCCAUUUCAAACCCUUCAAAAUCUCUCAGAAGGUGUCUUAACUUUUUAAGCUUGUAGAUCUCCCUUGGCAUCACACGCACAUAAGUUUCUCUUAGAUCCAAUGUUUCAAGGUUGUGCAGCUCACCAAUUAAUUUUGGAAGAUGGACUAUGCUUGACCUUCUGAAGCUUAAGUACCUCAAAAAUGAUAAGUCCCCCAAACUUUCGAUGCGCGGAAAAUCGUCCAUUGGAGCACCUGCAAAUUGAAGCACCCUUAAUAGCCUGUACUUUGUAGGCAUACUCUUUACCAAGGAUUCUGACAAUUCUUCAUCACUGAAAACAUGAAGUGAUCGAAUGUUCGAGCUUUCAACACUUCCCGUCAAAUUGUUGGAACCAGAUGCUAUUGUUAGGCGACGAAUCAUCCCACUUCUGGACAAGUUCCCACGCUCACUAGCAGAAUGGCAAAAGCUUAAAUCUUGAUUCUUCUCGCGGAUCAUUUCACGUACUACGUCAUGAACACGACACCUUUUAAUUUUGCCAGACCAUGUAAAUGAAGAUACUUGAACCAAACUUCUUUGGAUCAACUCAUUCAAAUAUUUUUCUGCCACUUCUUCUAAAGUUUGUGCCGCUUCAUCAGAUUUGACAAACCCCUCAGCUACCCAUUGUAGAAUCAAUCUCCCGCACUCAACUUCAUAAUCUUCCGGAUAUAUUCCGAAAUACAAGAAGCAUGGUUUGAGAUGGUAAGGCAAAUCAUAAUAACUUAAACCCAAAAUCUUUGUCACGGGAGUUAAUUUGGGAUGCUUUCCUAAUUCUGAACUUAGAUUCUCACUAAAUCUUUGCCAUUCGCGUGCAUCUCUACUUUUGCGAGAUAAAAGGCCACCAGUGGCCACAAUAGCUAGUGGUAAACCUUCACACUUUUUAACAAUUUCAGUUGAUAUGCCCUUAAGAUUGUGUGGACAAUGCCCAUCUAAUUCAGAUCUAAAUGCUGUUUUACAAAACAAUUCGAAAGAUUUGUCAUCAGUUAAAGGUUGCAACUCAUGCACUUGAACAAGAGAAGAUGUCCUACAAGACUCUGCAACCUCACGGUGCCUGGUUGUGAUUAUUAUCCUACUUCCAUUUUCAACAUCAACUAAAGCAAAUUUCAUUUCCUCCCAAAAAUUUUCAUUCCACACGUCAUCAAACACGACAACAUACCUAUUGCAGCUCAAGUGAUUUCUCACCUCAUGUAUCAACGAUGCUUUAUCCAUUGUAGAAUAAACACUCUGCGAAGAAUCCUUUCCUUUUUCUGCUUCCAGAAACUUGAGCAGCAAUCCUUCUAUGGUAUAUGACUGAGACACUGUGAUCCAGACAUGGCGAGUGAAGUGUGUCUGGACUUUGUCAAAAACUUUCUUGGCAAGAGUAGUUUUUCCACUUCCUCCCAUUCCUACCACAGAGACAACAGUGAGCUUUUCCCGCCCCUCUUUCAACCAUCUUUCCAAUGUGUCUCUAGGGCUGUCAAAGCCCACAACCUCAGCCUCCUUAAGAAACAGAGGAGCCAUUCGAAGGUUGUCGAAGGUGAUGUUUUGGUUUCCUCCAGAAGAUUGAAUUUGGGAGCAAUCCUCACUUUUGUUCCCCUCCUUGAUCCCAUGAAAUUCUGAUUUCACGUCCUGGUUCAUGUAUGCAAAUUGAAGACGAGAGGCCGUAGUUUUGACGAAAUCAACAGCCUUACAAGGUAAAGAUGCACAUCCAGGAUCAUCAGCAAGCUGCCUUUCCUCAUGGAUAAUGUAUUCAUCAACGAUAUCUUCCAUGCAAAAAGAUGUUUCCACCAGCUGCUUCACCUUUGCUUUGAGACCAUCACGUGAGUUGCCUUCUUCAGCUGCUGCCAUCUUGUCCGCAUCAUGAAUCAUGGCUUGAAUCCCAUCAAGUUUGUCGUUCAUGUCUGCAGCAUCUUUUGGAACCUCCAUGACUGAAUUCACUGCUUUCUUUAUGGGUGGAAGCAAAUAAUCAACAGCCAAGGACACUGCAAUUUCUUGCAAUUUCUGCAUCUUAGUAUAGAUCUAGUUUCUGCUAUUGUUAUGUGUUGAGAGUGAGAUGAGAAGAAAGUAAAGUGUGUCUUUCAAGAGGAAGACUUUCACUUUCCUUAGGUCAUUCAUUAGUGUUCAAUUAUUGAGCAAGUUGCACGUAGGGCAUAGUCAAUGAGAUUGUCUUAUUGCAGAUCUGUUAAUGUAAUUAAACAAAUAAAAGAAUUAGUGAGGAGCAAGUUGCAGGAGCGUACCCAAUGAGAUUUUCAUUGUAAUUUACCAAUUGAAAAAAAAAAUGUCACUUUUGGAAAUACAUGUAAUUCUGAGCAUCUUUAAAAAAAAACUUUUCUAAGAUGUUUCUUUGCCGAUGGAUGUAAAUAUUUUGCUUACUUUUGUAGAAUUUUACAAUGGACAAAACUUAGGAAGAAAGGAACUAAAAUAUUCAGAAAGGAACUAAAAUCAUUUUGACUUUUUUUUCAUUUUCUACUUUACGAGUUCUUAAAUAAUUUAAAAAAAGAUUAUCCUAAAGGUUCGUUUGUCCCCAAAACUUGUAUAUAAUUUCACAUUUUUGGUAUUGCACUUUAAUCAGAAUUAGAGUUUUAGUUUGAUAAUCUAUGUUAACUUUUAAUAUUAAAAGUUUUAUUGCAAACUUUUAUUAUGUUCAUUAUUGAAAUAAAUUAUAAUUUUGAUUGGAAGAGAAUACCACAAGUACCUAUAUACUGCAUCAACUUGUCCUUUUGCAUAUAGUAUGAAAUUAUUACGUUUGGGUAGUCCUAAGCCAAACUAAUAUCUAUGUGACACCAGAAUUUUAUUAAUUCUUUUCAUAAAUUGAAAAUCUUUGACUGAUUUGUAUAUAUUGGCCAGAAUCAUAAACAUGUGAGUAUGUGACAUCAGAACAUACAAUAAUUUUAUUAUUUUUCUUGACAAAAUUAAACAUUUAUCUUUAAAAAUAUCUUCAAUAAUUGUAUCUCGUCAUGUUAAAUAUAUAUAUAUAUAACCAAUAUCAAACCCACAAGAAAUAUUACACACUAUACCAUACAGGUGACACAUGAAACAAUUUUGUACUAACAAAUGGUCGGAGUGAUAGUGCUGCUUAUUAUGAAGUGCAUCUCAAAAUUUUACCACUUAAAUGCUCAUGAUCAAAUUCCAACUUCUAUGCCUUCCUUCAACAAAUGCUCUUUUACCAACUGAAUAGGCACUUGCAAUUAAUAGAAAACUCGAUUUCACUGCCUGAAUAACAUCAUCAAAAUCAGCUUAAGUACAUUCUAAAUAUGCUAUUGAUUACUCCAGAAAUAUCCGUUUGGUUUGGGGAAGCGUUUUGUUUUCAUUUUUUGAAAUGUCACCUUGCUUUCACUUUGCUCAUUAAAAAAAAAUUGUAUAGAAAAUAGUGAAAACAGGAAAUAAUAAGUUAUUUUUACUGUUUACCGUACAAACUUUUAAAAUCAACAAAACAAAAUGAAAAUAAAAUAGCAUUUUUAUAAUUCAAAGUGAAAGCAAAAACUGAAAAUAAAAAACAUUUUCUCAAACCAAAUGAUCCCAUAUUCGUUUGUGGUAUUUUUUAAAGACAAAGGGUUUUCUAAAACCGAAAAUUUCCUAAAAAAUUUAAGAUAAUUAGACAAGUUAUUAAAAAAGUAAAGUUUUGGUACUUUCAAGAAAAGAAACAGUAUCUUCUCAAAGAAGCUCUAAAAAAUCCAUAUCAUAGAAAUUUUUGCUUCAGAACUAUCCAAACACACACAUGAUAAUAAUAAAUGAAAAUGAAUCAAUACAAUAAUUGAUCCGUAGCAUAACAUGGUUAACAAAUCAAAAUCAUUCCCAUCAGCAUUAAGAAAUUACCAAAACAGAAGCAAUACCGCUUUCCCUGUGAAAAAUGCCGGCAGCAAGUGCUACUGUUUCAUUUGUUUUAUAGAACACCUCAGAGAAGUGUUGAGGAGCACCAGCACCGCUACUUGCAAUAACAGGGAUACUUACAGCAUCUGAUAUCAACUUAAUUAAAUCUUCAUCAAAUCCUUUUCCUUGACCUGAAACAUUGACAAAAGUAAAAUGUAAUUAGAAUAAAACAAACAUUUUAUUAAAUAUAUAAUCAAAUUACCCCAAAAAGUUUUAUAUUUUUUGAUUGGGUAAGUCUUCAAGAUGUAUUUUGUUUAUUUCUGGAAGUUCAAUUGCAGUUGGUGACUUCUUUGACAUCUUCAAGUAGAGUGGAUGUUACCUGUGCCAUCCAAGGUAAUUCGUCAACAUAUAUAAGACAAUUCUUCUUGGGAUUAAAUGUUCUAAACAAAGUUUAAGGAUUAAGGAAAGAGAAAAAAUCAAGAGAAAAAUAAAAUAAAAAAUUAAAGAAUUAUAAGUGUAUUCAGGACAUUAACUAGAAAAUAAAAUGUACUUUUUUUUAUUAAAAGAUAUUGGCAUCAGGGUUUUGUUCUUAAAAGUCGCCAACAAAUUGGACGAGACUCUUCCAUCUCUUAAUUUUAAUUCAUUUCUCCAAAGCUUAUUAUUAAAUUUGUUUUCCAUAUACAUCCCUCUCCCAUGGCCAGAAAUAAGGAACCGGAAAACACCGAAAAACCUGAAGAAUAUGCCUCAUUAUUCUUCAUGGAAAAACCAAAUUUCCUAUCAGAAGAAAAAUAAUGAGCUUCAUCCAUAUGAAUGACCUGAUUCUUCUCCCUAGUUUCAAUUUCAUAAAUGAAAUAUGACGAUUCUGAGACUGCUUGCACAUAUAAAGCUAUGUUUGCAAACUCAUUCCUCUACCUCUAAAAAUACGUUCAAUUAAUGCAAAAAUUACAAAAGAAUUGCUUCCUAGAAUUUAGGUUGAACAUACACAAGCAUCACCCAAAUAUACUGCAUGUUUGGAUGCGGAUUCAUACUUUCAUAGUACUAGACGUGGAAGUAUUGAUUACACCAGCUUCUGUCUGGGUCGAGGUAAUUCACAAGGGAUCAAGAGUAGGAGGAGGAAGGAUAUAUAGGGCUUAUGUGGUAUAUCAAAGAUUAAUCUAAGGGUUAAAAAAAUUAUACAUAUUAUACACAAAUUUACAUACUUCACCAUCAUCGUGAUUCAGUAGAUAGUAGAUAAAUUAGGUAUAGUUUCUUAAUAUUUAUUUCUCUCAUUUAUUAAUUUGACAUCUUGUAGAUUAUUUCUACCUCUCUUUUUAUAUGAGCAUAAUCAAAAAAAUAAUAUUGUUUUGCUACAAUCAAGAAAACAAUAAUUAAUAUUAUCUUAAAAUUUAAAAUAACAAAUAAAUCGAAAUAAAUACGUAUAUAAAUACAUGGUGGUUGUAAUUUGUCUCUAUAAAUUAAUAAGUUAUCUUUUUUUAAAUAAUAUAUUGGUGUUUGCAUUCAAGGAAUGUUAUUCUAUUUGAAAUUCGUAUAUAGCCACGCAAAAACAUUGGAACAUCAUUCUUCAGUUAUAGGAGUAUGCUAUGAACAAAUUAUGUGUCUUUUCAGAUCGCAUAGAUUAAUAAUUAUACUCAAUAUAAUUUAAAAUCAUAUAAAGCUUAAUAUGUUAUGAAAAUUAAAAUUAGUGAAGGAAGCAUUUAAAUAUAGUUUUUUUUAAGAAUUGUUGAUAAAAUUUAAUGACUUCAUUAGAAUUAGAGAAUAAAAUUCUGUCCCUAAAUUAAUUUAAUUACCCAUUCAUGAAUGUAAGGGGGCAAAUUCUCAUUAUAAGUUGUUCGUCUAAGUAUUAUUAUAUUUAAUUUUUUUUAAUAAGAUUUUAGAUUCAAAUUUUGUGAAUAAAAAAAUAGAUUAAAAUAAAAAAAAUUAUAAUGAUCAAUCCGAUUUUUAACUGAAUAAAUAUCAGUAACAUCAAUAAAUAUUUUAUAUUAAUAACAUGAUUAAAAAAAAAACUAAAUUCUUACCGGCAAGUCAUCUGCCUCUGUGAUAUCCACAUAUCUUGACUUAUCCCGCUCGGUGAUCGAAGCCCUUCCGUGUAAGCCUUGAUUGUGUCUUAGCAGAUUAAUCCUUUCGAAUAAAAGCGAGAAAAUUUCCAUAUAUAUAGAUGUUGAUAUGUCUGGUUUUUUUACUUCAAAUGAAACUCCACUCAGAGAAAGCUGAAGCAGUGGUUCUUUUAUUAGCUUCUUAAGUAACACAAGGAGACAGAAAAGUGUUUGGGUUUUUUAUCUCUCUCCUUAUAUGGAGUAAAAGUCUAAAUGAAAAAUUUGUAUGUGUCAUUUAUUUAAGUAGAAAAAGAUCAGAUUAGAGAACGAGAUAUAAUAGGAAAGAUUUAUUUAAGAGGAAAAAAAUAGUUACAAAUUUGAAAGAGAGAGAAAAUCAUUAUGAUUUUUGUAUACCCAAAGGACAUUCUUUAGAUUAUAACUACAUAUUCGUUUCCUGUUUGAUCAGACUUUUGGGCAAAAGGUUCUAUACAUGUGAUAUUUCAAAUUGUCGGAAUUUUGUUGGAUCGGACUUUUGGGCAAAAGGUGCUACACAUGUGAUAUUUCAAAUUGUCUGGAUUUUGUUAAGUGUGUCGUAUUCUCUGCUCUAUAUUUUGAGAUUUUAUUUUCUUGUCUCUAUUAUAUAAAUUGAAGGUCUGUUUUGAUUUUGCUUCUUUGUAGCACGUUUUAGUGCACUUGUUGAAGGUUCUUUUAUAUCUUCAUUGAUUAUAAUAAAGUUAUUUUAUUUUUUUGGUCUGGACGAUAUGUAAUUUUUAUCUUGCAUUGAAAACUUUUUCAUAUUAAACAAAUUGUGUCUGUUUUCUUUAAUUUUUAUUUUGUGUUCUAUACAUUAUUGGUGUUCCUCACAGAAUUUAUUAUUAUUUUGGCCUAUUUUCCCAUAAAACAAAAAGAAAACUUAUAGAGACUACUUUUCAAACUUACCCACUCAGACAAAGGGUUUUUUUUCCUGCUGCAUAAAAAAGAAACAAAUGGUUUUUAUUUUUAAUAAAAGGAUCUACCAAAUAAAAAAAUAAAAAACUUAUAGAGUCUACUUUUCAAACUUAUGCUUGGUUUUCAAAGUUUUGUAGAAAAAGAAAAAUCACCGAAAUAACCCCCUAAUGACGGAAAAAAUUCACUGAUAGUAGUAGGUUCAUUUUGUAACUAGAUUUGAGAGGUCAAAACUUAACAUUUUUAAAUGGAAUUGGUGUCUAAAAAUAAAUCUAAAGAAUUUUAAUUAGUUUCUAGAUUUAUAAUUACCUUUUCAAAAGUCAUUUUGUAUAAUAUUGAGAUAUGAUUGAAAUAAUGAAAUAGCAUGUUUUGUGUGAACAGAGAAAAUGCUUGACAAGGCUCAAUGACUCAUCAAGCAAGAACAUUUAUCCAAUCAAAACAAACAUAUCAUUUAAACAUAUUAAUAUUUGGUGGAAAAUAAAAACAAGACAAGCAUCCCUUACCCUUGUAGAUCUAAAGAAAGGAGUGAACUUUGUAAAGAAAUAUGAAGCUUUUUGACUUGAAAAUCCUCUCCUUGAUCCAUAGACAAAGCCACCACCACACCAAUGGUAUUUUCAUGAACCAAAUAUAAAGAACAAGAUGAGAAUGUGAGGAGAAAAGGAUGUGUGCAGUAGAAAGGGUUAAGUCAUGUUUCUAAUCGAAUUAUAAUUAUAAGGUGGAUUUGGUGAUAAAAGAAAAAAGGAGAAAAGAGAAAGAAAGAAAAAAGUUCUUAGUUUAAUUUUUUCUGCUUAAAAAAAUUAAUAAUUAAGCCAUAUUUCUAAUUCAUGAAAAUACAUUUUGCGUGGAAGUAUAAUCCGAAAUGAAAUAGAUUAUGGCAGUAUGAUAAUUUAAGAUAGAAAAUGUUAGAAAUAUGUUUAAUAACUGUUAAUUACCUGGCUGAGACGCAAUUGAGACUGUCUAUGUAUGUUUUUGUCACUCUAUUUUCUAGAUAUUCGAACUGCUGAAGAAAGAUAAUUUCAUACCCAUCAAAUCAAAACAUGUAUCGGUGGCACUCAAAGUUUACCUCUAGUGUGCAGAUUGGGGGAAGGAAAUUGGGCAUUAUAUAUAUCUCAAUUUGAAUGAAUGAUUCAAUUUUUUUAUUUAUUUAUUUAUUGGAUCUGAGACUUUCAACACACCCAUCUAUCUAAAUUCGAUCAUAUUUCUUUUCACGCUUAAAAUUUCUCUCUAGAGCUUGACAAACAUAAGGAUUUAUUUAGAAUAAAUUCUGAUACCAUGUCAAAAAAUGGGUUUGGGUUUUAACUCAUUCCUACAAAACUGACUUGUAAGGUAAGGAUUACUCCCCACUAAUAUAGUUUAUCUCGACACUAACUUCAUUAGAUGUGAGACUUCAACAUACCUCAUUCUUUCCUCAUGACUACCCGUCAUGUGAGAUUUUCAACACACCUCUCUAUUUAGGUGUGACCACUUGAAAUUUUCACGUAACGGAUAGCCAUGAGGAAAAAAUGGGACAUGUUGAAGUCUCAUAUCUAAUAAAGAUAGUGUCAAAAUAAAUUAUAUAAGUGAGGAGCAAUCCUUAUCUUAUAAGCCGGUUUUAUAGGAUUAGAUCAAAGCCUAAACUCACUUUCUGACAUGAUAUGACCGUCUAUCAUGACAUAAUCUCUUACUUAAAACUAAUGUCAAAUUAGGAGUAUCACAAAUUAUUAAUUAGUUACCUUGUUAAAGUGGAAGAGUCAUGCAUUUUUUAAUACUUAGCAUUUGGUAGUUUCUGGUGGCUGAAGAUGCUGUAGGAGAGAAUAAUCUGAACAAGAAACAUGGCGUGAAGCAUGUGAUUGGCCCAAAAUCAUGAUAUGAUUCCAUGUCAGCCAUGUAGCACAACCAAAGAACAAUAGAAAAAGCUACAUCCUUUUAAUAAUUAAUUAAAUUAAAAGUAUUCAAAAUAAAACAGUAGAUGAAAUGGAAUAUAUAGCCAAACUUUGCUUGUCACCAUAUUAUCAAAGGCAUGCUUUUCAAGUAAGCAAUUAAAAAGAGUAAAGUGAAACAAUAAUGAUUUUUUUUUUAUAUUUUGCUUUUAACAGAAAACUGAAAAUUAUUGCAAACUCAAUGGGACUCUGCCUCUCACACACAUCCAUCAUUCAGAUCAUUAGAACAGUCUCAACUUUUGUUAUGAACACAUAAAUGAUAGAAAAUAAGAGACAACAAACAAAAGCACAAGUGACUGAUCACUAACAUGCUUUAGACAUACUCUUCAACCAAAACAUGGGGGGCUGUAUCAAAACCCAGAGAGGAAUCAACAAAUAUAUCAUUGUAUAUGCUUUCCUCUAUAGAAAUUAUUCAAUGAGUUCAUCUUUAUUGAUUUAUCCAUAAAGAACUUCAUUGGCUGUCCACUUCUUUUUAUGAUAAUAUUUAUUUUUAUUUAACAUUAUGUUUCAUUAUAAAAAAAAAAAGUUGAUAUUCCUGCCUCAUCUUUAUAAAACAACUUUAGCUGACCAGUGGUCAAUAUCUUUUUAAGGCUUCAUUUUUUCUCUUUAGCUCUUCAAUCCUUCUCAAUAAUUCAAAGCAAAAACGAGGACCAUGCAACUCUACCCUAUGUAAAUUGUUUUCUUUAUUGCUAUUAUCGUAAAAAAAAAGUCAAGCAAUGGAAUAGAUUGGAAAUUAAUCCACUACUUUUAUCCUAUUAAAUUCAGCAGGUAGGAGAAGAAAUAAAAAAAAAAAAAAAGGAACCGAUCACUGCAGACUACAUUAUGGAAUAGAUUCAUAAUUAAAUUGUCUUGAUCACUUGAAUGACUUUUUUUUUCGGUGAAAUUGAUCACUUGAAUUACUGAACUGAGGAUUUAGCAAUUUUGAAACAAUAUAAAAAUGGUAAACUCAAAGAGUGGCGUUAAUAAUGACAAAUAAAUUAAUUUCAUGCUUUUGUGUGUGGAAGUAUAAUCCGAAAUGAAAUAGAUUAUGGCAUUAUGAAAAUGUUAAGAUAGAAAAGGUUUGAAAUAUUAAAUGUUACCUGUUGAGACUGUCUGUGUACGUUUUAUCAUGUGCAUCAAAUUAAAAUAUAUAUGUAACGCAGACACUCAACGUUUACCUCUAAUCUGUAGAAGAAAAAAAUAUUGGAGCUUUUAUAAUUCUCCAAUUAGAAUGAAUGGUUCUAUUUUUUUAUUCUUUUUCAAUAUCAAUAUCCAAAGCAGCAAAAAAAAAUUAUUAGAGUUAGAUUCAACAUUUAUCAUCAACUUCAAACAUAUUUAAAUCUUUUUAUUUUUGCAACAAUGAUAUUAUCACUCAAAUCACACGUGUUAAACACUUAAACUAAUGUAAGUGAGGAAUUAUAUUUUCAAGAACUUUUUUUGUGAAUUUUCUUUGGUUCACAGAUUAAUGUAACAGCAUGGAUCCACUGUCUUCAAGGAACAAAGUGGUUAUUUUAUUUAUUUACUCCUUCAUUUGACAUUCAGCUACCAUGCCAGUAGUCCAACUGCGUUACGUGGCAACUACUCUUGUCCAUGACAAGUUGUCAACAAAGCAACAAGACGUGUUUUCAUUGCUGACACUGACAGAUUGUGCAAUCUUUGACCAUUAUUUUAAUGCUUUUUCAUAUGCUACUUGUCACCCACUACAUCACAAAAAUGUGUGUUCAUGACUUCAUAUUAUAGUAUAUUAUAGCACCAUCACGAAUGCAAAUAAAUAAGCAAAGCCACUUUGUUAUUCUUUCUUUCUUGUACGUGGCUUCAAGCUUGAUCAGUCCAUGGCUUUGUCUUUCUUUCGCUGUUGCUGUUUCUCUGAGUCCUCAGAAUCCAAAGAGUUUAUAUGCCAUGGUGAUGUUUGCAUGCUCAGAGAUAGGAAGAAGUACAAAGCCAAAAAAUCCAAGAGCAACAAGCAUUAGAAAAGAUGGUGUUAUGCAAGUUAGAACUAUAUGUCCUAUGUAUGCUGUUUGAUUGUGUGCAAGUUACUUUUGGUUUUAUGGUAAAAUCUUUAAGGUUGUGUUUGGUAUGAAAGAGAGAAAUAAUACAUUAAGGAAAUUUUGUAUUUUAUUUUAUGAGACUUGCAUUUCUUGCAUUUUAUUUUAAUUAAAUUUUUUCUCCUCUAAGUAAACACACCCUAAGGAGAUCGGAGAAAGAAUUUUUUGUUCCACUCAUAUAUCUCCUUGAUUACUUAGAAUAUAUUCUCAUGUCUAUGUAGGACACAGCUGAGAAAGAUUCUGGAUGAAUAUUUGAUAAUAACCGGCUAAUACUUCUUGUGCAAAAUAAAAUUUUGUUUUGGGUAUAUUGUGCCUAUUAAUUUCUUGCUUCAUUCUAUGACUUUUAUUCAUAAAUAGUUUAUUAUUGAAUAUUCAAUAUGUUCCUUAAUGAUUUUGUCUUGACUGAUUGACAAAAGCAAGUGAUUCUUUUCCACGCAGCAAAAAUGUAUACCUCAAUAUUUUACAAGUUAUUAUAUACGAGAUAAGAAAAGAAAAGAGAAAAGAAUACUUGUUUUAUGCAUCUGAUUGCAAGGAGUAUCUCCAAUCGUUCAUCAAGACUUAAAGCUGUUGCGUCUCUUUCAAUCUAAUUUUCUCCAUACACCAGGGAUUUGUACCCUUUGAUCACUUGAUUAGGAGAAAAGUAUACAAUAAAUUAAAUGAGAAAAAAAGUGAAUGUGUAAGAAUUGUUAAAAAAAUUAUUGUAUAAAUAACACUGUUUUAUGAAGAAUAUGAAAAUUGAAAUAAGAAAAUUCGAAACUUCAAUAGAUUUUAUUUAUUAAUAAAUUAUUGUUAUAAAAUAAAUAAAAGUCCUUGCUCUAUAUGUUUCCCAUUUCUACAUUCAUUUAAGGUAAGACUUGAAAAACUAACAAGGAUAUCUAAUUUUUUUUAUCAAAUACUAAGUGAACUGUUUUUUAAUUCUAUUAAUAGUGUAAAAUAUCUAUCAGUCUUAUUAAUAAUUAAUUUUUGUUAAGAAACUUAAACCAUUCCCUUUAGUAAAAUAUUUUCUUCUAAUCACAUUUUUUUUCAUCCAUAAGACUCAACUUUAAAAUCUUACUUAAAGAAUUUGAGCUCAAUUCUAUCCAAACCAACAAUUUAUUAGUAAAUACUACGUACUUUAUAGCAUAUAAAAUUCUUUUAAAUGGUUGACAAAGAAUUAUGAAAUUUAAUUUAUAUUCAAUUUAUUAACAUUUUGUGUAAUUUUUUUCAAAAUUAUCUUUCACCUAAUUAAUUAAUUAAUCCAUUUGCACUCAAGGAUAUUUUUAUAAAAAAAAAUAUACAUUAAACAAUUUAGAAAGGAUCUUAUAAAAAAGAUGACAUUUUUUUUCAAACGAUUCCCAAUAAAAAGGACUAGAAGUAAUAAUUAAUGGAAUAUAUAUAGAAAAUAGCAUCACGUGCUACCGAAUUACAAAUACAAGAGAAUGCCAUGACAUAACGUUAGAACUUUUUUAACGUGGCAUUGAUCCCACUGGUUGGAGUCUAGGAGCAAUAUGUUAUAGGAGCAUAAGAUGAUUUCAAGAAUCUUGUGGCCCUCACCCUGUCAAUUUGGAUCACCAAGUUUCUAAAGAGUUGCCUCAAUUCUAGGCUUCGUGCAACCACACCAGUGUGACAUUAUUUUGCAUUCCAACAAGUUCAAUGAGCCACAUUGUUUUGCAAAAUGUGGCUUAUAAUAAUCAACCAGAGGGCAAGCAGCAAACAAAGGAAAUCAACAAGCAAAUUCUUCUUCACCUUGGAGCUAGAAAAUUUCAUGGUUUUGUCAUUCUGAAACAGCUUCUGUUUCUGCCCUGAAUCUUCAGGAUACAAUUGACUUACAGUGAUGGCAUGUUUUUGACGGAUCAGAAGAAACACAGACGAAAAGAAUCUAAAUCCAACAGAAAGCUGCAAAGCACAACCAAUUUUGCAUGUCCUAAGAGUGUCCAAAUUUGUUUGUAGCUUCCAUCAAAUACCUUAAAGCCUAUCCUAUGGUUUCAUGUGAUUUAUAAUUGCUUCAGCGUGUCUAAGCCUAUCCUUUGGGGAAAGGGGAAAAAGAGAAAUGCGCAUUUUUCUCUUUCAAUUCCAACAUGUACAUCCUUAUGUAGUUACCAAAAAAGACAUCCUCAUUAUUGUGAACAGGUGAUUAAGAAUGGCAGAAAAGAAUAAUUGGCUAGUGUUUCAAAGAGAAGAAAAACUUUAUGGGUGCCAUAUGUUAAAUUAACAUGGCUCAAUAAUAUAUUUUGCUAACCGUUCAAAAAAUACCUUAUCAAGUAGAAAAAAUCUUUGCUUUAUAGGCCUGGAACUUUUGUACAAAACAGAGUUAAAUAAAGAAAAAGACGCAAGCAAUCACUUUCCAUUAGUAACAUGUUAAUCUCAUGUACAAAAUAAUAAGUGAUGCCCUACCACCAAUUCAGAUACAUAAGUAGUCAUCAAUGGAACGAAAUAUCUAGGCAACCAAAUUUAAUCAAUUUGUGAACAAUAUACAUACAAGGCAUCAACAAUAUAUUUUGCAAUUUUCCUGCAACCAAUAUAAUCAAUCAACUUGCAGACUUUUUCUACAACUCCAACCCUAGGUUAACAGAGACAUGGUGCAUGGACUCGGUAAUCCUCAUCAGGAAAUUAUGGUGAAUCAUGAAGUUAUUUCUGUUAAAUCCACAGAAGUCUCCAGCACUGAUUUCGACUCAGGACUACCUAGUGCAAAAUUCCAAUCUGGGUAAAUUUUGGCAUUUUCACAUUUAUUAUGCAAGUCUUCAAGGAUCAAAAUUCAACAUUCAAUUACAGGAGCUGCAAAUUCCAUGACCAGUCCAAUUCAAGUGGAAACACCCAUACCAAGACAGCAAUGCCUCAUCACAGUUGCAAAGCUAGGUCUGGUUGCUGUGAGUCAACAAGGACACCAGAAGAUUGUUUUACAGGUGACCCUGGUGAUUCAAAAUCAAUAUUCAAGUCAGGUGGAAGGGUUUCCUGUUUCUGCCUUGACUGGCUACGAGGACUAAGACCUCGCCAAGGGGGCUGCAUUUGAAAUCUAGAUUGAUCGGCAGAUGCUAACUGAGGGAAAACCAUAGGCCGGUUGGGAAACUGGGAAACAGUGCCUGUCUGAAUAGGUUGAGGAGCAACUGCUUGAAAUGGUUGGAAAGGCAUUCCACCAGAGGGAAACUCCCCCCGAAUUCUUGAAAUAUGCUGAUGCAACUCUCUUGUUGAGUUGUACAAAGAUUCUACAGAUAUCUUAUUUUUGGGUGAACUAGAAUUAUCGGGUCCUUGUUUAAACCCUCCAGCCCCAACAGACAUCCAUGCAUGGGCAGCUGUUGCUGAAGCAUUGCCCGAGUCAUUUCUCUGUUCAGAUGGACCUGAUAAUGUCACUGGCAGAGUAUCAACAAGCGAAUGAUUGGAAGAAGUGUGUUGCUUUUGAGCCCUUUCUGCAAACAUUCUCAUUUGAAAGCUAGCUUGGUCAGCAGAUUCUAACUGAGGGAAAACCAUAGGCCGGUUGGGAAACUGUGAAACAGCGCCUGUGUGAAUAGGUUGAGGAGCAACUGCUUGAAAUGGUUGGAAAGGCAUUUCACCAGGGGGAAACUCCCCCUGAAUUUUUGAAAUCUGCUGAUGCAACUCUCUUGUUGAGUUGUACAAAGAAUCUGCAGAUAUCUGAUUUUUGGGUGAACUAGAAUUGUCAGGUCCUUGUUUAAACCCUCCUGCCCCAACAGACAUCCAUGCAUGGGCAGCUGUUGCUGAAGCAUUGCCCGAGUCAUUUCUCUGUCCAGAUGGACCUGAUAGUGUCACUGGCGGAGUAUCAACAUGCGAAUGAUUGGAAGUGUGUUGCUUUUGAGCCCUUUCUGCGAACAUUCUCAUCAACUGACCUGGGUCGCUAAGACCCUGCUCCUGCCCAUGGACAACACCAGGAGCAGCUCUUCUUGAUUGAUUCGAUGUACUUUCAGGUGAUGAUGAACCAGUCACCUGUCUAUUCAAACUUGUAUUCGUGACUUUUCCAUUAGGCAACUCUCCACUAAUAACUCCAUUAGUAUCGGGCUGUUUGAACAUGUUCCUUGGCACCAUCUCUCUGGGCUUGGACUCUACUGCAGGAGCAUUAGCUGUAGAAGCAUUACUUGUAAACUUUGCAACCAGACCAUUAUUAUUCUGAUUACUUGAGGUUAAAGAAUUCAACUCCAAUUGUUUCAAACCCUUAUUCUCACACUUGCCUAAUUUCCUGGAUUGGGCGUUCUGCUCCUGAUUGAGGAUGUUGACAGGAGCACUGAGCCUUACUCCAGCAGAACCAAAUAAAGGUUUUCCUUUGAAAUCAGGCAUUGAAGGACGUUUUCCCUCAAGCAUCUGUCCAUUUACAGGAUGCAUGAUGCUGGAUUCCACAUUCUUACAAUUUUGGUUACCCUUUGGUAAUUCAGUAGUGGAAUGCAACUUCAUAACCAAACUAUUUUCUUUUUGGACACGAUUAUUAACCAUUAAUAUUGGGGUAGAAAGCGGUUCAUACUCUCCAACCCAACCACGACCAAAUUUACAUCCAGCUGGCAGUGCGUGUUGAAUCCUGUGGGAAGCAAUUUUCCAAGCAAUAGGUCCUAGAGAUGCACUAAAACGGGCCAAACUCCUAGCAUAGGAAUAUUCUGCAUGAAGUCCAACCUGUAUCCAAAAAUUACAAAUUGUAAUGUUUUAUGUUGACAAUGUGAGUAAAAGCAAGCCAACUAUACAAGAAAAAAAUUCAUUCCUUUUGAUACAUACAGUAACCAGAUGCUUCAUUCCUCUCUCAAAGGUCAUAAAUAUUGAAUCUGGUUUAACAAUUGGUUGGUUGGACAUAUUGUAAGAUGCACGACGACUUUCAUCAAGCGCAAAGGACUUCCUUCCCCACUUAGAGAGAAGACCUUUCCCUGAAACAAUAUAGCAACACAAUAAAAAAUGGAACAACUAGAUUUUGACAUAAGUAUCCUCCUUUAACAGUAUGUAUAGGAAUAAUGAGGGCAAAUGUAACGGGAGAAAGAUAAUAGCAUGAUCUCAUUACUGACAUACCUAACAAAACAUCUUCAGCUUUCUCUUGAUUUGCAUCAAUCCAGAAAGCAUUUGCCUCCAAAAUACCAUCAAGAUUGCCAGACCUCUCACAUCUACCACCUUGCAUCAGAUGGGAAGUUGGCUGUACAUCUGCAAUAGUAGCAAGAGUUGCCCCUGAGGAGAAAUCAGAGCCAACAGGUUCUUGUGAGGCACGUGCCAAUGGCUUCUUUGGCUGCUUCUUAACCAAAUAAUUGGAUCCUGCUUUUUGUUCUGAUUUCAGUUCAAUCUGAGAGUGCUCAAAGCCAAUCCUUAACUUCUCAAAUUUCUUCCGUCCAAGUUCUUGUAUUGAUCGCGCCUGUGAAAAAUAUAGGGGUUACACAGUAAGCACAAUAAAAGUAUAAAACAAUUAUUGAUUUCACAAUUGUUGGGAGGGUAACACAGGGAAGCAUUGAGCUUUAUACCUGUUUGUGGUAUAUAGUCUCCGGUGCAUUGUAUUGCAUUGCAUUUGAGCAAAUUAAAAAUACAUCACUCUGCAUUCAACAAUUUCAUUCACAGGUCAGAGUAAUUAUCAUCAAAUCUGGUCAUCCAAUUUUUACUCAAGAAGACUAAUGAACAGUUAAGAUGAUAGAAAGGAAACAAUAUUCCAAGCAAUAGGUCCUGGAGAUGCACAAAAAAUAGCAGAGUAGCAAGUUCAUUCUCACAUUUCUUGAAUAUCAUUCAUCAUAAUAACUGCAAUUGUUUAAAAAGCAUCUCCCCAAUACAAAGAAAAACCAUACUAGUCAGAGAGAAAAAUAAAUUAUAAAAAAAAUCAAUUUCACCCCAAUACAAAUUAUAGUACUUUGUGAAGCAAGAACCAUCUUUUAUCAGGGAAAUCUUCAACUAGAGUUUUUAGUAAAUCUAAUUAAAAAUCAAUAUUGCCAUAGGUAUUGCCAGAGAUACUACCUCUGUUUACCCAGAAAAUCAAGAUUUCCAACCCAAGAUCUAAUCCAUCAUAUCAUUCCAGGCAUUAGCACCUGGGUAACACCCAUGAAGAACAGGAAGAAACAGAAACCAUAUGCAAAAUACCAGUUGCUUUUUAGACUCCUCACAAAUGAUAUCUAAAUGGGAGGCAUAGAUGAAUAAAUCAAUAAUUAGAUGAAGAUGGUGUCAUUGACAAUAUUAAAUAGACAUUUUUUAAGCAUGAUCAAAUCAAACAACAUUUUUUGCAAUAAAAUGUUUUAAGGUUCCACAUUCCUAAGAGCUAAACUGUAAUUUUAACACCAAGUUAGAGUGUUAGACUAUCACAAUUCAAUGCCAAUCAAGCAGGUUACAAUCAAACACAAAUGAAAAGAUUUUCUUCCACGCUCUUGGUUAAUGUAGAUCCUUUAUAGUUGCAACGUAGAAUGUGCCAUUUUCAGCAUGUACUUGGCAAAAUCCUGACAGACUUCAUUUAAUAAUACAAUAAACAUGGGAUGAUGCAUCAACCAAUAAGAAAUUAAAAUAUGCAGCAUAGUUAGUUGCCUAAUAAAAUGAUGCAAUGACCAUUUGUAAGUAAUACUACAGAAAGAACUGUUGAAACAUGACAAUAUGCUGAAUAAAUCAAGAAAUUAGUCAUUCCAAAUAUCUUCAUUCAUGCUUAGUACUAACUACAUGAAGCUGACUCUUGCUAACAACCACAUUUUUUUGCCGAUAGUUCGAUACAUCAUUGACAACAGUCAUCCUUGCUGAAUCCAUCACAGAAAAGCAAAGCAGGUUAUGUUAUGCCUAAAUUUGAGUCUCAGCUCUCAAGUCAGAGCAUCGUAAGUAUAUCAAGUUCAAACACAUACAAGUAAUAUCUCAGUAGAAGAGCGCAAUCAACAACCAAAUUCAGUACCAAAUUGCAAAACAAAUAAAAUCUCAAAAAAAAAAAAAAAAACUCCUCCAAUCAUGACCAGCUGAAACAAAUUUUGCAUACCUCAAAUUGCUCUAAGGUGGUAUAAGAUCCAUUUGCCAAGUUCUUCCUUACAGUGGCAAAGUCCAUGGGAUGCUCGAUCACAUCGUGAUAAUCAGGAAGCUGCAUGUCAAAACAGAAUUUGAACUUCCAACUCAGGGGUGUCUUCCAAAAGCAAGAUUUACCAACUCACAGGAAGAAAAAUCGACACACCUCUUCUGGAUCAACAGGGUCCGCAAACACACCAUAAGUGUCCUUCCUGCCAUCAUCCACACCCCCACAAUAGUCCCAAGUCAGAAAACAAAAUAGCACACAAAAACAUUCACCCUCUUGCUCAUCACCAUAAACAGUUAAACUCCAAACCCAAAGAAACAUUGAAAAAAGGAAAACGGAAACACGUACUUCUGAAGCUUGUCAAGGAUCAAUUCCAGAGUCCUCUUAUCAGGCAACGGAAUUCCAGAUUGAAGAAUCACUGGAGCUCCUAACAGUUAAAAACAAAAAAGACAAAUUGAUGAAAACACACAAAGGACCAUGCAGAAACACAACCACUAGUACCCUUUCAGCAGUCAUCACUUUUUCCUUUUCAAAUUAUCCAUAUCCAUAUAUAAUAUAAAAAAAACUAAAAAAAUAUCACACCCUAAACCUCAAAACAAAGUACCCCAAUUAAAAUCACACGAACCUGAAGCAGAAACAGAGUGGAGCCCUUUCGAUUCCACUUUUCUGCCCUUUACCUGUCAUCAUUAGAAACAAACACACGCACGCACACACAAUUAAUUGUUUCCAAAGGCCAAAUACUUCAGUCAUAUAUAAUAGAGAGUGUGAUAGAGACACAAACAGGACAGACAGAGACAGAUAUAUAUAUAUAUAUAUAUAUAUAUAUAUAUAUAUAUAGAGAGAGAGAGAGAGAGAGAGAGAGAGAGAGAGAGAUCAGAUUCUGUGUAUGUUAGUUUUUGACAGUUGACUUGUUAGUUAAUCUCUCUCUAGAUCCCGACACAGACAGACAGAGAAAUCUAGAGAGAGAGAAAAGAGAGAAGUUUUAUUACACCAAAGAAGAAUCUCAGUGACUAUAAUUUUGGCCACAAUUUAAAACCUUACACACAGAGAGACACUAAUGCAUUACCACACUUUCUUCGUCUUCUUCGUUCUCUUCCUCUUGUUCGUUUUCGUUCUCUUCCUCUUGUUCUUUUUCGUCGUCGUCGUAUUCUUCUACCGGCGCGUGCUCCUCACGCGACUCGGCACGAGUGUGGUGCGGUGCAGUUUCGUUUUCUUCUUCUUCCCGCUCUUCCUCUUCUUCUUCUUCUCCGCCGUCCUGGUUCAACUUCGCCAUGAGCUUGAGCUUCUUCUUCUCGCGCCUCCUCUCGUCCUCGUCGUCGUCGUCAAGGUAAUCUCCGUCGUAAUCGAUGAUGUUGUACCUCACGCUCCGGCGCCGGAGGCUCCGCCGGGGAUCGGAUUGAGACUCGCCGGAGCGACGAGCCAGAUCCGCCUUCGACGGCCGUCCCUUCUUCCUCCUCGCGAUCUGAACCAUCGCGCGUGUGUGCGUCCUCCGCUCUUUCUCUCUCUAGAAUCGGUUCCUUCUUUCUCUCUCUACAAAUGCGCUGUGUUUUGUUUUCUCUCUCUUGCCCCUUUUCGUAUCUCUUUCAGUGGGGUUUUCGAGGGGCGCAGCUUUGGAAUCUUACCGGAGCCUCGGGUCCCGAACCUGGGCGCUGAACUUGCAAAGCUGAGGCUCGUGUGAGCAGGGGUGUACCUAAUAAUAAUUAGACUUAAUGUUAUUUUUUGUUCAUUUAUGUUUCAUAAUUGUUUAAUUAUGAUACAUUUCAUUUUAAAACAAAAUUGUGUGACAUGUUUGGUACUCAUUGAGUGGGAUGCUGAAGUAACAAUCAAAACAACAUCGUUUUGAAAGAUAUCCUAACAUGAGAAAAAAGUGGGGGAAAAUUAAGGAUUUGUAUGAGGAGACUUAGAUUGAUGUUAUCAAUAAAGAUACGUCUUUUUGUGGUGUUUUUUUUUUUUUCUAUUUUUGUUUUGGCUGCUGGGUUUAUUGGGUGUGUAGUGCAAAAUGAGAUUUUGUGGUCACUAGUGAUGAUUGCUAAGUUUUUUUAUUCAAGGUUUGGAAUUGUUUGUGUUUGCUUAAUGGUGUAAUAAAGGAAGGGUUUUUAGGGUUAUCUUUUGAUAUUUUGUUUUGGAAGUGGUGCUUUGUUCUUUGACAGCAUAAUACAAAAUGGAUUUUUGAAGUAUUUGAUUGUGUUGUGAUUUGUUAUUUGUUUACUUUGGGAUAUUUGAUUGUGUUGUUUUUCAUAUUCAGUAAUUAUAUGAAUAUGAAUACAAAAUUGUUUUAGUUUGGUCCAUUAAGAUUACAAAAAUAUGCUAAAUAGUAUUGUCAAUACUAACACUAGAAGAAUGGAAUUGUAAAUCAAAACAUUGUCAAAUUGUAAACCAAUACAUUGUAAAUCCAGCCAAACUCACUUUAAUUAGGAUAAAAUAUUGCCAAAUUACAUUGUAAAUGAAGACUCACAUCCUACUUCAAGUACUUUUGUAUGUCAUUAGUAAAUUGAACAACAUAAACACAAGAAUCACAAUUAUCCCUAACAUGGCAGCACACCCAAUGACAACCAUCUUCAGCCAUUACCUACUAAAAGUUAAACUGUUAUGGAGGAUCACAAUUCUUCUCCUAUGCCUCAUAAUAAUCAAAUAUGUGUCAUGCAAAGUUUCUUUGUUAUGUCAAUAAAAAAAAAAAAAAAACUACAACCAUUGUUCUUCUACCCUUUCUAACAUGAAAACAAAAUAAUGAAAUAAAUUCAUCACAACCAAAACAUCCAACAUAAGGUUUCGAAUAUGGAAAAUAUAAAGAAAAAAUUUCCCUUAUUAUAUAGUUAUGACAACCCUAGAAUCUCCUUCCAAAGUAGUCAGUUGUUAUAGUAAUACGCAAAACAACAUACUCUUUGCAGUCACUGAAAUGAGUCCUGAAUCUUUCAGAAUUUCAUGAAAAUCCUUUUGACUCGAGCCCUCGAUGGGUUCCCUCUACUUCCUCGAACUAAAACCAUGUGAUUUCAUGAUUGGAACUUCAAAAUCGACCUUGGAUCCCUUAAAAAAUUACACCAAUUUCACCCUAAACCCAAAUAUCCCUCAAUACAAAAUCCUAAAUAAGAUGAUAUGGGCAAAAAAAAACCAAUUAAUUGCAGAAAUUUGAAGUUACAACACAAACCCUAAACUCUAAUUUGGGACUAAAAAAAAUUAAAAAUGAAGAGGAAGAACCCAUUUGAAGAAGAAAAGCAAUGUUGCCCGUACAACGGAAAAAGAACAAUGUUCAAAUUUUCAAAAAAAAAUUAUAUUAAGUUUUUUAUACUCAAAUCUUUGAUUAAUUAUAUACUCUUCCUAUUAGUUUUUAGUAAUUACAUUCUACCUUUGACUCCCUAACUUUUUCUCCUCCACUAACGAUUUUUUUUUAAUCUGAAUUAUACUCUUAUAAUUCCAAAUACACAACUGAGUCUUCCACAAUAAAACACGAUCUCUCCAAAUUCGGUGGUAAAAAAAUAUGUUUCACCAUUAUUGAACAGAAAACUAUUCCUGUGUUUCCUCUUUCUCAUCAUCUAAUAUCUACUACAUCAUUCUAAUGUUUAAAUUUCACAAGUAAAAUUCAAUGAAUGUGUUUGUGUCGGUAAAUAGAGUAUAUAUAGAAGAUAGCAUCAUGUGCUAUCGAACUACAAAUCCAAGAGAAUGCCAUGACAUAACGUUAGAACUUUUUUAAUGUAGCAUUGAUAAUUUCAAAGCCCUCACCCUGUCAAUUUGGAUCACCAAGUUUCUAAACAGUUGCCUCAAUUCUACGCUUCAUCCAACCACGCCAGUGUGACAUGUUUAGUUGGCAACCGAUUUUGUCUUACAAGUUCAAUUGCUCCAUUGUUGACCAUUAUUUGCAUUCCAACAAGUUCAAUGAGCCAAACUGUUUUGUAAAUGUGGCUUAUAACAAUCAGCCAGAGGGCAAGCAGCAAACAAAGGAAAUCAACAAGCAAAUUCUUCACCACCUUGGAGAUAUAAACUUUCAUGGUUUCGUCAUUCUCAAACAGCUUUUGUUACUGCCCUGAAUCUUCAGGAUCCAAUUGACUUACAGUGAUGGCAUGCUUUUGACGGAUCGGAAGAAACACAAAUGAAAAAGAUCUAAAUACAUCAGAAAGCUGCAAAGCAGAACCAAUUUUGUACGUCCAAAGAGUGUCCAAAUUUGUUGGUAACUGCCACCAAAUGCCUUAAAGCCUAUCCUAUGGUUUCAUGUGAUUUAUAAUUGCUUCAGUGUGUCUAAGCCUAUCCUACGGGAAAAAGGGAAAAAAGAGAAAUGUGCAUAUUUCUCUUUCCAUUUCUACAUGUAAAUCCUCAUGUAGUUACCAAAAAAAAAAAAAUAUCCUCAUGAUUGGCUAGUGUUUCAAAUAGAAUAGCAUGAUUAAGAAGUGAUGCCCUACCACCAAUCCAGAUACACAAGUAGUCGUCAAUGGAAUGAAAUAUCUAGGCAACCAAAUUUAAUCAAAUUUGUAAACAAUAUACAUACAAGGCAUCAACAAAAUAUUUUGCAGUUUACCAGCUACCAAUAUAAUCAAUCAACUUGCCGACUUUUUCUACAACUUCAACCCUAGGUUAACAGACAUGGUCCAUGGAUUCGGUAAUCCUCAUCAGGAAACUAUGGUAAGUCCUGAAGUUAUUUUUGUUAAAUCCACCGAAGUCUCCAGCACUGUCAUUUCGACUCAGGACUACCUUGUGCUAAAUUCCAAUCCGGGUAGACUUUGGCAUUUUCACAUUUAUUAUGCACACCUUCAAGGAUCAAAAUUCAACAUUCGAUUACAGGAGCUCCAAAUUUCAUGACCAGUCCAAUUCAAGUGGAAAUAUCCAUACCAUGACAACAAUACCUCAUCAUAGUUGCAAAGCUAGGUCUGGUUGCUGUGAGUCAACAAGGACACCAGGAGAUUGUUUAACAGGUGACCCUGGUGAUUCAAAAUCAAUAUUCAAGUCAGGUGGAAGGGUUUCCUGUUUCUGCCUUGACUGGCUAUGAGGACUAAGACCUCCCCAAGGGGGCUGCAUUUGAAAUCUAGAUUGGUCAGCAGAUGCUAACUGAGGGAAAACCAUAGGCCGGUUGGGAAACUGUGAAACAGCGCCUGUGUGAAUAGGUUGAGGAGCAACUGCUUGAAAUGGUUGGAAAGGCAUUCCACCAGAGGGAAACUCCCCCCGAAUUCUUGAAAUAUGCUGAUGCAAUUCUCUUGUUGAGUUGUACAAAGAAUCUGCAGAUAUAUGAUUUUUGGGUGAACUAGAAUUGUUGGGUCCUUGUUUAAACCCUCCUGCCCCAACAGACAUCCAUGCAUGGGCAGCUGCUGCUGAAGCAUUGCCCGAGUCAUUUCUCUGUCCAGAUGGACCUGAUAGUGUCACUGGCGGAGUAUCAACAAGAGAAUGAUUGGAAGAAGUGUGUUGCUUUUGAGCCCUUUCUGCAAACAUUCUCAUCAACUGAACUGGGUCACUAAGACCCUGCUCCUGCCCAUGGACAACAGCAGGAGCAGCUCUGCUAGAUUGAUGUGAUGUACUUUCAGGUGAUGAACCAGUCACCUGUCUAAUCAAACUUGUAUUCGUGACUUUUCCAUUAGGAAACUCUCCACUAACAACUCCAUUAGUAUGUGGAUGUUUAAAAAUGUUCCUUGGCCCCAUCUCUCUGGGCUUGGACUCUACUGCAGGAGCAUUACUUGUAAACUUCGCAACCAGAUCAUUAUUAUUCUGAUUACUUGAGGUUAAAGAAUUCAACUCCAAUUGUUUCUUAUUCUCAGACUUGCCUAAUUUCCUGGAUUGGGCGUUCUGCACCUGAUUAAGGAUGUUGACAGGAGCACUGAACCUUACUGCAGCAGAACCAAAGAAAGGUUUUCCUUCUAAGUCAGGUAUUGAAGGAUGAUUUCCCUCAAGCUUCUGUCCAUUUACAGGAUGUAGGAUGCUGGAUUCCACAUUCUUACAAUUUUGGUUACCCUUUGGUAAUUCAGUAGUGGAAUGCAACUUCAUAACCAAACUAGUUUCUUUUUGGACACGAUUAUUAACCAUUAAUAUUGGGGUUGGGAGUGGUUCAUACUCUCCAACCCAACCACGACCAAAUUUACAUCCAGUUGGCAGUGCAUGUUGAAUCCUGUGGGAAGCAAUUUUCCAAGCAAUAGGUCCCAAAGAUGCACUAAAACGAGCCAAACUCCUAGCAUAGGAAUAUUCUGCUUGAAGUCCUACCUGUAUCCAAAAAUCACAAAUUGUAAUGUUUAAUGUUUUGACAAUAUGAGUAAAAGCAAGCCAACUAUACAAUAAAAAAAUUCAGUCCUUUUAAUACAUACAGUAACCAGAUGCUUCAUUUCACUCUCAAAGGUCAUAAAUAUUGAAUCUGAUCUAACAAUUGGUUGAUUGGACAUAUUAUAAGAUGCACGACGACUUUCAUCAAGCGCAAAGGACUUCCUUCCCCACUUAGAGAGAAGACCUUUCCCUGAAACAAUAUAGUAACACAAUAAAAAAUGGAAUAACUAGAUUUUGACAUAAGUAUCCUCCUUUAACAGUAUGUAUAGGAAUAAUGAGGGCAAAUGUAACGGGAGAAAGAUAAUAGCAUGACCUCAUUACUGACAUACCUGACAAAACAUCUUCAGAUUUCUCUUGAUUUGCAUCAAUCCAGAAAGCGUUUGCCUCCAAAAUACCAUCAAGAUUGCCAGACCUCUCACAUCUACCACCUUGCAUCAGAUGGGAAGUUGGCUGUACAUCUGCAAUAGUAGCAAGAGUUGCCCCUGAGGAGAAAUCAGAGCCAACAGGUUCUUGUGAGGCACGUGCCAGUGGCUUCUUUGGUUGCUUCUUAACCAAAUAAUUGGAUCCUGCUUUUUGUUCUGAUUUCAGCUCAUUCUGAGAGCGUUCAAAGCCAAUCCUUAACUUCUCAAACUUCUUCCGUCCAAGUUCUUGUAUUGAUCGUGCCUGUGACAAAUAUAGGGGUCACACAGUAAGCACAAUAAAAACAAUUAUUGAUGUCACAUUUAUUGGGAGGGAAAGGGAAUGCAGGGAAGCAUUGAGCUUUAUACCUGUUUGUGGUAUAUAGUCUCUGGUGCAUUGUAUUGCAUUGCAUUUGAGCAAAUUAAAAAGACAUCAGUCUGCAUUUAACAAUUCACAAGUCAGUAUAAUUAUAGUAAAAUCUUGUCUUCCAAUUUUUAGUCAAUUAGGAAGACAAUUAAUGCACAGCACAGACAAAAUGAUAGAAAGGAAACAAUAUUCUGGAACUUAUGUAAUAGAGGGAUCUAUUAGCAGAGAAGCAAGUUCAUUCUCACAUUUAUUGAAUAGUGGUAUCAUUCAUCAUAACUGCAAUUGUUUUAAAAGCAUCUACAAGUUGUUAGUAGAAAGAAAAACCACACUAGUCAGAGAGACAAACAAAUUAUAAAAAAAAUAAAAUAAAAUCAAUUUCUUCCCAGUACAAAUUUUUGUACUUCAUGAGCAGGAACUAUCUUUAAUAAGGGAAAUCUUCCACUACAUUUUUAACUAAAAAUCAAGAUUGCUGUAGGUAUUCCCAGAGACACUGCCUCUGUUUUCCUAGAAAAUCAAGAUUUCCAACCCAAGAUCUAAGCUAUCAUAUCCUCCCAGGCAUACGCACAAGAGUAAUACCCAUGAAGAACAGGAAGAAACAGAAAUCAUACGCAAAAUAUCAUUUGCUUUUUAGAAUUCUGGCAAAAGACAAAAAAAUCAAUAAUUAUAUGAAGAUGGUUUCAUCAAUUAUAUUAAGCAACAUUUUUUGCAAGAAAAAGUCUAAAUAAAAUGAUGAGGAUAAAAUGUUUUAAAGUUCAACAUUCCAAAGAGCUAAACUGUAAUAUUAACACCAAGUUAGAGUGUUAGACUAUCAUGAUUCGAUGACAAUCAAGUGGGUUACAAUCAAACACAAAAUGAAAAGAUUUUCCUCCACCCUCUAGGUAAAUGUAGAAUUGUAGAUCCUUUAGUUAAUGUGUAGCAUAUGCCAUUUUCAGCACGUGUUAGCAAAAUCCUGACAGACUUCAUUUAACAAUACAAUAAACACGGGAUGAUGCAUCAACCAAUAAGAAAUUAAAUUGUGCAGCACAUACUUAGUUGCCUAAUAAAAUGAUGCAAUGACCAUGUGUAAGUAAUUCUACAGAAAGACCUGUUGAAACUUGACAAUAUGCUGAAUAAAUCAAGAAAUUAGCCAUUCCAAUUGUUUUCUUUACAUGCUAAGUACUAACUACAUUUGGCUGACUCUUGCUAACAACCCACAUUUUGAGUCUCAGAUCUCAAGUCUAAGCAUCGAAAGUAUAUCAAGUUUGCAUACCUCAAAUUGUUCUAAGGUAGUAUAAGAUCCAUUUCCCAACUUCUUCCUCACAGUAGCAAAGUCCAUGGGAUGCUCAAUCACAUCAUGAUAAUCAGGAAGCUGCAUGUCAAAAACAGAAUUUGAACUUCCAACUCAGGGGUGUCUUCCAAAAGCAAGAUUUACCAACUCACAGGAAGAAAAAUCGACGCACCUCUUCUGGAUCAACAGGGUCCGCAAACACACCAUAAGUGUCCUUCCUGCCAUCACCCACACCCCCACAAUAGUCCCAAGUCAGAAAACAAAAUAGCACCCAAAAACAUUCACCCUCUUGCUCAUCACCACAAACAGUUAAACACCAAACCCAAAGAAACACUGGAAAAUGGGGAACGGAAACACUUACUUCUGAAGCUUGUCAAGGAUCAAUUCCAGAGUUCUCUUAUCAGGCAACGGAAUCCCAGAUUGAAGAAUCACUGGAGCUCCUAACAGUAUAAAAAAAAAUUGAUGAAAACACACAAAGGACGAUGCAGAAACACAACCACUAGUACCCUUUCAGCAGUCAUCACUUUUUUCUUUUCAAACUAUCCACAAAACAAGUACCCCAAAUAAAAUCACACGAACCUGAAGCAGAAACAGAGUGGAGCCCUUUCCAUUCCACUUUUCUGCCCUUUGCCUGUCAUCAUGAGAAACAAACACAAUUAAUAACAUCCAAAGGCCAAAUACUUCCCUCAUAUAUAAUAGAGAGUGUGAUAGAGACACAAAGAAGACAGACAGAGACAGCUAUAUAUAUAUAUAUAUAUAUAGAGAGAGAGAGAGAGAGAGAGAGAGAGAGAGAUCAGAUUCUGUGUAUGUUAGUUUUUGACAGUUGACUUGUUAGUUAAUCUCUCUCUAGAUCCCGACACAGACAGACAGAGAAAUCUAGAGAGAGAGAAAAGAGAGAAGUUUUAUUACACCAAAGAAGAAUCUCAGUGACUAUAAUUUUGGCCACAAUUUAAAACCUUACACACAGAGAGACACUAAUGCAUUACCACACUUUCUUCGUCUUCUUCGUUCUCUUCCUCUUGUUCGUUUUCGUUCUCUUCCUCUUGUUCUUUUUCGUCGUCGUCGUAUUCUUCUACCGGCGCGUGCUCCUCACGCGACUCGGCACGAGUGUGGUUCGGUGCAGUCUCAUUUUCUUCUUCUUCUUCUUCCCGCUCUUCCUCCUCUUCUUCUUCUCCGACGUCUUGGUUCAGCUUCGCCAUGAGCUUGAGCUUCUUCUUUUCGCGCCUCCUCUCGUCCUCCUCGUCGUCGUCAAGGUAAUCUCCGUCGUAGUCGAUGAUGUUGUACCUCACGCUCCGGCGCCGGAGGCUCCGCCGGGGAUCGGAUUGAGACUCACCGGAGCGGCGCGCCAGAUCCGCCUUCGACGGCCGUCCCUUCUUCCUCCUCGCUAUCUGAACCAUCGCGCGCGCGUGCAGACUCCGCUCUUUCUCUCUCUAGAAUAGGUUCUUUCUUUCUCUUUCUAGAAAUGCGCUGUGUUUUGUUUUCUCUCUCUUGCCCCUUGCUUCGUAUCUCUUUCAGUGGGGUUUUCGAGGGGCGCAGCUUUGGAGUCCUACCGGAGGCUCGGGUCCCGAACCUGGGAGCCGAACUUGCGAAGCUGAGGCUCGGAUGAUUGAGGGUGUACCUAAUACUAAUAAUGAAUGAUGGCUCUUUCUUUCGUCUUAAGGGUCUGAACUCUGAAAACGGCGCCUAGUGCUGCCCGUUGCCCGGACGGCCUGCGUGUUGCUUUGCUUGCUGCCCGGAUUUCGUUCUUUUUUGUCUUUCAAGUUUCCACUUUGAGCUGCGUCUCUCUUGGUGUCGCGUAAAGUCACGCGCCUUUUUUUUUUUUUUCUUUUUAAACUCAAGACAUGCUUGGAUUUUUGGUUAGUGUUUUAAAAUUAUAUUUGAGAAUAAAAUCGUUUAAAAAUUGUAUUUGGUUACUUUAAACAGUAUGUUUUAGAAUAAAAUUUUAUUUGAAAAUGUAGUUUUGGAUAAUUAAAAUUUGUUAUAUUUUUCAAACUAAAUUUCAUUGGGUGUGUUGAAGGAGUGUUGUAUACAUUUCCUUUUGUUAUCAUCCAAAACACAAGGCACAAGGUACAAGGGUACCCCAUCCUCUUACACACAUAAAAGAAAACUAUAUGGCCAAACUGCUCAACUUACCCCACCCCUUCUAAUUGCAUAAGGGCUGGAAUCAUAGGUCAUCGUUACAUUGUCACUGAUGCCAGAGAAUGACCCCAUUUUUGUUUGUAUAACUUGCUUCAAGUUUAUAUAACAUUAUUCUGAGAAUUUAGGGAAACUUAAUGAAUUAGAAAUUUAGAAUACCUAAUUUAGCAAGGCUAUGAUACAUUUAUACGUGGAUAAAUUAUCUAUUUAGUCAAAGAUUUGUAUUCUAUGUAUUAAAAUUUUCUUGUGGAAGUCAUAGUCAUGCAUAACAAUGAUUCAAUGAGUUGAAAGAGACUCUCAUCUUUGGCACAAGACAAAAAAUAUCUAUUUUAGCUAUAAUGCUCUUGUUGAUUUAUUUUUUAGCUUUAAAAUCAGUUUUCUAAAUUUACUCUUACACUACAAAAUUGAUCCAAAAUAAACCACAAAAACUGUUCUAAUUUGAUGUUAGUUUCAAACUUAAAAACAUAUAAUUUUUAUAUUUUAUUUCGAUGAUUUUUUAACAAAAAUUAAAACAAGCUAGACUACAAACACCCCCUCUUCCCCGAAAAACUUUCCAUGGGAGAGGUGAAAUUUUUUCUUUCUUAGGAUUAAUUUUUUUAUUACAAUAAAAAUAUCACAUUAGUCUUAUUAGUGUGAUGAAUAAUUAAAAAGGUAAAUUAAUUUUUUGGUUCUCUAAUUUAUUAUUUAGAUUCAAUUUUAUCUUCUAAUUUUUUUUUAGUUUGAUUUGAUCCUUUAGUUUUUUUUUUCAAUUUGGUCCUCUAAUCUUUUAAAUUGAUUUUGUUUUUAGAAAAUAUGUAUUUUGUUGUGGUUUAAGACUACUUACGGACAAUUUUGAAUUGUUUCAAAAUUUGAUUUCUUACCAUUUAGACUUAAUGACCAAAUUGAAUAGAUUUAAAAAAUUAAAAGAUAAUUUAAACCUAAAAAAAAAUUAAAGGACCAAAUUAAAUCUAAAAAAUUAAUUUAACCUAAUUAAAAUAACUAAUAAAAAUCAUAUAAAUUUUUAAUUCCUAAAAAAAUUAUCUAAAUAUUUUUUAUGGUGAACCAGACAUAUUUUAUUUUAUUUUUCUAUAAAAAAACAUGAAUCCAACCAUGAAAAAACUUUUCCCUACCAAACACCCCUUAAGGGGGUGUAUUCAAUCAAGAUUUUUCAAUAAUAAAAAUAAGUCUUGUUGUAUUCAGUUAAAAUUAUUAGGAUUUUUUAAAAAUCUAAUAAAGUUUGUACCUUUAAUAUAAUUUUUUACAAAUUAGAAGAAAUCUUUUGUUAUUCAAAAGUAUAUAAAUUUCAAUGGAUUAUUUCUUAUGAUGAAUUUUAUGAGACUUUUAUGAGAAAAUACACAUUAAACAAUCUCAAAAAAAAUCAUAAUCAUAAAAAUAUUUUUUUAAAAUUUUAAAAAUCAUUACAUUCUUAUAUAUUUUUAAAAAUGCACGAAAUUUUUUUAUACAAAAAUAAUCUUUUAAAAUUAUAAUCCAUUAAAACUUUCCACCUUAAGAUCACUCAUACAAUCUGUAAAUGAUCCUGUUAGGGUAGGGUGAGGCAAAAAAGGUCCUCAAAAAAUGAAAAUGACAAGAAAGAAGGAGAGGAGACGUUGAUGAUGGAGAAGUUGAGAAGAGUGGUAAACGAGAUAGCCUAUGCUCAAACACUCUCUCACCUUCCUCCUCUUCACCGCUCUCUCGUCCCUUUCCUCUCCAUUGCCUCAUCUCUCUACAAACUCGCUGUCUCGCUUCGCUGCUCACUUUACCAACGCCGCUUCUUUCAACUCCACCGGUAACUAACUAACUAACAUUUUUUAGAAUUUGAGACAAUUCCUAAAAUACGUUCCCAUUUUUUUUUUUUUAUCCAAACAUAACCUUAGUUAACUACCUAACCAACUAUAACUAUUUUUUGUGUGUAUAGGUUGCCGGUUCCGGUGAUCAGCGUUGGUAAUUUGAGUUGGGGAGGCAAUGGGAAGACGCCGAUGGUGGAGUUCAUCGCUCUCUGCUUUUGUCAUUACGGAAUUUCACCCCUCGUUCUUUCUAGGGUAUUCUUUCCUUUUUCUUUAUUUUUUUUUAUUACUUUCCCCUGUUUUCUAGCUGUCACGGUUUCUUCUUGCUUCAAAUUUCGAAAGACAAGUGACUGUUCUUCCCAAAAUGAGCUGAAAAAGCAUACGGUUUGUUUGACCAAUGAUGAAUUUGAUUAGAUGAAUAUAAGGUUGGUUGGAUGGUUAAGGGAGAAAGGAAGAGGGGAGAGAUCUCGGGUUCAAUUCCCUUUGCUUGCAAAAAUUAACAUUUGCCUAUAAAAAUAAAUUUGUUUGUACCUUUGUGAUUAUGUAUUAGUUGAUUACUAUGACCAAUUUUAUCGAACCUAGACAGGUUGGAAUCAUUGGACAAAACGUGAGUCGUUGCUUGAAUAGCAUAAAAAGCAUAUAGUUAAACUUUUUCAAAAAAUUCAUGACUAGUAUUUUUUUUUUUUUUUUUUGUUAAGAGACCAUAAAUAUCUUCCAAGAGAGAUAAUUCUAUUUCAGCCAGGCAGAACAAUUGUCAAUGGCAAAGCCAGUAUUUAAGACAAUUGCAUAUUCACAAAUUCAAGACUACUUGUUAAAUUGAAACAACCUUUUAAUGUAUAAAAUCCCAAUUUUUUAAUAAUGUAUUAGGUUACUUGAAAACCUGUUAGAUUACCAGUUCAGUAAGAAAAAAAUUGUCUGUAUUACACCAAGUCACACUGGUUUCAUAACAUUUCCAAUCCAACCACCAGUUAUAUCAUUGAUUCUUAGUCAGAUCGGUUUGAUCAGCUACUCAGCUAGUCCUAACCGGUUUUGAUAGCUAUGAAUGCAAGUGCAUGAAUGAUUAAUUUAGUUUGAUAAUUGGUUAAUAAGUAAAUGUUACAAUGGCCGAAGUGUGUAUUGUUUUGUGAUACCGUUAGGAUUUGCUUCCAUGUUAAAACAAUGACAAUUGGUUAUGACUUAUGAUUGGUUUUCUUGGUUUUUCUUGCUCUUUUGAGUUAUUGCAGAUAUUGCACCCUCAUGUCAAAUUCAAACUGAAUCAAUCAAUGUCUGUUCAUUUAACAUUUUGAUUUUGCUAAGUUUCCUAGUUUGAUUUAUUGUGUUUCUUCUUCAUGCAGGGUUAUGGUGGUGGGGAUGAAGUCAACAUGCUUCGGAGGCAUUUACUUGGGACACCAACUAAGUUUGGUGUUGGUGCCAAUCGAGCUGCUGUUGCAAGUCGUUUUAUCCAAAAAUAUGGCUACGUUGAUAUUGGUAAGAGUUCAUGGCAUGAGAAACAGUACCUUGAUGAGAAGGUCCAGGAUUCUGUUGAUUCAGAAAAAAUUGGAGUUGUAGUUCUUGAUGAUGCUAUGCAGGUAAUGCAACUCUUCUCCACCUGUUUUUUUUUUUAUUUCUUUGUUGAUAUACUAUUUCAUGAUUUUCUUCUUAAUGACGAUCCAUGAUCCUGAAAACACCUUGUUCCCCUAUUGAGAUCUGCUCCAAUAGUUAUGUUCAUUUUCAUUUCAUUAGCUAAUGCUUUGCUGCUUGUGACACAAAUGUUUGAAAUUAAGAUUUUUUUGCCUGUAUAUGGCAUUUGUUCUAAACCAUAUUUAUUUGCACGUAAGGUAGCACUGGAGCUUGUGGCGAGAUUUGGAUAUUGUAAUGGUUAAUGGAUUAACUCUUUGGGGUAACCUUCAACUGCUGCCGCGUGGACCUUUAAGGGAACCUUUGACUGCACUUAGACGAGCAGAUGCAGUUGUAAUCCAUCAUGCAGACUUGGUAUGUUAAAACAAUAUUUGUUGUUCCUUUUUCAAGUAAAAAAUUGGUUAAUUUUUUGGGCAAGUUUUUCUUUCGUCAGUGUGGGUUUGCUCAUUUAGGUGACAUGUUACUGAGUUUUAGAAACAUGGCAUAUUACUGAAAAUUGUACUUUGGGUGAACAGGUUUCUGAGCAUACUCUCAAGUAUAUUGAAUCUAUGGUCCUAGGGAUUAAAAAGUCUGUUCCUAUUUUCUUAACAAAAUUGGAUCCAACUUACUUAUUUGAGGUGGGAACUAUCAAUGCCAAAAUACCAUUGACGGCUCUUCAUGAAACUAAUAUAUUAUGUGUUUCUGCUAUUGGUUCUGCAGAGCCUUUUGUGAAGCAGAUUCAGAAGGUAUUCCUCCUUAGUAAUCUUUCAUUAAUCAAAUGAAAUUUAUUUUGAUGAUAAUUAUUGGAGAUUAAUCUAGACACAAACAUAUUCAUUGCCUGUUGUGUUUUUAGGCUUAAUUACUAAUUUGGUCCCUAAAUUAUUAAAAAUGGAUUCAAUUUGGUCCCUAAAUUUCUAAACACUCCAAUUAGGUCCUCUAAUUUUUAAAAAUGCUUCAAUCGGGUCCUUUCCACUAAAUUCUGGCGAUUUUUACUUACAAAUAAUGACGGUUUUCAUUAACGGUUUCAGUUUCAAUUUGACGAAAAGGUCUUGAUUGAAGCCUUUUUAAAAAUUAGAGGAUCUAAUUGGAGUGUUUGGAAAUUUAGAGACCAACUUGAGCCAUUUUAAAUAAUUUAGGGAUCAAAUUAGUAAUUAAGCCUUGUUUUUAACAUGUUUAGGCUUAUCUACCAUUUUAUCUAAAAUUGUGAAAUUUCUUAACAUUGGAUUAUAGUAUAAGUAAAAUAACAAUAAAUAAUAAAAUGAUUAACUAAGUGGGUGAGCUUCUUGUCACAACUGUUUAAUAUAUUUAUAUAUUAUAGUAGUAUAUACUAGAAAAGUACUGUCUAUGGAAUUGAAAGACAUUAACGGUUAAAUGGGUGUCCUAGACAUAAUGAGUGACACACAUGAACCCCUUUUGUCUGUGUUUAUUAUCUGAUCUCUAAACUGCAGAUAACUUGAUGCAGAUGGGAGCACUUUAUGUUGAUCGAAUAGAUUUCAGUGAUCAUCACAUAUUCCAUGCCAGGGUACAUUUUUCUCUCCUGAAUUUGAAAGUACUAAUUUGUUGACCGAUGAAUACCAUGUUAUUUCAAAUCAACAUUUAAACCUGUCAUGCGUUCUUUUUGCGGCUGUGCUGUUAAACUUGACAAUAGUUUGUGAGAAAAUUGCUUGAGGAUCAUAUUUGAAUCCUGCAUACUUCUAUUUAUUAAUUUGUUUUGAAUUUUCUUAUAGGCUAAAAUAUGUUUUUCAUUCUUAUAAAAUGACUAAAGUUCGUUUUUUCGUUCCUGCAAAUUUUUUUGUCCGUUUUUUCAUUCUUGUAAAAUUAAAAUGUGAUUUUUUGGUCUGGAGUUAGGUUUGGACGAAUCCAAACCUAUGUGACAUUUUUCAAUUUGAAUUUUAAAAUAUAAUUUUUUAGUGGUUUAAAACCAUCACAAAUUACAUUAGAAAAAAUCAAAACACAAUUUGUUGGGGUUAAAAACCGCCACAAAUUGCAGGAAACAAAUUAUAAAAAAGUGCAAGAAACCCCUUUGGCCCUUUCUCUAACAGCACCGCACCACUCACCUCCAGGAAAAUCAACAAAUUAGAAUCAAUCUAGAUCAAGAACAAGAAAAAAAAAAACAAAAUAAAAUCAAACUCAACUCAUUCAUAAGCUCAACAACUAUACAAGGCAUCAUCUCCAUUGGUGUUAUUUGCAAAGUCGUGCAUCAUCAAGUGCCAAUAAUCCAUAUUCCUGUUGGGCAUAUGAUCGAACACCCUAUGUGCAUCAAUCGUGCUUUUACAAUUCCCAUACAUUUCAAUCACCUUGUUGUUCAACAUGAGAUCACUCCUAAAAGCAACUAGCACCAGCUUUGACCCCUUUGUUCAUCCAUUCAACUGCCUCUUUAACUUUCCCCUAUCUGCACUUUUACACCAGUAUCAAAGAUUCCCCUCCCAUCAACAACAACCUCAACGUUUCAACCACAGACCCAUCACUCAAACCCUCCUCCUUCCAAUCAAUUUCCUCACCAUAACCAUCAACCUUGCAAGCACAAUGUUGCGAAGACGGAGACGAAGCAGAUCUCGCAGUCACAGGGAAGAUCAUGGCAGCAAUGGCUGUUCGGGAAGCGCAAGGGAGGAAUGAAAAAUGAUGUUAUUGAGGGACAACAGAGGGUGGUGGUGGAGGACUGGCUGACGGUGAAGGAGCAGUGGGAAUCUGGCGAGACGCCGGUGCCAGAGGAGGUGAUAUCGGUGGAGGAGUUGGACGAAGAUAAUAAAAAAGAAAAGAAAAAUAGAUCUGAUGAAGAGAGAGAGGGCUCUAGUGUUUAACACGUGUCGGUGUAUGAUUGGGUAAUUCAACUUAUGUGCCUAGUCAUUAGACACAGGUUCGGAUGAAUCCGAACCUAAUUCUGAGCCAAAAAAAUAGUACAUUUUAAUUUCACAGGGACGAAAAAUAGAUGAAAAAUUUUAUAGGAACUAAAUCCGAAUUUUAUGUAUUUUAUAGGGAUGAAAAACAUAUUUAAGCAUUUUCUUAUGUGGUCUAGUUUUACAUUGACUAAGAUGCUAGUAUACCAUAUUCUCAAUUAAUCCAGGAUAUUGAGAUGAUCAGAGCCAAACUUGGAGAACUAGAUGGGAAGUUUGUUCCCAAACCAAUUGUUGUAAUGACUGAAAAGGUAGGUAGACAUACUUCCCAUUUUCGUAUUCUCGUGUAUGUAACUAUGUGUUUAGUUACAUAUUUUUUGUUAGUAUCGGGAAUCACAACCCCUUAAUUAUAUCUUCUUUGCAGGAUUAUGAUAGGGACCCAGAAAUUCUUAAGCAAUUGCACCCAUUUAAAGUUUUUGUUCUCUGUUCUGCAUUGAAGGUUCUGCCCUAUAGAGGAAGCACAGAGGAUAGCUUUAAGAAAUUUCUGAAGGACCAUUUAAAAUUAGAAUUGCCUCCAGCACUACGUCACUAGUCUUGGAUAUUUUUAUGUUGUUGAUGGUAAUUUUUUUCCUAAUUACAUAAGGGGCCUUACAAAGUUGAUACAUUUUUUUUAGUGACUAAUUAUGUAAUAGAAAUAAAGUAUCUCAAAUUUAUAAUAUCGUGGGACUAUUUAGUUACUUUUUUUUUCUUCUUUAAGAACCAACUUCAGUAGUGAUUUUUUUCAAUACCCGAUCUUACUUUAUAUAUAAUUUUUAUUAGUAUAUGAAAUUGAACAAUACUCAUAAGGGGCCUCAUUUGGUAGUUUUUAGAGAUUAAAGUGACUGAUUUUGGUAAUUUUAUGAAAUAAAUUGAACAAUACUCAUAACUUCAAGGACUAAAUUUAGUGUAAAAUAUCAAUUUUUAAUCUUUUUGGUACUUGAUUCAAUUAUAUAGGUCUACAUUACAAGUUAGAGCUAAUUAGAUUGUUGUUUCCCAUCUCAGGGUGCAAUAGGACAGAGACGCUGACCCUUGGUUUGGUAGAGAUGAAAUAGGUAAAAGAGAAGAGGAAAUUUUGAAGAUUGUGUGAAUUUUAAACCUUUAUUAUACUAUUUUAAUCUAGAUAUUUAUUCUCCAUUCUCUUUUACUCCAUUCUACACGACCAAAUGAGGUAGAGUUCAAUCAAAUUCAUAAAUUCUACAACAUCAAAAUCUAAUCCCCUUUCUUGUUUGAGUGUGAACAACCUCUUCUCGUAAUUCAAUAGUUCUGAACACAUGUUCUUAAUAAUAUCUUUCCUUGAGAUCCUUCCAGACCUCAAAAGCAAAUUCCAUCCAGAGUACACACUGUAAUUGAUGGAUUUAAGGCAUGAUUAGUUUAUGAUAGGACCAUAAUAUUGCACCUGUCCCAUGAUGCAAAAAGUGGACCCUUAGCUGUAGGUUUGCGAAGAGUUCGAUCUAUAUAAACUAGAUGUUAUUCUUUGACUUCAAAACAAGAAUCAUCGCUCUUGACCAAGAAUGAUAAUUGCCCCUGAUGAGAGAUGUUGAGACUACUAUCAAGCAUAAAUUCUUAUCAGGACGAAGAAAAUAAGGGCUCAAAGAUUCUCAAGAUUUAAUGGCUCAUAUUAACAUGGCAAAACUUUAAACAUUCAAGCUUUGACACCAUACUGCAAGAACUCAAGGUAGAAAGGAUAGCAAUUAGGAUUUAUCGUUGAACAGUCAUUCAGACUAACUUGAAUAUUACAAGUUUGUUUAUUUAUAUACCAAUAACAUUACACGAUAAGUUCAACUAAAGUUACAGAAAGUAAUUGAAUAAACAUAAGUUGUAGAAAAACGAACUUUAAGAGAAAGCUAAUUAAAUAGCUGUAACACCAUGUAAAUCGCAUCAACAACAACAACAUCAUUAGCAAACGUUUAUUUUAUGAGUUUUUCUUAUUUAUUUAUUUAUCAACCAAUAAAUAUUUUUUUUCUUUAUACUAGUCGCAAAGUCAAACAACGCGGAAUGUGUCAUUAUAAACCUCCUAAAUUGUCAAUUGGGACAGAGAGGGGAGUAAUGUAAUUGACCACGAAUAAAUGCAUCCUUAAGGUCGGAUAUCACAAUAUUUAUACACAUCAAGAUAGAUAUCACAAGUUAUAAUAAAUAAUACGUUAACAUUGGGUUUAAAAUAUGAUAGUAACAUGUAUCCAACUGAUCGAUAGUGAUAGUUGUGACAAGAUGGGACAUGUUUUAACUUUUUACUAUAUUUAAUUAAAUAAUUAUGCGGACUUUCAAUUAAAUAAAAAGUAUCACGUUAGUAGCAACUAGCAGCAAUAUAGUUUAGCUUGCAGUAUAAAUUGGAAACUUUAAUUUUGAUUUACAUCAGUGUGAAUUUUUUAGAAUAUUAAUUAAAAACUACCUUAAAUGUGACUUUAAAAUAUUUAUUAUAAAAAUCAAUAAUUUUCAAUCAUAUAACAAUAUUACAAUUAAAUAGUUCUCCUUCUGCUUCUAUUAAUAUCGUCAAUAUUGCAAUAUUACGGGAGUUUUGUUAAAUGGGUCUAUUAAUUUGACCCAGUUGAAUAAUAGUGAUUUAUUUAUACUUAAUUUCUUUCAUCUAUUAACGAAAAUUAUCUAUAAAAAACAGAUAGAAUAGUUUUAUCUAUGUUGAAAAUGAUAAAAUAAAAUCCAUACAAAUACCGAUACUUAUUAUGUGUAUAAGAAGAAUAAAAAUUAUAAAAAAUUAUUGGAAUAAGUGAUUUGGUAUUUAGAUUCCUUAAUCCAAGAUUGGGGGUUUGAUUUCCGAAUAUGAAGUUGAAUCUUAAAUAAGAAACUCAAAAUAUAAGUAUGAGUUGAAGUUAAUAGAAUAUUAAAUAUUCACUGAUCACAUCAAAUUAAAUACGAAAUUAUGAAUUUUUGAGAAAUAAUAUGAAAUUAUGAAAAGAAGGCUCUGCAAAUUAAAAAUAAUUAUUUUCUCAAAACAAAUCAUCAUGCGUAUCCAAAUAUACGUCUUUAACUCCUGGUCCAUUUACCUCAAUUCUUUCGCCACUAGAUCAAUUUUAGUAGGUUAAAUCAUAACGUGUUUAAUACAAAUGAUGCAAAAGCUUAACUAAGUAGUAUAAAAUAACAAAUUACUCCGGAGUAUUUGAAACUUUAAAAGUUGAAUUUAAUUUGUAGUUGAAAUGGCAUUAAUGAUGGCGCGUCAUAAUAAACAGUAGUGUAGACUAUAGAGAGACUUUGUAUUAAAACUUGUCCUACUUGAAUUUGAAUUUUGGCCAGUAGAUGACACGUUGCUGGAGGAGUCAAACAUUAAUCAGGAAACAUGAGUUCCACUUUCCUUUUCAUCUUCUAUAUGUACACAUGUCGGUGGCUAAUAUAGUGGGUUGGUCUGUCCCAUUAUCAUUAUGGCUUCACAUUUCUCAUUGUUCACUUCUAUACCUAAUUAACAAGACCUUGCUUCCCUUAAAAUGUUAAGGAUAUAUAAAUAAGAAUAUGAAUCAUACUUUUACACCCCCUCCAUUUCUAUAUAUAAAAGGUUCAAUUACCAAAUUUAUUAAAAUUAGGAAAAAUGGUUAAUUUAGUAGAUAGUAAUAAAUUUGGAUUAAAUUUAUAAUUUUUUUAAACUAUAAUUAUCAUUAAUGCUUCUAUCUCUUUUAAUGGUUUGUCAAUAUGUUUUCUUCUUUUAAUGAGAAAUGUUUUUAGUCUAAAAAUAAUUAACACAAAGAACAUUAUAAAUUGAGUUUUAUAAAAAGGAACAAACACAAUUUUAAAUUCGAGUCUUAUAAAUAAAAACAAAGAUGACAUCCUUUUAAUUAAUAAAUAGAGUAAAUUUUAAAAAAUUCAUGAAGUUUGUUCUGAAUUGGAUUGGAUCAGAUUAUAAUUUUAGACAAAAUUGAUUGGAUGAUGAAUUAAGAAAACCAAAGUGAUUAAAUAAGAUGAUUUUUCCUUCAAAAUCGAUCUAAUCCAAUCCGUAAACAUCCCUAGCUAGAAGUCAGGAGAUGAGAUUUUUCAAGAAAAUAGAGUACCAAUUACUCCCUUUGUUCCAAAAUAAGUGUCAUAGUUGGGAAAAAUUAUCCUAAGAUUAACAUUAAUAGCUCUUUCCCAUCAAUACCCCUAAUAAAUAUCACUUUAAUUUUUUAAUCUAAUAUUAAUACUAUUUUCUUUCAUCUAUUUAAUAAGAUUAGUUUUUUAAAAUACUAUUCUCUUUGAUUUAUUUAUUAACUUUUCUUGAUUUCUGUCAAAUAUAACUUAGGAUGUCACUUAUUUUAAGACAAAAGGAGCAAGAGAUAACUCAUCUAUUCAUAAGUGUUGCUAGAUAAGCUUACCUAGGGAUUAAAUCUUAUAAAUUUAAUUGUUGAAUAUGUAGACAUUGAUUAAUGAUCAUGUACAUUAAUAAAUCGAACAUUUAUAGUUAUGUUAUCUUUAAAGUUGUUCACUCCUUCCCAAAGAUUAUUUUAUAGGAUGCAAUAUAGAUUCUCUUCUAUGAAUUUAAUGUAUGUUGUUAAUAAAGUUACAUCAAUUAAAUUAUGUUAUUUUAUAAUUAAUUUUUACUUAUAAAAGUAUAUUACGUGUUAAAUCAAAUUUAUUUAAUUAAGUGUCAAAUAUAUAUUUAAUUUAUUAUAGAUUUAUUCUACUCAAUAAAUACUUUUCAUUUAGUAGUUUAAUUAAUAACAUUCUAUAUGUACAAAGAAUAACUCUAUCAAGAGUUAUUCACGAACUAACUUGAUCAUUCUCCAUAUUUUAUUAAAUAUUUUCAAUUAUUAAAAAAUGUUAAAUAAAUUUAUAUUUUAAUAUAAGUACGUUUUUUCUUCAACUUCCGGGAUACCAGUUAAUGAUUUCCUUUUUUUUUAUUGGGAUUGGAAUUCUAGUUAUUUUCCCAAAGCUGUCCCAGGUUAUCAACCACAGUCAUUCAAUUGCCACAAAAAAAAAAAAAACAACAACCACAUUCAUUCAAUUAAACCAUAAAAAAUAAAUUAAGUAAAGGUACUCACUUAUCUGUACCUAACUUUGGCCAAUUGAUCAAUUUAAUGUAUCAAAUGAUGCAUUGGGUGCUUUAAAUGCUUUAUUUAUGUACUAAAAAGGAUUUCCAACUACAUAGAACCAUAGAACAUUAAUUAGGAUUAACUUACCCAGAACUUGAGAGAUUUCAGCAAAGAAAGUAUACAAAGAUUUUUUUUUCCAUAUGACAAUGACAAUUUAUAUUUUUGCCUAUCACCAGUUUAUAACAAUAUGAACCAAAGUUGGUUGACAUUGAAUAUCUGGGGUAGUCUUUGCUCCACAAUCUGUCACUAUAGUCAGUGUCACUUCUCAGUUCUCACUAGCCUUCAAUAAAAAUUCUUCUUUUCACACCAUCGUCUACACUUGUCAAGUUUUUGAUUUUUGCAUCUUUAUAUCUCUAGCCAACCCUUCUCUAAUUCCACACGCCAAUUCUAAUCAGCAGGAUCAUUCCAAUAUGGGCAACAGAAUUGUUAUGGGAAAUUCCCUUCUCUUUAUCUCUUUCUUCAUCUUCAGCUUUAGUUUCUUGGAGGCUCAAAAGGCUCCAGCAGUUUAUGUGUUUGGAGACUCACUUGUUGAUGUUGGCAACAACAAUUACUUGAGUCUCUCCAUUGAAAAGGCAAUUCUUCCUCACUAUGGCAUUGAUUUUCCAACUAAGAAACCCACUGGGAGAUUUAGCAAUGGCAAGAAUGCUGCAGAUUUAAUUGGUAAGUUGAUUCAAAAUUGACUAUAUUAUUGUUUUUCAAAACUUUCAUACAAUAAAUUGUUCACUUUACUGUAGGUAAGUACCUUUAAAUAUGAUAAUCUUUUUAAGAACAUUCUUGGUCUUUUGCUAUAAUCUCAUAUUUAGCUUCUCUUCUUCUCUAUUUCAAUAUUAAACUUUGAGAAUAUCAUCACUUUUCUUUUUUAAAGCCAGCUUAAGUGAGAUGUUUCUUCAUUGAAAUCUAUCUAAUCUCAUUUAUUUCUUAGUAUUGUACGUCAUUAAGUUGUAUAGUUUCUGCAUGUUUCUCCUCUACUACAUGUUUAGUAAGUUACAAGUCUUAUAAUUAGGAAUCUUUAAUUGGCUACUUUUUUUUUGGAAUUAAAUAUCUGCCAUGGACAAAAAUUUGUGAGCAACACUUUAAGCCACAUAUUCCUUAUUUUCUGCAAUGUUUUCUCCUGUAAGAAAAUCAUGGUUGAUGGGAUGGCUCUCAAAAGGCAUAAAAGGGCCAUCAACAUGGGAGUCAUUAGUACAUGUUUUCGUGUAUUGACUUCAGAAAAGUUUAUAUAAUUUAAAUAUAUAUGCUUUAUGGACACAAGCAAAAGGAAAAAAAAGAAGGCACUUUGUGUAUAGAAAGGAGGGAAAUAAAACAUUGACAUACUUUCUCCUUGAUUAGGAGACAAGAGGUUGGAGGCAAAGAAAACUUGUAUUGUACAUAAACAACCAAAAAAGUUAAUGUGAUUGUCUUAUUGUUGUUUUUAUUGAGGCUUGCAUAAUUGCAUAUUGAUAAUAGUGAUACAAAAUUACAAAUUGUGUUUUACUAAUAUUUGCAUCAAAUGAAUGGUUGGGUUGCAGCUGAAAACUUGGGCCUACCUACUUCUCCACCUUAUCUCUCCCUAGUAUCUAAGGUCCACAACAACAACAAGAAGAACGUAUCUUUCUUGGGUGGUGUUAAUUUUGCCUCCGGAGGUGCUGGAAUAUUUAAUGCCUCAGAUAAAGGAUUUGUAAGUAGAGUUCUAAUUUUCUGUUUUCUUCCUCCAAUUUUUGUUUUUACUCAUCAUGUCCUCAUCCAGAGAGAUUAUUGUAUGGUCCGGUCUAUCACAUGUCUAUCUAUGGUUUUAGUCAAUUUUAUUGACUUAUUGUGAUAUGUAAUUGAGUUUUUCAAUUUACCAAAAAUAGUCAAUAAAACUUAAUCACAUGUCAUGCGAAAAUUGACUAGAACCAUAAACAUGAAUGUAAUGAUCAUAGAUUAUAUAAUAAUUUUUUCUCAUUCAUUAUUUAAUUAGUUAGGUCAAUAUGAAAUUCAUCCAAACAAUAAACAACAUAUCAAAGAUUAUGUUGCUAACUUUUCUUUCAACCUAAAAAGAAAGUACACGACCAAGAAAAAGAACAUAUGUUCCCAGAAUGAUAAGAAAAUGACAAAAUAAAUAAAGAAAAUCUUCCCCCAGCUGAGCUAUCCCUUCUGGAUGACAAUUCUUGCAGAGGCAAUCAAUACCUUUGCCAAAGCAAGUGGACUACUACUCACAAGUGCAUGAACAACUGAUACAACAAAUAGGAGCAUCUACUCUCGGGAAACACCUCUCAAAGUCCAUCUUCAUUGUGGUGAUUGGUGGCAAUGAUAUCUUUGGUUACUUUGACUCAAAGGAUCUUCAAAAGAAAAACACCCCUCAGCAGUACGUGGAUUCCAUGGCUUCCACAUUAAAAGUGCAACUACAGGUAAACACAAUGGUUGUAAAUAGUAAGCAGCUACUUAGAUUGUGUUUGAUUGAGUGCUCUAACAUUGAUUUCGAAUAAAAUUGAUUUUGAACUAAAAUGAUUUAUAUUUGAAUGUUUUUAUUUAAAAUCAAGUUAAUAGUACUGUAAUACUUAAUAUUUUUUUAUCUAACCCAAAAUUACUUCAACUCAAAAUUAAUUUUGGACGCAUAAUCAAAUUUUUACUGUGAAACCAUUUCUAAAAUCAUGUUAACUUGAUAUUUCAGCGUAGUUUUAGAUGAUCUAGACACGGAACCAAACACGUACUUACUAAUUACCACUUCUAUGAUCAAGAUUAUAAGCUUGGAAGGGUGAAAACUUAAAACUUGUGUUGUUUAUAUAUUUUUUCCUUUUGGUUUGGCAAAUUUUUGGCAGAGAUUAUACAACAAUGGUGCAAAGAAAUUUGAGAUUGCUGGUGUUGGUGCAAUUGGGUGCUGCCCUGCAUACAGGGUCAAGAACAAAACAGAAUGUGUUUCUGAAGCCAAUGACUUGUCGGUUAAAUAUAAUGAAGCUCUUCAAUCCAUGUUAAAGGAAUGGCAAUUGGAGAACAAAGACAUAAGUUACUCUUACUUUGAUACUUAUGCUGCCAUCCAAGACCUUGUUCACAAUCCAGCUUCUUACGGUAUAUAUUAACACAUUGUUCAACAUCCCUUUACAUUGUUAGCCUAGACAUUGGGAGAUAGGACACCAUAACACAGACAACUUUUUUUAAAAUACUUGAUAAAAAAUAGGUUUAAUAUGUUUGUUACUCCUUGUAAAUAUGAUAUAUAAAAAAUAAAUUUAUAGGAAAAAAUUGAUAAUUUUUUUCAGGAAAUAAAACAAACUUUUGUCAUAUUUACCAUAAUUAAAAACAUAUUUAAACUUAAAAGUUACCACAACAAUUUUAAUGUUAAAUUGUAUAUUUAUAAUCAGUUUACAAAACUUGUUAUAAAAACUAAUCCUUAUGGUUGAUUUCAUGUUUCUGAUAAUUUCUAAUUUUAGAGAAUAUAUUAAGUUUAGAAAGUUGCUAAGAUUGGAAUGAGGAGAAAGAAAAUUUUAUAAGGAAUCUAUGUCCCUUUUUUCAGGAUUUGCUAAUGUGAAAGCUGCAUGUUGUGGACUUGGUGAGUUGAAUGCCCAAAUUCCAUGCCUGCCAAUUUCGAGCAUUUGUUCCAAUAGAAAAGACCAUAUUUUCUGGGAUGCAUUCCAUCCUACAGAGGCAGCUGCUCGCAUCUUUGUGGAUGAAAUUUUUAAUGGACCUUCAAAAUACAUAUCUCCUAUUAAUAUGGAACAGUUACUGGCCAUUUGAAUUGGCAAAUAAAUUAGUCACUUAGUCCUUUGUAAUGUGCUUUCCUUUUUUGUGGGGUUACUUGUUAUCAAGCAACACACUGGAACCCAAAAAAUGAAGAGAAAAAAAAACAUCUUAUUAGAUUAAACAUUUGGAUUAAUCUAAUUGUACGAAAGAGUGAGUUUAUGAACUUUUAGCUCAAGUGAUUUAUUUUAUAUUUACUAAAAAUGUCUUGACGUACGCUUUAAAUUCUGCAUCCUUGGUUCUUUUUUUUUAUAUACACUAUUAUUUGCGUCUGAUUUUGACAAAAAUAUACUUCUGAUUUAACGGACAAAAAAUAUAAUUAAGUCUAAAUUUUAAUAAGAUCCAAUAAAAUAAGCAGGUGAAAGGUUUCAAAACAAACAGCAAAUAUGCCUUUUUUAAGACUGUUGGCUAGUCACAUGCAAUCAAAAGGAGAUUACACAUUAUACAGAACUUUUAUAUAAAAAAAACACACUCAUUUGUAGUAUUCUAUAACUGUAACAAAAGUUUGAAAUAUGCUAGUUUACAUUAACACAAACAGAAUGUGAAACUUUUCUUUAAUAUUACUUGAGUAGAAUGUAAACUUCAAAUAGCUAGCAUAUCCAGUGAUUUUAUAGGCAGUCACUUUAUUGACAAACUCAUGCUUAAAUAUUUUCUUGUAAGCAUCACAGGAUUAGUGUUAGUUGUGAAUGUGCCACUGAAGGUAAAAAGGAAAAAAGAAAACCUCUCUAUCCCUAUAGAUAUUUGUGAAAAUGUGUAGUUAAAUUGGUGAUAACAAGUAUAGAAUAAUCCCCAACACUGUACCUUCACAAGAUGUUCAAGUACUGAGACCAAUUUUUGUUCAUUUUAAAUAGUAAAUUUUUUAUUACUAACUGUUUUGUAAAAUUAAGUUCAACUUUAAGAAUGUGAGUGGAAGCAGAGAAGGACUAUAAUCCCAAAAGAUAGUAGCCAGGAGAAACUCAAUCCAGUAUCCAAAAACAAACUGUAUAAAUGAUGACAUUAGUGAGGCGUCUCAGUGUAAAAUAAUCAAGGAAUAUGACAAAUUACUCCAAUAACAUUUCAAAAAGAACAAAUAAACUACAUUAUUAACACAUACAUGUUGCAUAAUGCAUAUUAUUGAAGCCAGUUACAUAAUUUAUCAUAAAAUCAAGCUUAUGAAACCCCUUACAUAAUUUAACAUAAGUUCUUUUAUGCAAAAGUCAAGUUAGAUAGAUAGUAUUUUUCUUUUAAAAAGAGAAUUUAUGUUAAUAUAACAAAUUUUAUAAGUAAAUAAAAGAAAGAGAUAGAUUUCUAUAAAAAAAAAGAGAUAGAUAGAUAAUAGUAAUUUUAUUUUUUUAAUCUUGUGUAAAAAACAUGAUUAACAAAGACUUUUCGUUGGAUAAUUAGUCAGAUGAAAAUUAAUCAUUAAUAAAAUUAAUGUAUAUUUUAUACUAAUAAUAUUAUGGUAUAAAAAAUAUUGCUUUUUUGAAAGAAAUAUAACAUAACUAAAUAUUUUUUUUAUAGAAACAUAUAUAAAUAUAUUAUACUUAAUAAAAAAAGGGAAAGGUGGCACGUGCCACGUACACGUGAAAAAGAACCCUGGUCUUUCUGCCCCUCUCCAAUCUUCCCCGCCACCGCCGAAAACUUUUCUUAAUCAGUCUCACAGUGAAGUUGAUCGGAGCCACAUACAUUCACGCACUGACGCUACUGUGUGAACGACGAUUAAGGUUUUGGUCUCUUCUCUCUGCCAAUAAUCAGAAAGCACUCGCUUCCAUUCAAACGAGUAAUGUGUAAUAAUUUUCAUGUCUAUAUAUUCUCUCUGCCAAUAAUCAUUCUUUGAUGGUUAAUGAUUAAUUAUUGUAAUUGUGUGCUGUGAAAAUAAGCGUUUGGUGUCCAUGAUGCCUAGUGUUGCUUAAUGUUCUCUUGUAAGUUGUUUUUUUUUUUUAUUAUUAUUAAUCUCACACCAUGCUCUGUGAUAUGAGCCUGUAAAAUAUUUUAAGUUGUUGCUGCUCGUUAAAUUGCAGUUCUUUUGGUUCUGUGUAACUUGUAACUUGGUGUGAGUGAUGGACUCUGUUAUGCAUUUACUGUUUUAAGUAAAUUCACUUGAGUAUGAAUUUCAUGUUUUCUUGUGUAGCUUGGUUUAAAACCAAGGCGGAUAAGUGAUUCAUUCUGGAUGGCAGGUCCAGCAACACCUUGCUAAAUUAAACCCUGAUUUUAAUAGUUACCUAUAAUUAGACUGUGUUCAAUUUCUUUGCUUAGGAGUGAGGAGAUAGAGUAUUGGAGUUGUUGACUAGUUUAAUUUGUGGUGCCCUGACAUUUAAAAAGACUCUUUAUGUAUCAAAAUAUUUCUCUAGAUUACCUCCAAUGUGGAAAACAAAUCCAUAUGGAUAAAUAAAGAGAAAUAUAUAUUUGAAUGGUUAAGAUUAAAAGAUAAAUGCACGUGACUUUCUUAAUUGGUCAUGUGACCACUAACUUUUAAUUUUAACCAUAUACCAUCCAUGUAUCAUUGUAUGACCUAGAUUUAUGGUUCUUACAUUCUUAAAAUGAGAACUAUUCUUACUAUGUAUGCUCCUUAUAAACUAUAUAUAGGUUGUUUGCAUCACCUAUGCAUGAAUCAUGAUUAAUUUACUUUUGUUUAAUUCUAGUAGCUAUUGACCUAUGCGUUGGUUAUGCCUCAUUUGCUUGUCUAUUUCAAUUAUAGACAUGACUGUUUUUUAUGUGAUUGCCUUGUAAUGUGCACUAAUUAUUAACACUGAAUUAAGUGCUUUCUUGUUCAUUCUUAAUUUCUUUCUGUAUGAAUUAAAAUGUGAAUAUUCAUUCUCGUUUUUUUUCUUGUUAACUUGGUUGUUUGUGUCACUAAUGCAAGAACCAUGUUUAUUUUGCAUGACUUUAGAUAGUAAUUGUUGGAUGAACUUGAAGGGAUUCAAUGGAUACAGAAUUCAAAACAAUUGAGGCAAGCAUAAUGUCUAUGCUUGGCCAACUCCAAUCUGAGGGUGGCAUCCUACAAAGAAUGGUAUACAAGAAUAAGAACCAGCACCGACGCGGUUCCUAUUUCCAGCGUCUUUUGAAGGUUCCCCACUACACAUUAUACAUUAUAGUUUCUCUACAGUCGCUGUUCAAUAUGAGUUUUCUUAAUGCUUGGCAUUUUCACAGUUUCAUGAAAGCUUUCUUUCUUUUUGUAAUAUACAAAUUUUAAAAGUAAUUGCAUUUGUGUGGAAAUUUGAAUGGAAAUGUGUAUUUACAUUUAAGUUUUCAUGAUGCAAUGUGUAUUUAUGUCCUUUUUGGAUUUUGUGCUGUGCUGUAUUGUAAUUUGCAGGUAAGGAGGGAUUUAAGGCUGCUGCAAUUGGCAAACUUGGAGGAGCUUGUAACAUCAUGUUUGCUUGUUAUCAAAGAAGAUAGACCAAAACAGAAGCUUCAUCUUUUAGAGAGGUAGGUUUAACUUAUUUCUAACAAGUUUUUGGUUGAUGUUUUUCCAAUUCAUGUACAAAGAAUCAAUUCAGAUAUAAAAUUAUUAUAGCCAACAAGGUAACAUGAUUGAAUGCUUAGUGCUUACAAUAUGUAGUGUUUAAAGUGCUGAUAUAGUCAGUGAUAUUUCAAUUAUGACCUCUCCAACUCUAACCCCUGAUUUUAGUAGCAGUAUUCCUUAAUGACUGAAUUUUUAUUUUAUUUUACUUUUUUUUGGGACUGGGGAGGAGGGAGGAGGGGGGGAUAGUAUGCCUCAGGUGCGUAUAGCACAUUGACAUGGGGAUCCUUCUUUUUUUCAAUAUGCUCAAUUCAAUUUUGUUUGGCCUUUUCUUUUGUGUAGUAUGUGCAAGGCAAAGAGAAAGGAAUUGGAAAACUUUGAAAUUCUAAUUUUACAUCUCAUGAAAAUGGGAAGUGACAAUUUUUAAUCUUCAUGUCAAGAGAAGUGAUACAGUAGACCAUUAUUCUGACCUGCACAUUGUGGACUUAUGGUUAAAGAAUUUGUAUAUAUGGAUGUGGCAACAUUAUUAUUCCAAAAUACGAUUUCAAUUUUGUGAGAUGGCUUACUCUCUCUUUGCAUAAUUGAACAUCUCAGUCAUACUUCAUUGUUUGAAUUUAUUUUUGGUUUUCAAAAUAUAUUUGUGAUGAAAUUUCCCCUUUGGUAUGUCUUUAUGAUAAUAUUGCAAGUCCUGUCUUGUUGAUGAUGAUAUUGUUCUACUUACUGUUUCAUUACAGCUUAAAAAGGAGAAAAUGUCAUAAUGAAAAGCAUAAUUUUAUGGAGCGUCUGUUAGGUGUUGCACACUUACUAGUAGAGGUGAAAUUGCUGAUAAAUAUUAUUGUUGCUCUAACUCUCUUUCUUACUUUGUACAUUAAGAUCAGUGUGUUCAUGCUGUGGUAACUCACUUGCCGUCCUCUUUCCAUUAAUAGUAUGACUAUAACGAGUAUUUCUCACUAAAAUCAAAUUGUUUAUGACUCUAAUAUGAAUCAUUUUCCCUAUGCAUCAUUAUAGAUUUAACAUUGGAUUGCUUAUUUUUAUGGAACCCAUUAUCCUAUCUCAAUUUGUGUUCUGUUUCUCAUGCAGAUGGUUGAACCAAUACUGAAGGCUGCAUCAUAUCCUUCUGCUUCUGCUAAUAGUCUAAUUUGAUUUGUGUUUUAAUGGUUAGCUUAUUUAUUUAUCCUAUAUGCUCAUAGUUUACUUAAUUGGCCAUACUCUGAUCAAAAUUUUAGACAUAUAAAAUCUUUUUCUUUCGUUUCAUACAUGUGUACUGGUUGAUUGGUACUUGGUGUUGCCAAAUGAUAUAACAUGCUCCAUAAUUUGCUUGUAUUAAUCUUUUUUCUUUGGCUUUGUUUUUUUUUCCCUGUGUAACUACAAUACCAUUUGUAAAACAUUAGGAGUUUGCUUGCAUACACAAAUUGUAUAUAAUAAUUUUAUGUUGGAAUUUUUUUUGUUGCCCAUCUUUUGUUACUCAAUUAUGUUGAUAAUUUGCCCUUUGCAUGUCUGUUGGUUGCUAUUGAUCUUCAUUGAAACAUGGACUUCUUAGUUCACACUUGCCAACUUUGAUGUCAUCUUCUUCCCUUUCCUUUCUAAAGCCCUAGAUUAUGUUUAUUUCAGUGUUCUACAUUUUUGGAGGCUAUUUUCAGAUAAUGAUUGGUUAUUGUUAAUGUCAUAUUUUGGUCUGUUAUUUUAUCCAGGGAUCAUUAUUUUACUUUAUACUUUGGAAAAGUAGAAUACACAAAGAAAUUUUUAUCAUUGUUACUGCUAGUAGUGUCAGACUGCGAGUGGCCGUAGUAUUCUUCUUGACCAUUUUAUGAGUAGUCUGUUUAAAUAUGCUACAUCAAAGUCCUUUCCUUGACUAUUUAAUAGUGAGGUAUCUGUAUUGUUUGCUCAAUCUUUUUUUAUGGGAUUUUCUGUGACAAUUAUGGCUUUGCUUGCACGUCUCCGAGUUCUGGUUCAACAAGUAAGUUUCUUGAGUUAAUGUAUUUAAUCCAGGUUGUAUCAUUUUUAAGUUGGAAUUUAUUUAAUGUGGAACACUGAUGCUGGCGUUGUUUCUAAAAUUUAAAUUAGGUUGAAAGUAAACGUGAUAUUAUUAGGAUAGCACUAGAUAGUAUAACUCUGUGAUCGUGAAUUGAUCUUCUAGCUCUAUUGGUUUAGUUACUCAAACCUUCUUUCCCCCCCUUGUGCAGAUAUUACUUGAUGUUGUUUCAUUGUUCAACAUGGUUUCUAUACUCUCUAUAAAGAAGCAAUCAAUAAAAACAACUCACAAUGAAACCGAGGUUUGUUUGUAUGACAAAAAUCUCUGUUGUAUACAUAUUUAUGCUUAGACAUGGAUAUGAAUCUAAAGUGAUAUUCUAAUUUCUACAUGCUAAUAUAUUCUUUUUUUAUAUAUAUAUACUAUUGAUGCAGGUUUUUAGAGAUUUCUACCCUGUUAGUGAUGAUUUUGUUACAUUAGAAUGUGUUUGGAAAUCAGACAAGUUUAUAUUACUCGAGAGGAAGCAUAAAAGGGUGAAUGAAAGUCAAGCUGUGGACUCUGGUGGAAUUGUUUUUGUCCAAACAUCAAAUGUUAAUUAUAAUUGUAUCGUGUCUUUUCUUGGGGGUAAGAAUGGUGUGCUUGUUUCUGCUGUUCCAUAUUUUCCAAGUCUUAUUAGUUUUAAUAUUUAAUUUUGUGAUGGGUAUUUCAGUUUAUGACAAUUUAACUGUUUUAUAACAAAUGUACUGCUAACGAUUUUGUCUUUUUCAUAUUACUAUAUGUUCGGACUCAACAAUUUUAUAUAUGAAAGUACCAAACUCAAUCACUUGUUAAGUUUACUUGGGAGCCAAUAACCUGUUCUUUUAGUUGUUAUUGUGAUCUCUGGAUCUCAAACAUGCAAAUGCUGUUAAAUGCGACAUAAAACUAAUUAGUUUGAUUGAAUUGAUCUUGUCAUCCAAGAACACUGGAAGAAAUUAGUAUAAGGGAUUUCAUUGUGAUUUUUUUUAAUCUCAUUGUGAAUAAUAUCCUUGAGAAUUUGUUUUCUAACGGAGUCCAAUGUCAUUGUGUGACCCAUGAGACUGAUCUCAUCUAAUGGGACAAGACUAUUAUUGUUUGUUGUUGUUAAUUUGAUCUUGUCAAUUUUGUUUGUUUUACUUUGGUUUCCUGCGGCCUCUUUGCAUAUGCAAGGUUAAGGCUGCGUACAACAUCCCUCCCCCAUACCUUCGCAUAGCGAAGAGCCUCUGGGCAAUGGGGUACGAAGUUUUUUUAUACUUUGGUUUCCUGAGUUCUUUUGAUUAGGAUUAAAAAUUGGCGUAUCAACAUUUGACAGUUUUUGCAAGUGAUUAGUGAUUUGUAUUCAUGAAGCUGAAUAGAAACCACAUAAAUAAACUGCUUCUUUUCAGGAUCUGGCCUUGUUGCUUUGCAAAAUAUAAAAGAAAUACUUUUCUCUCACCUUUACUUGUGACAUCACCAUUUUAUAUCCAAAGUUAAAUUGUAAUUUGUUGUUGUCGUUAGUUUUAACAAGUCUUGGUAAAUUGUCUCUUGCAGAUGAUCGGUUAGUCCCAAAGAGAGUAGCAGAUGUUGCUGCCAAAAAAGAUCCCUGUCAUAUCAAUGAUAAGAGUACUGAUUUGUUGAUUGGCUCAUCACCAAAUGAUGAUAAGGAGACUAUAUAUAAUGAUGAAGGAGAAAAUCAAGGCAUCACGAAAGCCUCCAUCAACAAAUCUUUACCAGAGGUUGGUUUGCAUGCAUUAUCGCCGUCUACUACCAAUGAUAAACUUCAUUCUUGUCGAAGAAGGUGGCAUUUGUCUCAAUCAAGAAUCUUACACUAACGUGACACAAAUCUUAAAUUGAAGUAACCAAACAAAGGAUGACAUGGGGGAUUCACUUGCUAGUUUAUUUACUGAUGUAAAUGCAAAGGGUAAUUUCAAACAUGACUAGCUAUUGUAGUUAAACUUUUGGUGGUAACUUUAUCCAAGGCUAGGAAAUCUUGAUUUAAUAAUGGUAAUAACUAAUAAAAUUCUCUAGGGCUCUUAUUGAGGAUGUGAUCAUGAAAAGUAUUAAAUGAUUUUAUUUUUUUUUAUAGAUUCUUAAUGUCUCAAAGGUCGUGUGUGUUUUAUUGUUUUGGUUUCUUAGCUUCUUAGCAAGUCUCUUGAGGCAUACUACUCCCCACGAUAACACACUACAUAUUGUAAAUAUCCAACUAAGUAGUUAGUUAUCUUAAUUUAAUAUUUGAAUUAAUUAUCUGAACAUGAAUUGGGAAAACAUCAACCAAAAAGAUAUAACUAUCCCUAUAAAAGAUGUACCUUUUAAUUUGAUCUAUAUUCUUUGAUAAAAAGCAAAACAAGUUACAAACUCAUUUAAGUUUUUGCCAAUUGCAGAAGACUUAAAUUUCUCCUCGCCUACAAAUUACAAUAUAACAAAGUUCAAGGAGGACAUAAAUACACAAUCCAUACAUGGAAACUCAAAUGUAAAUACACAUUUUUCAUCUAACUUUCCACACAAAUGCAAUUACUUUUAAAAUUUGUAUAUUACAAAGAAGAAAAAAAAGCUUUCUUGAAAGUGUCAAAAAUUAAGCAAAACGCUGACUAUUGGAAAUUAUAAUGUAUUACAUGUAGUGGUGAGCCUUCAAAACGAAAGACUCUGGAAAUAGGAAUUAAGCCGAAGUUAGUCUUUAUUCUUGUAAAUCAUUUUUUCCAUGACGCCACACUCUGGACACAUGAUUCAAAAGACGUUAUUGUUGCCUUAAUUGUUUCGAACUCAGUACCAAUCAGGUCAGCCAUGGAAACGGGGUGAGUCCUAGGCAGGGUUUCCCAAUCCCCAUCCCUGCAAAAGGCAGGAUGGGUUCUGCUUUGGGUUCAUAAAAGGCAGGGGUCAAAAAAUGGAAUCCAACUUUAUUCUCAUCGGGUUUGGAGGAAUCCAAGGUGAAUUCAUCUCACAUUUUUUUAAAAUAUUUGUUCAAAUAUUUUAAAUAAAUCAUGCAUUAAAUUAUCAAUUACAUUUUAAUUCAAUAUAUAUAUAUAUAUAUAUAAUUUAAUAAAUAAUAAAUAACGCAAACAUAUUUAAAAAAUAAAUUAUAUUUAGUUAAAUGUAUAGUUUUUAAUUUUGUUAUAAUUUUGCUAUAAUUACAAUAUUAUUUAUUUAAUUAUUAAAAUAAUUGUUCUAUAUUUUUUAUAAUUAUAAAAAAUAAAACAUGAAAUAAUGAUAUGAUUAAUAAUUACAUAUAACACGUAUAAUAAUAGAAUUAUAUAUAAAUAUAUAACUAUAUUAUUAAUAAUUCUAAAAAUAUAUGUAAAGGGGCAAGUACAAGGGAGCACAGGGAGUGGCAUACCUGCCCCAACCCCCGCUAUUCCAAGUCGGGAAAAAUCCCAACCUCGGUUAAAGUGGGUUUUUCCCCUCAAAGUUGAGACAGAGUUAGACAGGUGUUUAUGGGUCAAUUUUUAUUUUGAUUCCUUUGAGUCCUUCCAAAUUUACCCAACAAUGACUAUCUAAAGAGAUGCAAAAUAAACAUGAUUCAUGCAUUAGUAAUACAACCUAUAUAUUUAUAAGUGAGAUAUCUAGGGAGAGCAAUUUUUAACCCAAAAUUUGAAUGAUAAAAUUUGUGAAUGUUGAAAUUUGGAUGAUAAAUUUCGUGGAAAUUUUUUUUUAAAUAAUAAAAUCCGUAAAAAUUUAAAAGUUGGUAGUAAAAUUCAUAAAAUAAUUAAAUUUUAAUGGUAAAAUUUACAAUUAAGCUUUGUUUUAAAUGAUAACAUAUAUAAAUAUCAUAUAAUUUUUCUUCAUUAGAAUAUGAGAUAGAAGUAUCAUAUUUAUAAUUUUAAUUUUUAUAUCAAUUUUUCUUCACAAAAAAUUAUUAUAUGGUAUUCUUUUUAAAGUAAAACAUGUAUAAAUAUAUUAUUUAUAUAUUUUUAAAUUUUUAAAAAUUAUAACGUAUAUUUCUAACUUACCCUAGGACCGGCCUUCACAUGAAGCAAAUGAAGUCUUUGUUUUAGGUCCCAGUCAUUUAACAUUAGUAUUUUGUAUAAUUUUUAUUAUUUGUUUUCACUUAGAAAAUAAUUACUCUGAAAAUCAAAAUAAGAAAUAAUAAUUACUCAUUAAUUUCAUUUCAAUUAGUGAAAAUAUCUCUUAAUUGACGAAGCCUCCUCAAUAUUCAAUUCUCACCAAAAUCAGCUCAAAAGUCACUAUCUAUAUUCUUUUAAUUUUGAAUCUCUUAUCACUUAUCUCAAUCAAAAUAUAAUUAUUUUAUUAAAAUAUUUUCUUUUUGUAAAAAAACUUAUUAUUACUUUUAGACAUACCUCAUUUUAAAAUUAGCUUUAGGCGUAAAAAUAUGUUAGGUUGAUCCUACCUCACCCACGAAAUCCACUCAUUUUUAAAUCCAUGUUUCAAGAGUGUUUUCCAAAAUAAAGGGUAAAACUUGAUUAAUUUUAGUAUCUGAACUUCAACUUUGAUGAAGAUGAUCAUUUUGAUAUUCUCCUCGGAUAAGAAAAUAAAACUUUACAAAGGAUUUUCCAAAGGAAGAUGAAGACAAAGAUGCUCCCUUUACUACGCGAUGAUGACUUAACUAUGACGCAGUUAGUAAAGUUAGUAUUAAAAAGAAGUCAAUUUGUUAUUUUUUUUACCUAAUGUUUAUUUCAAUUUCAAAAAUACAAUUUGCAGUUAUUGUGUUUCUGCAACCAAAUUAAGUAACAUACUUACGUGUAUGCAUGGGGCUUAAUCAAUGGUCAAGGAGUUCCAUGGCCUAGGGCAUACUGCUCAAGGAGAGCUAUCCAUGUUUGUGUUUGUUCAUAAAUCCUCUCACUCUUUCUUACUUUAAAGAUUUCCUCUUCCUUUAUUUUUUUUUUCAAUGCUCUUCCGUAUAUAAAAGUAGGCUAAUUAAUUGCAUUGAUGCCCAUAAUUCACAUUUUAUUUAACACAAAAAAAUCUUAAGUUUCAACAAAUUAAAUGUUGCUAUCAGUGUCACAAAAUGAUAAAAAAAAAAAUUGAAAUUAAAAGUCUGCAUUAUUUAGGUGUUUUUUCGUAGUGGUAAAUAACUUGGUGCUUCCCAGAUGAUAUAAAUAAUCUCAGGAAUAAAUGAGUUUUAUGCAUGUCAUCUAAAUUGAGCCUGGACCGUCCAAUUCAACAAGCAUGGAUCACAUCUUAGUUUAGAAAAAGAUUAUUAGGCGUUGGUACUAUUUUAGUUCAAAUGUUUAAGCUUGUACUAAUAUGGUACUCCAUAAUAUUCCCACUCCACGGUGUGUCUCAAGAGUAUUCAAAUUUAUCGAUGAAAAAUAAAAUUAAAAAACUACUUAAAAAAUUGAAUCUAACCUUUGUUUGGAUUUGUUUAAAUGAUUUUGUGCUUAAAUUACUAAACCACAAUACUUGUAUUUUUUUUUAGUGUUUUUUUUAGGAUAGUGUUUUUAGUGUUAUGCAUUUUAUAUAAUGUAUACCACUUGCGUUUUAAUUAUAGUGCUUUAUAAUAUUUUACUUUGUUAUGUAUACCAUACUUAUAUAAUAUAUAUUAUUUUCUUUUUUAGAAGACUUACAUUUGGUGUUUGGUGUAGAAUGGAUAAAAAAAUUGGUAGAUUUUUAUUAUAAAAUGUUUAGCAGAGUAACAAGCUUUGUAGAUUGUUAUUAGCAAAAUAAAUUAUUAUAAUUUAAUUUAAAAGAUCAAACAAAAGUAAAUUUUUUUAAUAGAAUAAAUAUUUUAGUAAAAAUGCAAAACUAAUCGAAAUCAUAUGAUAAUUGGAUGAUUUGGUCUCAACCAAAAUGAAUAGUAUAUCAUUUUUAUAUUUGAUUUAAAUGACUUUAAUUUUAAUGAAAAAAUCUAACCAAAUUAUUGCGCAAAGACCCCUAAAUCCUCAUGUCUCCCAAAUAUCUCGUGGUUCAAGUUCAAGUACACUAUCUAACAAACGAAUAGGUUGAAUUUAAACCAAGAUUUGAGAAAUAAUGUGAUUCAUUCAAGUAAAAUCAAACACGAUUCUCACUUCAUCCUAUAGUUUUGUUACCCAUGGAACUAGAAUUUAUAUAUGUUGGGAUAAAUAUGUAUACUAAAGAUACAAUUCAUGGUACUAUCAAUUUUAGAAAAAAAAUAUUCUUUAUUUUAUUAUCAUAUUUAUUAUUUUAUUAAAUUAUUAAUUUGACACGUCCUAAAACUAAAGGUUUGUUAUCAUGAUAGAGAUUAUGACAAUAAGACAUAAGUCUUUUAUAAUUUUAAUCUAUAUUGUUCUUGAUCAUAUGAUUAUUGUAAACAAAACAUUAAUCAUCUGGAUAGAUUAAUAUAUAUGUAAUGAUCAUUAUUGGAUAACGAUUAAUAGAUCUCAUUUAUCAAAUUACAUAUAUAUAGAUGUUGUAUAUGUAAAGAUCAUCAUUAACUUACAUAAUUAGAAAUUCAUAAUAGUUAAUAUUACCUUGAUAUGUCAAUGAGAAAUUCUCAAAAAGAAAUACAACCGUUUUGUUUGACCUAAGAUUACUAGAGUAAUUAACAAAUUAUUUGUUAUAUUUUAAUUUCGGACACUUAAUACCUUAGGACACUUAAUAAUAGUUAAUAUUACCUUGAUAUGUCAAUGAAUAUUGGAUAUGAUCAAAUAUUUAUAGAAUUAAUAAUUAAUCAAGAAAGAAUUCAUCAACUCUAGAUCAUAAGUAAUAAGUUAAGUGUGAGCUCCGUGAUAGAAUUAAGACCUUGACAAGUCAUUCAUAAGAUGUGUUAAUUUAUUAAAGCUUGACAAUAACACUACACUCUAGAGUUAACCUUGAGGUAUAAAUGAUGGAAGAAAAUAUUACACUAUUCUUCUUGGUUGGUUUGUUCUCGAAAGUAAAAAAUGUUAUUUCAUGUUAUGCGGACGGACGGACACUCAGUAGUGUUGUGUUGUUAGAUGACUAUCUUGAUUACUAAAUUAAUUAGCAUUGAAUUACUACGAAUUUAGUAUGAAACCUACCGGAUCACACACAUACCAGUGUUCUAAUCUUUACAAAAGAAAAUAAUUUAUUUGAUAAUUAAAUUAGAGAAUUUAAUUUAAUCAAAUAAAUAUUUUAGUGAAAUAUUAUUAUUUGUUUGCUACCACCAAUAAUAUAAUUAAUAUACAAAGGAAUGAUUAUUUCAUAAAUGUGAGAGUUGUUACAAGGGUAAUAUUCUAUUGCUACCUCCUAUUAUUAUGGAUGUGAGUGUGAUUAAUUGUGGAUUAGAUCUGUCUCAUCUCCAAGGAACUCCUUACACUAAAAUACAUGAGGCAAUGUUUAUGUUUAUAAAUAAAAGAUUCAAAUUAUUUUAAAUUAUUUAUUUUUUUAUAGAAAAGUUCAAAUCCUUGUUUCUUUGACAUUAUAAACAUAAAUAGAAACAUCUAGUUACCUGACACAAAAUACAUAAUCAGAAAAGUUAACACCUAAUUUUACAAGUAGGAGGAAAGAGGACCUGCUCUUUAAGAUUUCAUUCAUUAAAGAGUUAAUAACAAAUAUUGGUCUCUUGGUGGUGGAUACACACAAAGAGGAGUCUUCCAACCCUUGUAGGAAAGAUUUGUUGCUUCAAGAACACGCCUUCCCCCUCUCUUUCCUUAUUAGUGUAUACAAGGUAUAAAAUAGUUUUAUAUCAUCAUCUAAUUAUUUAUUUAUGUAUGAUAAGUUCGUUAACUUUCAUAAUAAUUAGUUUGAAAGUAAUAUCAAUAAUCAUUUAUAAUUAAUUUACUGUGUAAAACUAUUCUACUGUGACCAUUAAAAGAAAAUGAGUUUUUUUUUUAACAAAAAUUAAAAAUAUAAGUGAUAAAGUUAUGAAAAUAAAACUUAAAUAAUAAAAAAUUAAAUAAAUCAUAUUUAGUAAUUUUUCAUGUUUUCACACGUUAAUGUAAUGUCAUUGAGAUGAUAUUAACGUGGUAAUGUUCCCCGAGAGAUUAGAAGGACAAAAAACUUGUAUAAACUGAUAUAGGUAUUUUUAUUGCUUGUUUCAUUUCUCGUUAACUUCUAUAAUAAUUAGUUUAAAAGUAAUAUCAAUAAUUAUUUAUAAUUAAUUUAUGAUAUAAAAUUAUUUUAUUAUCAUAACUAUUAAAAUAUAAGUUAUUUGGUAUAAAAGAAAAUAAUUUUUUAAACAAAAAUAAAAAAUAUGUGAUAAAGUUAUCAAAAUAAAUCUUGAAUAGUAAAAAUUAGAUGAACCAUAUUUAAUAAUUUUUCAUGUUUUGACAUAUUAAUGUGUGGUUAAGAUAACAGUGAUAAAGUUCCUAGGAUGCUAAUUCCUGAGUGUACACAAAAAACAUAAAACAUGGUGUUAAUCUCUUUAUCAAAUACAAUAUUUUUCUUUUAUCUUUCUCCUACUUUUUUAUGCUACUAUUGCUGUUUUUAUGUCCUAUUCUUGUACUUCUUUUUCAUGCAAUGUCUUCCUUGGAAAUCUUCACACUAAUGUAAGGGUGAUUCUUUUGUUGUGAGUCUCUAAUUAGGUAACUUCCAUUUCACACUAAUAUCAUGGUUCCGAAAGGUUUUUUCACUUGUUUAUGUUGAGAUAAAAAAAAUGUUGUUUUUUAUGAUGAAAAAAUAUUAUUAAAUACUUCAUGUCAUUUAAAAAAUAAGUUUUUCAUGGAAAAUGAAAUGCUGUUAAUAUAUAUUUUUUUAAUAAUGGAUUUAAUUUUUUUCGUAUAAUAGGAGAGAUUAUAUUUGUGAAUGAAGUGCAAAAAAAAUUGCAAAAAUUACGAGAUUUAACUAAAAUAAAGGACUAAAGGUAAAGAGUAUAAAUGAAAUAGGAGAGAGACAUUAAUCACUAAGGGUAGUGAGAAAAAUAUAAAUAAAAAUUAAUAAUUCAAAUAAAUAAUUAUCUACUAUGUUUCACAAAAGUAAAUAAAAGUUAUUUGGUAGCUAAUAUACAUUAGAAAUUAAUGUAAUUCAUUAUAAGUUUUAAAUGACAGAUUGCCUCAUCAUCAUAUUUUAAUUUAGUUGGUAGAUAGAAAAAUAUUUAACGACUAAAGAUAUUUAAAAAGGUUGUUUGAAUUAUAAAUCAAAUUGGACGAAUGUCACAGAUGUUUUAAUAUCAAAAUUUUAUACAUAAUAUGAAUUAGUACGCACAAUUAUAAAUCAUUAAUUAAAUUAUGCAUAAUACGAAUUGAUGUAAAAAAGUAUAAUUUUGGUAAAAAAAAAUAUUUUUUUGUCAUAAUUUUAUUAAAAUUCUAAAUUAAAUAGUGUAUAAUAGUAAUUGAUAUAAAAAAGAUAUAUUUUGUCAAAAUGGAUUGUUUGGGGCUAAAGGGAAGGAACAUUUGUUUGAACUCUUUUGCACAAUCUAACUAAUAAAAGAAGAGUAAGAUAUUUAUUUUGACACUGAAAAUGAGUGGUAACAAAUUGAUUUUAAAAAUAAAAAUUUAAUUUAGUUCUUGUGUAAAAAAAAUAUCAAAUUAAUUUUAUGGAUAAUUUAAUAAUAAAUUAAUCCCUAAUUUUAUAAUUUAAUAGCAGAUCAAUCUUUAAAAAUUAUUAUUAUUAAAUUAGGUCCUGAACGUUAUUAGUUAAUAAUAAAAAAGUUAAUCAAUUUGUCAUAGUUUUUACAAGAUUAAAUUUGAUCUUUCCAUUUUAAGUGGCCAAUUUGUCAUUGGCUCUAAUUUUUAGGGAUCAAAACUUACCUAUAAAAGAAUGACUGUUGCUUCCCAAGUUACGUCCUACACUCUUUCAAGAAUAUCUUUUGACCUAAUUGGUCAUUCCGAAAAUCAAAAGGGAGAACAAUAUUUUCAUUAGCCAGCCCAAGUGCGAAAAACCAAUCUGAUUAUACAGUUGCUCAAAUAGAAAGAGACUUAAACUAGGAAUACACAGUUAAAAUCUAGAAACAGAGGCUGACACGGGCCAAAUCACAUAAACUAAACCUUAAAAAAUAAAAAAUAAAGCCAAAGAAAUCUCCGGUUUAAAAUAGUUAGGUGCCAAACAAACGAUAAACAUAACCAACACACAAUAAGAAUCAUUACUUCAUAUGACCAAGCAAACGUAAAAACAAAAUUUUAAAAAGGCCUUUAACUUUAGGACUUACAUAGGAAAGGGCCGCGCAAAACGCAGGCCCACACUCACAAAUUAUGAUGUAGGCUCUGCCACUUAGGCAGGCCUUAGAACAGCACCCUUCCAAAGUGCAAUGAAAGUCACUGCUCUAGGCCAUGGAUCUUCUUGAUCAUCCAUUGACCCCAUCCAGGUAUGUAAUUUUAAAUAUUCUUUUAUGCAUCUAUUUAUAGCCCAUCCUCCAAGUUAUAUUUCCUAGUUUUUCCGAUGUGGGACACAUUUAAUAAGGCUUACGCGAGUAGCUUCAAGUGGAUUUUUUUUCCUUCAAAAAUACAAAAAAACACAACAAAAACAGAGGUUAAUAGUUUUAAGGCUAUGAUUGAAGGAAAUAUAAACCAGAGGUUAAAUGCUUCUUCCGAACUUGAAUAAUCAUCAGCUAGACAUGCUGAAACUGGUCAUGGAAGCAUAAUUGAAAACGUUCACUUGCUCUUGUAUCUUGUUAGUCUGUAAUGGUUUAGUGUCUGUGUUUGUUUGUGUUUUGGACCCCUCAAACGGAUGUUAAAAGCAAAGCUAGAAAUCCUUGCUUCUCACAAAACACUGCUACCUUGGUACGUGCGCCAACUGAAUGCAACGCGUACACAAACAUAGCCUUAAUGAUACAUAUUUUGUGUAUUCUUUUUGUGAUUUGUAUUGUACCUUAAAAGACAAAAGUUGUAUGAAAAACAUUAAGAAUGAAGCUAUUUCUCUAGCUUUUAUAUCUUGUAUGUCAGCUGUGAGUUACUUCACCUGUGUCCACUGGCUCUGAUAAUGAUUGAAUGAGCAAGUUUUUUGAAAAUUAUUAAACUUUACAGAGUUUAAAUCUGCAAUUACAAGAACCCUUGUAAUACAUGAAAGAUUGUUCAUAUACUGUACAUCAGAAAGAAAGAAAAAGUGUCUAGCCUGAGAACCUUAAAAUGAAUCUAAAAGAUUAAAUGAAACUCAUUUCAAUCCUAGAAGGCAAGAAGAGUAAAGUCUAACAACAUUUCAAUCCCUAAUUCACUGUCAAGAGGAUAAUGCUGCUCAACUAGAAAAAAUUUAUUUUGAUAUGAAAUAUGAUAUCAAACAUCAACAUAAAUAAUGAAACUUAUAUACACAACUAAAAAUCUUUAAAGUAGGAAAAGGAAGGGAUCGCAAGGACCCAGUUUGUGAGUGCUUCUUCAAAACUUGAAUCAUCAUCAAUAAAUGUGUUGAAGGUGGUUGCAGAAAGAGAGUUGAAAACAAAGUGCUUCAGGGGAUGAUUUUUUUUUUAUACAUAUAUUCUGGGUAUCCUUUUGUAAUUUGUAUUGAUAAAAACCAAACAUACAAAAACAUAUAGUAAGCCUUCUUGGUCGAACAACGUUAUUUGUAAGUUUUAUUACAUUCAUUUUAGCAUCAUGACCAAACCAAAAUGAAGAAGCAACAAGUAGCAAUUAAAGCAUAGUUAAGAAAUAUUGUAUUUCACUAUUUUUUUUUCAUAAGUCAGAAAUGAGUUAUUUCACCUAUGAACACACUUUUAAAACAGGAAUUCAAGAAUAGUUAUUGCAGGGUAUGCUGAAUGAAUUUCAAUCCCUUUAACGAUGAGUUAUUUUAAUGGUACAAAUCACACAGCUAGUGAUGUUAUUCUUUCAAAUUUCCGUAUACUUUAUAAUUUACACCAUUUAAAAACAAAGAUAAUACAGAGUUAAGUUAUAUGUAGGUUUUUCCAGAUUCAUUUUAGCAUCUUAAAUCUGUUGCGAGACCAAAUCAAAAUGAAGCAGCAACAAGUAGCAAAUAAAGCAUCAUUAAGAAAGAUGCUAUUUCACUUGCUUUUAAUUUUUGCAAGCCAAUGAUGAGUUAUUUCACUGGCAGUCAAAACAUGGAUUUAAGAACUAUUACUUCAACCUAUUUAUUGAUGAGUUUCAAACCCUUUUAAUAAAGCAAGAAAAGUAGGUUUUAACUCUAACUCCACGGGCAAAAAAACUAUAAGCACGGGGCUCUGAUAUGUGAUUUAAUUAGAAUGAAUAACACAAAACACAUAACACAUUGGAUUAAUUUCACAGCCAGUUUAUUUUCCCAGUGAAUAAACAACUUCUUCUACUCUUAUGGUGUUAUUCAAACAAACUACUACAAACUAAGAAAACAAGUUUAGCACCCUGAAAGGCAGUGUCUUCAAUUAUAGGCAAAAUACCACUGCAUGCUUCACGCUUAACAGUACACAUGUUAGAGUUCUUUCAUCUUACUGUAUUUACAUUUAAUAUCAUUUGGUCUCAAUCACUAAGUAUCAAUUUCAAGAUAAUAAGAGUCCUCUCUUAUAAUCUCAUACUCACUAAGCACUUAAAUUAAAAUUGAAGGGGCCUGCACAAACACAGGCCUCGAAGUGCAUUGUAAGGUACUUCCCUAGGUCAUGGAACUUCGUGAUCAAGCAUUGAUCCCGUACAGGUAAGUAUGCCAAAAUACAUUGCACAUCCACUUUUUUAUGUCAUCCUCCCUGGCUACUCUGACAAAUCAUUUCGAUGUGGGAUUUAUUGAGCAGAGUGCUUCAAAAGUUACAGUAAAAUGGUCUCCAAUUGCUGUGUGCUUCGUCUAAACAGCUGCAAGAAUAACCCUGUCAUGACUAGUAAAGUUUUGUGUAAUAUGUAUUCAACUUAACAUGUCUUGUAUUGACACAAGAAAUUAAAGCAGAGUCCAGUUAUAUCCCAUGAGUCUACCAUAUGGGAGACAAAGUUUGAAGCGGGAAUUUUAGGACAUAAUGAAAUCCACACUCAUAAUAGCAAAAGGAGGCAAAAUUAACACUACAUAACAUAAAGCCAAUUAAAUACUACAGAAAAUUAUGCAGAUUCCAACGGUGAAUCUUAGUAAUCUUUGAGCAAUGUGCUGAACCUGGUUGCAGAAACAUUCAAAAAGGGAUGAUUCUUAGUUAGGGUGUUUUUGCAUCUUGUUUGGUUUUUAGUGAUACAAAUUACAUAGUUCCUUGUCUAGUAAAUGCUACGUAGGUCUGAAUUACUGCAUACUGGUUUACUAGGUAACCACAAUGUUACCUAAAAUCUAUUAAACCAUAAAUAAGGAUACCCAAAUCAAAGAAGAUAUAUAAAAAGUAAUAUCUUGUCUAAAUUCCAUGAAAAACAUUUUAGAAAAGAGAUGACGCUUUUUAGAAUGAUCAACCAUGUGUUUAGAAGUGAAAAUCUUGAACAAAAAAGUGGAAAUCUUGUAACAUUAAAAAUUGUGUUCUGAGAUAAGUGAAAAGCUAAGAGGAAUGUGUGAGCAUCAAGGCUUGUAAUUUUGGUUAAAUAGCUAAAAGAAAAGGUCCCCCAACAUCCUACAUCCUCUCCUCCAGCACCAUGAGAAUUCUAUGGUUUUUUCCCUUUGGCUUCACCUCUUUUGUAAAUAAUUGAACUAUCUUUGGGUGGGAUGUGCCAGGCCCUUGCAGUAGUGCAAAACAAGAGCGACACUUGAGAGCCUCAGUAGCAAGCUACCGUAAUAGACCCUCCCCUCAAAAAAUAAAUUUAAUAUCGUGUGAACCAAUGGUCCACAUAUCAGAUAUUAAACUGAUAAGAACAGAUACUACACUUGAUCUUAGCCAAAAGGCCGAGAAAGGUAUGCUUUGUACAUUGUAGGUAUUCAAAUUUUAUACUGGGAGCUUCAGCUGCCUGACAAAGUUCUGACAAAUGUGGGACUAAUUCAUCCCAACAUCCUAGCCAAGAGCAACAUGGUUAAAAAUUUAGAUCAGCAACAUAAAAGUUCAAACCUGAGACUAAUAAAAGUUCAAACACAUUAUAAUCUUCCCGUUGAUAUUUUACUUGGAUAUGUUACUAUUACCUGCUAUGUUGAUUCUUCUGACUUUGCUAAUCAUCAUGGAUUAUUAGAACUGAUAGGACUGAUUCCUGCAUGGAAGAGGGUUAUUUAAAAUUCUACUAAUAGAAGAACAAGAUCUCUUGUAUGUAUUUCUUAGUGUUCAGAUAUGAAUUUUUACACAGGUUGUGAAUUAAAAUUCAUGCUAGUUAUUUCUGAACAAUCUCAGUCCCGGCACCUGAGCCCAUCUUGUUGCUAAAUAACACUAACGUUGACGAAAGAAAAGACAAUGAAAACAACACAAUUUUCUCAGUUUUCAUUGCCUAUUAGAAGGAAGAAAAAAAAUCUGAGUUUUCAAAAGUUAUGGAUAUAUAUUGACCCUCGUGCAUGGGUCCAUAGAAAAAUUUAAAGGUGGUGUCAACUUCAUAAUGAGAGUUUUGCUGAUGUUUUGAUUCCUUUUCUUUUCAAAUUUAAAGAAAAGUAGAUUUUGCAAGAAAGUGUCGUAUCGCAGGGUAGGGCAAUUCAUCUACUUGUUGGCAUCCAGCAAAAUCGGCUAAAGCUAGAGUGUUACUUUUGGGACUGAUAUUUUGUGUCUAUGUUUGUAACAACAAAAAGUUGGAAUUUAUAUUGUUAGUCACUGUUUCUCUCAUUUGUAUAUGCACAUCCAUUUCAUGCUGUUUAUCCUAUUUUCUUUGGUUUUUGUCUUGAGUUUAUAUUUGGCAACAACUUCCCUAUCUUGCUGUCAAUAUCAGGCUUGCUUACCUAGAACGAUGGGACCUUGCUGGGUCAAUAUAUUCAUGUUCACUUGCUUCCAUGUGUUGGAAUCCAGAGAGAACAGAAAAAUUUUCGUCUAUGUUUAAUUUCAUCUACAACUUCCAUACAAAUCAUACCAAGGAAAAGGGUACCUUUUCCAUCCCAAAGAUAAGGAAGUAAGGAACCAACAAAAAUAGAAAAAAGGCCAUACUGAAGAAAGACAAAAGAAACCCAGCAUUUCUUAAAUUGUGAGACAAGUAAUAAUAUGUAAUACUAGUAUAGUAGUGGCCAUGGGAUGCACGAUUAUUUCAUUAUAUUUUAAUUAUGUUUAUUACAUACAUUUUUUAAGACUUGUGAAAUAUAAAAUUAUUUUAUAGCAGCGUGUAACAUUUUUUUUCUCAUUAAAUAAUACACACUUCAAUUAUUAUUGAUUCUUUAAUCCUAAUUUAUAUCAAUGCCUGUGACAAUUGAUUUUCCUAUUUCUAAUUAUUUACUUUUCAUAUAAAUUAAUUUAUAUUGGUUGAUAUCUUUUAUUUAUUCAGUCACCUUCCUCACAAUAUUCCGACCUAUCAUUAUUAUUAUUUAAAUUUUUGCACAUUUGAUUGUUUCUUCAAAUUACUACAAAAAAACUAGCACACUAAGUUAGUUGAAGAGGUCAGCUGAGCUUUUCAUGUAGCCUAGCGCCACUUUGCCAGAGCAAAUCCAAUAAUUAAAAUUUCAGAAAAAUAAAGAUAAAAACAAAAUUUUAAGUUGCAUUGAUAGGGAGCCGCGCGAACGCAGGCUCCCACUACCACAAAUUAUGACGUAGGCUCUGCCACUUGGGCAGACCUUAGGAAAGCACCCCUCCAAAGUGCAAUGGAAGUCACUUCCCUAGGCCAUAGACCUUCUUGAUCAUCCAUUGACCCCGUCCAGGUAAGUAUGUUACUCAAUGCCAUACACUUCACUUUUAUAACUCGUGCGUCAGACCACUCUGACUCAUCUUUUCGAUGUGGGGCUAGCUCUGAGGGAUUUGGCUUUCUAAUUAAUCCAUGGUCUCUACUCUCAAGUUGCAAUAUGCUCCCUCCAAACUUGAAUCAUUAUCAGCAUGUGUUGUGCUGAAUCUUGUUGCAGAACCAUAACUGAAAACAAACAAUAGUGGCUUUGAGAGGGGUUGACUACUGGUUUGGCAUGUAGAACUCUCUUCAUAUAUGCUCUUGUGUCUUCUUUGUUUUUAANNNNNNNNNNNNNNNNNNNNNNNNNNNNNNNNNNNNNNNNNNNNNNNNNNNNNNNNNNNNNNNNNNNNNNNNNNNNNNNNNNNNNNNNNNNNNNNNNNNNNNNNNNNNNNNNNNNNNNNNNNNNNNNNNNNNNNNNNNNNNNNNNNNNNNNNNNNNNNNNNNNNNNNNNNNNNNNNNNNNNNNNNNNNNNNNNNNNNNNNNNNNNNNNNNNNNNNNNNNNNNNNNNNNNNNNNNNNNNNNNNNNNNNNNNNNNNNNNNNNNNNNNNNNNNNNNNNNNNNNNNNNNNNNNNNNNNNNNNNNNNNNNNNNNNNNNNNNNNNNNNNNNNNNNNNNNNNNNNNNNNNNNNNNNNNNNNNNNNNNNNNNNNNNNNNNNNNNNNNNNNNNNNNNNNNNNNNNNNNNNNNNNNNNNNNNNNNNNNNNNNNNNNNNNNNNNNNNNNNNNNNNNNNNNNNNNNNNNNNNNNNNNNNNNNNNNNNNNNNNNNNNNNNNNNNNNNNNNNNNNNNNNNNNNNNNNNNNNNNNNNNNNNNNNNNNNNNNNNNNNNNNNNNNNNNNNNNNNNNNNNNNNNNNNNNNNNNNNNNNNNNNNNNNNNNNNNNNNNNNNNNNNNNNNNNNNNNNNNNNNNNNNNNNNNNNNNNNNNNNNNNNNNNNNNNNNNNNNNNNNAAUGUGAGUUUUGUAAACUCAAUUACCUUUCAGCUUUUGAAUCUAUAUGACCCUGUAACAAAGAAAAAAUUGAUGGUUUAUUGUAUAGUUUCAUGAAAAGUUAGGAAUAAAAAAUGAACUAAAAAGAAGGUCUAACUUGAGUGGAACACAAAACUAGGCUAAAACGUUAAUAGUUGUUUUGUAAUCCAUUAAAAAAAAUUAAUCACCAAUAUAUAUUUAAAAAGGAGGUAGCUAGAUAAAAAGAAUUAAAACACAGCAUGAACUUACUCUUUUAGCUCAAGUGGAAAAAAUAAAAAAUUAAGCUUUUGAUUGCUUCAGAAAAUAAACCAAGUCCUUAAGCUUUCACAUUUCCAUUCUAUAAACCAAUUUCAAGCAAUUCAAAUAACCUAUGUGAACAAAAUGAAUCCUUCAGCAAAUAAAAAGGAGGUAACUACAUAAUAGAACUAAAACACGUCUAUUAGCUCUCAAUUCCCAUUUCUCAAGUAAAAAAAAUGCAAUAACCUAUUAAUUAGUUCAGGCUAUGAACCAAAAAUCCUAGAGAGACAUUGAUUUCUAUUCAAUGAUAAUCCAAACAACCCAGGAUUAAAUCCAAUCAAGUUGUCACCAUAAGAAAAAUGGGAAAUUCAAUUAUUUGGAAAACAAUGAAAAAUUCAAUGAAAGAUAAUUAUUUUUUAUAAUUACGCAGUCAUUGUGUAGAGCAGGUGAAGUUUAAGAAACCCUAGUGAGCUGUAGAUCAAAACAGCGGAAACAAUGCAAAACAGGACCAAUGAUGAUACCAAAGCCAUAUCAUCUUCAUUCUUGCAGAUUCUUCUUGCUACCUUCCAGACAAACAUGAACCAACCAGUUAUGAUUUAGACAAUUUAAAGAAUCAAGAACCAUACAGAUCACUUAAAUGAUUAAUAUAUCAAGCUGGAUACAGUUUGUAGUAUGAACCUCAUUUGAGACAUGUUUUUAGAGUAUAAACAGCAUUUGGGGAACAAUGUUUAAAUAGAAAGAAUGGUAUAAAUAACAAAAAGAGACUUAAUGAGCUUUACUGUGUGCCUUUUCUGGAGUUAUCUAUAACGGCAGACCAAAUGUGACAAGUAUAAGGUUUAAUAACAUCAUAAUGAAGACUUUCAAUGUCAGUGUUAAGCAAAUAAAAUCUCGCUCAGAUGUGCUUGAAGAUUGUAUAAGUUUGUGAAAUAAGUAAAUAGUUUAUGCACUUUAAAGGAUUUUUAGACUUCUAUCCAUCACAAUUUUUCAUAUAUAAUAAAUUUGUUGACUUUUAUCAUGACUACCUUAAAAGUCAUACUUACCAUCAUUUUUUAUUGGUUGACAGUGUAAGAAAAAUUAUACUAACAGUGCAUAGAAAACUAGCCUGUUGUUACCUAAAAUCUAUUAAACCAUAAAUAAGGAUACCCAAACCAAAGAAUAUAUAUAAAAAGUAAUAUCUUGUCUAAAAUCCAUGAAAAAUAUUUUAGAAAAGAGAUGACGCUUUUUAGAAUGAUCAAUCAUGUCUUCAUAAGUGAAAAUCUUGAGCACAAAACAGUGGAAAUCUUGGAACAUAAAAAAUUGUGUUCUGAAAUAAGUGAAAAGCUUAGAUGAAUGUGUCAGCAUCAAGGCUUGUAAUUUUGGUUAAAAAGAUAAAAGAAAAAGAAGCCAGCAAAGGUCCCCCAACAUCCUACAUCCUCUCCUCCAGCACCAUGAGAAUUCUACGGUUUUCCCUUUCGGUUCGCCUCUUUUGAAAAUUAUUGAACUAUCUUUGGGUGGGAUGUGCCAGGCCCUUGCAGUAGUGCAAAACAAGAGCAACACUUGAGAGCCUCAGUAGCAAGCUACCGUAAUAGACCCUCCCCUCAAAAAAUAAAUUUAAUAUCGUGUGAACCAAUGGUUCACAUAUCAGAUAUUAAACUGAUAAGAACAGAUACUACACUUGAUCUUAGCCAAAAGGCCGAGAAAGGUAUGCUUUGUACAAUGUAAGUAUUCAAAUUUUAUACUGGGAGCUUCAGCUGCCUGACAAAGUCCUGACAAAUGUGGGACUAAUUCAUCCCAACAUCCUAGCCAAGAGCAACAUGGUUAAAAAUUUAGAUCAGCAACAUAAAAGUUCAAACCUGAGACUAAUAAAAGUUCAAACACAUUAUAAUCUUCCCGUUGAUAUUUUACUUGGAUAUGUUACUAUUACGUACUAUGUUGAUUCUUCUGACUUUGCUAAUCAUCAUGGAUUAUUAGAACUGAUAGGACUGAUUCCUGCAUGGAAGAGGGUUAUUUAAAAUUCUACUAAUAGAAGAACAAGAUCUCUUGUAUGUAUUUCUUAGUGUUCAGAUAUGAAUUUUUACACAGGUUGUGAAUUAAAAUUCAUGCUAGUUAUUUCUGAAAAAUGUCAGCCCGGCACCUGAGACCAUCUUGUUGCUAAAUAACACUAAGGUUGACGAAAGAAAAGACAAUGAAAACAACACAAUUUUCUCAGUUUUCAUUGCCUAUUAGAAGGAAGAAAAAAAAAGAGUUUUCAUAAGUUAUGGAUAUAUAUUGACCCUCGGGCAUGGGUCCAUAGAAAAAUUUAAAACUGGUGUCAACUUCAUGAGAGUUUUGCUGAUGUUUUAUUAAAUAAUGCACACAUUUCAUUUAAAUUAAUUUAUAUUGGCUGACAUUUUUUAUUUAUUCAAUCUCCUUCCUCUUAGUAUUUUGACCUAUCAUUAUGACUAAUUUGUUUAUAUUUGAUUGGUUUCUUUAAAUUACUACAAUCUUCUUUCAAAUAGGAGAAAGAAAAACUAACAAAUAGCACACCAAAUUAGUGUAAGAGUAGCUUUUCCUGUAGCCUAGCUCCACUUUACCAGAAGGAAUCAAAUUAAGGAAGUUUCAGAAAUCUAAAUAUGAUAACAAAACUUGUAAGUUGCAUUGAUAGGGAGCCGCGCGAACGCAGGCUCCCACUACCACAAAUUAUGACGUAGGCUCUGCCACUUGGGCAGACCUUAGGAAAGCACCCCUCCGAGGUGCAAUGGAAGUCACUUUCCUAGGCCAUAGACCUUCUUGAUCAUCCAUUGACCCCGCCCAGGUAAGUAUGUUAUUCAAUGCCAUACACUUCACUUUUAUAACUCAUUCGUCAGACCACUUUGACUCAUAUUUUCGAUGUGGGGCUAGCUCUGAGGGAUUUGGCUUUCUAAUUAAUCCAUGGUCUCUACUCUCAAGUUGCAAUAUGCUCCUUCCAAACUUGAGUCAUUAUCAACAUGUGUUGUGCUGAAUCUUGUUGCAGAACCAUAACUGAAAACAAACAAUGCUGGCUUGAGAGGGGUUGACUACUGGUUUGGCAUGUAGAACUCUCUUCAUAUAUGCUCUUGUGUCUUCUUUGUUUUUAAUGGUUCAAGAUUACACAGCAGGUGAUGUUGUUCUUUCAGUUUUUGGAUUGUACCUUUAAAAGCCAAAAAUGCUAUGAAAAAGGUAGCAAACCUUCUUGCUGAACAGUGUAAUAUGUAAGUUUUUCUACAUUGAUUUUAGCAUCUAUGAAUCAGUCAAGCCAAACCAAAAUGAAGCAGCAACAAGUCCAAAUGAUAGCAUCAAUCUAUUUCACAGGCUUUUGUUUCCUGUAAGUUAAUUAGGAAUGAGUUAUUUCGCCAGCAGUUAGGUAUGAACUACAUAAAUUCAAUUGAUUCUGUUGUUAAAAUAACUGUUCCCUUGAACCGGGUGUUACGUGGGAAUCAUGUGUCCAAUUUCUUAACUACAAUGUGAUGCAAGGUUCUUGAAUUGGACAGUGCAGGGUCCAUUUUGAUUUCAUGCAUAAAACUGGUAUUUAUUCUUGGGAUUAUUUCUACAAUCUAGGAAGCUUACUACAAAGUUUACCCUAUUGAGGUAUUACAUUACAUUGAAAUACUGACAAAAUAUUGAAUUAGUCAAGUUCCGCACUGAAGGAAAUGAUGCAGAUUUCAGUUAAUCACUUAAAUCUAUUUUGUUGUUGUCAAACAUAACAACACAGUGUGAUAGCAACAUUUUUUGAAGCUGAAGACUUUGUGUUGAAUGAAAUGUGAGUUUUGUGCAUCAAUACAAUCAGCCUACAUUUAGAGAAAAGAGUGAGGAAGAGAUCAUAUAAUUGUCUGCAAAGGCAGUUCUAUAAUAUCUGCAGAGAUCUUAAUUUCAUUUUAGAUCAGGUUGUAUUUUAAUUUUUUCAUAGUCUUCUUUUUUCACUAUACAAGUUUAUGUAAACUUGUUAAGCAUAUUCAUUUAAUAGCAUUUGUAAUCUAUUACAUUCCUUUUACUUAGUAGCAACUUGCAAGAGUUCUCUGAAAAAUGUUAUGCCACAAGGCCCAACCCUUACCAUGCUAAAAUUCUGAGGAAGUUAACUAUAAAAGAGAUUAUGUUUCUUAAAAUUAGUUAUUCUAAUUAAACUAAAUAUUUAAAGAAGUUAUUCUAGAUACCCGAGAUAUCAAGGUCCUAUGAAGAUUUUGGAUAUCAUUUUAAUCUCUCGAUGUUUAAAAUUAAUAGAAAUCAAUAUAGUCUCCUUCAAGGUUACCCGCAUUCAAACCUGAAUCGUGUUGGAAAUUUGUUGAACAACAAUUACCAUACACUAGGAAAGCUGCUUCAAUAUAGUCUUCUAAUAUAUAUUUGAACAAUUUAAUUUUUCAAGUGAUGCAUGUAAAAAUGAAGGCAUCUUGUAUAUCUUUCAAGAUUAUUUAUUUUACUGUUAAUUUUAAUUUAAUUUUAGACAAAUUAUAAUACUAUCUAUUAAUAAUAUACUGAUUGGAUAAAAAGAGUUUUUAUUUUGUCAUCUAAUCACAAACAAACUGAUGUAUUGUAAGUUUGUUAAUUUUUACACUAAUUACAUUAAAAAUUAUACUAAUGUGAUUUUUGAUUGAUUGGUAGUAUAAAAUUUGAAAGUAUAUAAAAAUUAAACUCUUAGAUAUUUUGUAUGAUUUUAUUUUAUGCACCUUAUUAUUAUAUAAUUUGAUAAUUGAAAUAUGCUACUCAGAAAUGAUUUUAUCUUCAAACGUUAACAGAACAAACGUCAGCUUCAAUGCUCUUUGCCUUAGCUUAACAUCAACAUUCCUCUAGCAUCUUAGUCAAAUAAAAAAAAAAUGGCCUCAACUUUGCCAAAUAUGAGGCUUUACUUCGACUUCCUCCAGCAGAACCAUAAAUUUCCCAAUGACAAUUUGCUGCAUUUGUCAACAAGGAACAGAACUUUCUGCAACAAUGCAAAAUCUAUGGCUGGAGGUGAAGCAAGCUUGCAGAGGUCAAAGCACCAUCAGCAAUUGCAACCAAAGAUUAAAAGAGCCAGAAGCUUCACCAUAAGGCAAUUGAAGAGUAAUGAUUCACCAUUUCUUUUUAGUCGUUCCUUCAUCAGACAUUAAAUAUAGUGACACUAACAAAUGUUGACUUUCAUUAUACACUGAUGUUGAAACAGUUUCUAGUAGCAAGGACUGUGCAACAAAUGAUCGACACAAUGGAAAGGAUUGUGGAGCAUCCCUUGGUUUACAGUUACAAUUCACCUUGCAUAGUUGCAGGUGAUGGUGAAUACAGCAAGGCAAAGAUUCCAUAGGCAAUAAAUGAAGGCCACACCAAUUCCUGGAAACCAAAGCAAGACAGGCACAAGCAUAAACCAAAAUAAAGUAAAACAAGGAAAUAAAUGAAAAUAAGCAUAUCAAUUACUGACAUGAAACAAACGAUAGGGUUUAUCAUAAAUGAGAGAUGCACUAUUUAAUUUAUUUAUUUUCUCACCCUUAACUUAAUAAUAACAAGAAGGAUCACCAAAAGAUGUGAAGUUAACUCUGAAAUUCAAACUAAAAUUGAUGUUCUAUUAAAAAAUGUUUCCAAUCAAUGAUAAAAACUCAAUUACCUUUCAGCUUUUGAAUCUAUAUGACCCUGUAACAAAGAAAAAAUUGAUGGUUUAUUGUAUAGUUUCAUGAAAAGUUAGGAAUAAAAAAUGAACUAAAAAGAAGGUCUAACUUGAGUGGAACACAAAACUAAGCUAAAACGUUAACAGUUGUUUUGUAAUCCAUUAAAAAAAAUGAAUCACCAUUAUAUAUUUAAAAAGGAAGUAGCUAGAUAAAAAAAAUUAAAACACAGCAUGAACUUACUCUUGUAGCUCAAGUGGAAAAAAUAAAAAAUUAAGCUUUUGAUUGCUUCAGAAAAUAAACCAAGUCCUUAAGCUUUCACAUUUCCAUUCUAUAAACCAAUUUCAAGCAAUUCAAAUAACCUAUGUGAACAAAAUGAAUCCUUCGGCAAAUAAAAAGGAGGUAACUACAUAAUAGAACUAAAACACGUCUAUUAGCUCUCAAUUCCCAUUUCUCAAGUAAAAAAAAAUGCAAUAACCUAUUAAUUAGUUCAGGCUAUGAACCAAAAAUCCUUGAGAGAGAUUGAUUUCCAUUCUAUGAUAAUCCAAACAACCCAGGAUUAAAUCCAAUCAAGUUGUCACCAUAAGAAAAAUGGGAAAUUCAAUUAUUUGGAAAACAAUGAAAAAUUCAAUGAAAGAUAAUUAUUUUUUAUAAUUACGCAGUCAUUGUGUAGAGCAGGUGAAGUUUAAGAAACCCUAGUGAGCUGUAGAUCAAAACAGAGGAAACAACGCAAAACAGGACCAAUGAUGAUACCAAAGCCAUAUCAUCUUCAUUCUUGCAGAUUCUUCUUGCUACCUUCCAGACAAACAUGAACCAACCAGUUAUGAUUUAGACAAUUUAAAGAAUCAAGAACCAUACAGAUCACUUAAAUGAUUAAUAUAUCAAGCUGGAUACAGUUUGUAGUAUGAACCUCAUUUGAGACAUGUUUUUAGAGUAUAAACAACAUUAGGGGAACCAUGUUCAAAUAGAAAGAAUGAUAUAAAUAACAAAAUAGACUUAAUGAGCUUUACUGUGUGCCUUUUCUGGAGCUAUCGAUAAGGCCAGACCAAAUGUGACAAGUAUAAGGUUUAAUAACAUCAUACUGAAGACUUUCAAUGUCAGUGUUAAGCAAAUAAAAUCUCGCUCGGAUGUGCUUGAAGAUUGUAUAAGUUUGUCAAAGAAGUAAAUAGUUUAUGCACUGACAGUUUAAAGGAUUUUUAGACUCCUGUCACAAUUUUUCAUAUAUGAUAAAUUUGUUGACUUUUAUAAUAAUCAUCAUUUUGUUGACUUUUAUAAUAAUCAUCAUUUUUAAUUGGUUGACGGUGUAAGAAAAAUUAUACUAACAGUGCAUAGAAACUAGCCUGUUGUCAAAUAUGCCGUGGACAUUCUUUUGGCUCCUUUGGUACCUUUUGAAGAAGGUCUGGAGUAGAUGCUAAAGGGAAGGAACAUUUUUUUGGGUUUCUUUUGCAAAAAUUAGGUGAUAAAAGAAUCUCAAAUAUUUGCUCAUAGAUUGGUGGGAUGGGUAGUCCGUUUAACCCAAUAGCCUGAGCAAACAACUUUAAUGUGUAUGGCAAAAAAUCAGUAGCAUUGCCAGCCAGCAUUAUCCCAAACCUUAGUUCCAGUCCAGAACAUUGUGAAAAUUUGGUGCAGCUUCCUGAAGCAUAGGAUAGUCACUCACUUUAAUAGCCCGUACAAUUUGCUACCAAAAAUCCAUGCAGGAACAAGCUCCAUGCUUAAAGUGAUGAAAGCGAUGACGAUCCCUUACCACAAUUUCACGAUCAAAUGCUUUGGAGAUUAACUUUACAACAGUGUGGCAAUCAUUACAUAUGCGCAAAUUCUUCGUAACUCUGAUUGGAGUUGGCAGAGAAAUAGUGAUAAGUCCAAAGGCAACUGCAAGUUUCUCACUGUGCCUGAAAAGUGCAGUUUCCUUCUCUUCUUCAUCUAUGUCUAGUGAAACCUCACUUGUAGUUAGUACAUAGCUCUCAAUCUUUAAUUUUGCAGCCACUACAUCUAACAUGUGCUUAAUAUCAUUUAUUUCUUGGUGUGUCUUAUCUCCAGCCAAGAAUUCAUGAACUGACCCAUUUGCUUCAAUCAUGCUACAACCAGGUGUCUUUACCACCCGAUGUUGUGCCAUAACUCCCCUCUAAUUUCAAGAACAUUGCCCCAAUGUCCUUUUGAAGUACACAUGUUUGACAACAAUACAUGAAAACCAUCAUGGCCAGGCUGAAGCUGAAUGAGUUUCCUUCCCAACAUCUCCCCCAUUUCAUUGUCAUGGUGGUUUCUACAAGCCCCGAGCAAAGCACCCCAAGUGGCAACAUCAGGUGCCAUUGGCAUACUCUUAAUCAGUUCCUCUGCUUCUUUAAGCAAACCUGCACAUCCUAAAAGAUCAACCAUGCAUCCAUAAUGCUUAAUAUUAGCCUCUAUUUUGUGUUUGUGGAUCAUGGGAUUAAAGUAGUGACGCAAACAUGUUAAGUGACUGUUCUACCAAACCAUUCAUUGCCAACCCAAGAAUGACAGCAAUAUUCCAGGUAGAAACUCCCUUUUUCCUCCAAUGCAUUUUCCACACACCCAAAUUUCGUAUACAUAUCUAUAAUUGUCGUGCUCAGAAUAACAUUAAUCUGUAACUUAUUUCUACUUAUGUAAGCAUGAAUCUAUUUUCCCAAGUCCAAAGAAGCCAGAUGGGUGCAAGACGAGAUGACACUCACUAAAGCAGUCUCGUCUGGUCUAACUCUUUGAAGCUGCAUUUCUUGGAACAAUGCCAAAGCCUCCAAGAAACAUUCAUGUUGAGCAUAACCCGAUAUCAUAGCACUCCAAGACACAACAUCCUUCUCCGACAUGGUUAGUGUCGUGCUUCAUGCUUAGUCAUAUAUCUACCGUUGCUGCAUAAGUGCAUGUUAUGAAACUAAGGUUAUUUGUCAUCCUAAAUUUAUACAUCUUCUAAAGUUAAGAUUGAUGUGCGAACUGCGAAGGAUGGCAAAUAAGUCAAUAACCUUCAUUUUUUAACUUGUUUUGGUAUUAUGGUUAGUAGGAACUGGGAAAGAAAAUACAGAGAAAAGGAAAUUUCAAGGAGAGAUUUGUUUUUUUAGAAAAUUAUACUCAUUCUUUCACUCCAUUUUUUUCUCUAUCACUUGUUACAUUCAUUACUGUUUCUCUCUACUUUUUUUACUAGACAUGUUAUUAAAGUAACAUUGCUUUUUCCAAACAUUAAAGUAGCAAUAUUAUAAUAAAAAAAAAGAAGUAACAAAAUUAAAUAAAAACACAUAAUAAAAUUAAUGAAUAAGUUCUGGUAUGGUAUUUUUUUUUUUUACAAUUUCAACUAAAUAGAAAUGUACAAUUCAAUAAUUUUUAAGAUAAUUAUUAUAAAUCUCUAAAAAAGAUAAUUACUAAGUAAAAUUAUUUUAUAUUAUAUAGAUUAUGAUUGAAAGAUAACAUAAAACUAAUUGUAUAUCCAUGAGCGACUAAAUCAGUUGAUUGCAUAAACUUAAAAUUAGAUUGACUCUUGAUUCAGUCAAGAUAUUGGGUUGGUGAGUUACUAAUUGAGCUGCAUAAAACGUAUGAGCAACAUAAAAUAUAAAUAUAUGUAUUAAUUAUACUAUAAGGUUAAUAAUUAAUCAUAAUAAUUUGGUGGUAACUUGAUUGACUAAAUAAAUUUUAGAUUUUUGGUUUAAUUUUUCAAUGUACCAUAUUUUUUCGUAUUUUUUAAAAAAAUAAUUAAUUUCAGUUCAACUAAUCUAAUCAAACCAAUUCACUAGUUCAACCUGAUCAGGUUGUUGGUUUAACCAUAAAAUAAGUCAGAUCACACCAAAUUAAUUAAUUGUACCAUUUUUUUAAAUAACGUGAUGCAAUUAGACUAACCAAAUCGAUCCAAUUAUUAAGGAGAGCACUUAAAUUAUUAUAAAAUUGUGGUAGCUGUUUUUUUAAUAAAUUCUAGUAAUUUUCUUUAUUUCCUAAUUGCAUGGCCUAUAUUUUUUGCUUAAAAAAAGGCUUUAUUUUUUUUCCAAUAAAAAGGUAAUAAUGCUACCAGCGUGUCAAUUAGUAUGACAAUCACGAGUCACUAGAGUACCAACGAAGACAAAUUAAACAAAUUGUAUUUAUUUGAUAGUUUUUCAAUUAGUAUUUAUUUUUCAUUAUAUAUUUUUUAUAUUUUUCUAUAUUUUUAUAUGAACUAUAAAUAUGUUUUAUAUUAUCAUUUAAUUAUAAAUGAUUUUAAUAUAUACUAAAAUUCUGAGUUUUAUAAUAAAUAUUUAAAUAUAUAUAUAAAGUAAUUUCUAAUAAACUAUACUUUACCACUCCGGUUGUAUUGUACUGUGGGUGGCUCUUGAAUCGGAGCAAGCGGUUGUAUUCUUGUUUUCCUUUCAUCUCUAGUUAUGCUGAUAAUACAAAACACAAACUCACUUUCGAGAACUAUGUUGGCGGCGAUUCGGAGAAUGACCACAAUGCCAGAAGAAACUGCGCGCCUAACCAGAUUCUCUCUUCACGCCCCAAAAUACGUUUGUUACUUACUUUUUUUUCUCUCCUUACUCCCCUUAACCUUUCUUUUUUCAAUAUUUGUUCUUAAAUUUUAUUCCUUUUUUUCUAAAAUCUACACAUGUUUAGGUUGCAAUUGAUAGGGUUAAUAUCGUUUGAGCAUGCCUUAAAUUGAUGGGGGGGGGGGGGGGGGGGGGGGGAAUCAGGUUUAUUGCAACUUAAAUAUUGGUUGAUGGAACUGUGAUUUCCUCGGUACAUAAUGGUUUCAAAUUUGAAUCUUUUUGUUGUUUCAGGUAGAGGUAGAAUUUGGCAAUGGUAGUGUGUUCAAGUUAUCAGCUGAAUUUCUCAGAAUAAGUAGUCCUGCAGUUGAUGGAAAGAUUAGGUCAAUUGGAGGUCAAAAGGUAUUGUUACUUGCUGUAACAUUUGGAAUUGGAAAUUUGGAAUGUUUUUCAGCUUCACCAUUAAAAAAUUAUUUGCUUUGAUCAACCAGAUACCAAUUUAUUGUUGAAUUAGGAUGGUUUUUUGUAUAAGAACUUGUAGAAGGGAUUGAGACAGCUUGUAAAAAUAGCUUUUGAUGUGUCUCCUUGCUGUUUUCUUCAAUAAGCUCUCUAGGACAACUUAUAAAAUAGUUUAAUCCUAUUUUCUCUUCGAUUAUAGAAACUAAUAGAUAAGUGCUUUAAUGAUAGGCACUUAGGCUCUCUUUGGAUAAACCUUCCCGUGAGUAUUUAUAGAAGAAGAAAAGUAAAUAAGCAAAAUAAAUCAAACUCCUUUAAUUAUUAAAAUCAACUUAUGCAUUUAUGUAUUUAGAAAAGUUUGACAAGAAAGUUUCUAUAAAAGUUGAAGUGCAUAAAGUUGAUUCUAACUUGUAGAAGUCUAACUCAAUUUACCUACUUAUUUUCUUUUCCUAUGAGUGCUUAUGGAGCUUCUUCAAUAAGCACUUAAGUUAUUUACCCAAAUUAACCUAGUACCAAUGUCUUUUCUUCAUUUUUUGAGAUUUUAAAUUGAAUUCUAUUGAUUCAUUUCUAAUGAUACUUCUUUUAACAAAUGACUUCCUUGAACCAGGUGAUAUCUGGGAGGCGCCAUGUGGGAAUCAUGUCUGCAGAACCAGUAGGAAACUAUGGGGUGAGGUAUUACCACAAGCUUUGAUAUUACAUCUAAAAUUCAGUGUCAAUAUUUAAUUGCCCAUCUGAACUAGAAUGUGAUCCGUGAUUGUUGAAUCGGAUGGUCCAGGCUCAAUUUUGAUGACUUGCAUAAGACUGGUAUUUAUUCUUGGGAUUAUUUCUAUCAUCUAGGAAGCAACAAGUUUACCCUUAUGAGAAAUUACAUUAAAACUUUGAAGAAAUAUGGGCUUAGUCGGGAUCCACGUGGAAGGAAAUGAUGCAGACUUCAGUUAAUCACCCAAAUGUAAUUUGAGAUUUGGUGGCAGUUGUCAAUUAUCAACAUGACACUCUGAUAGCUUCAUUUGUUGAAAGUGAAACCUGUAAUGUUGAAGGUUUUGAAUUGAAUGACUGGUGAAUUACGGGCACCAAUACUAUUUGAGAAGAGAGGGGGAAUAGAGGAAUGUUUUGCAUCCUUUCUUUUUUUCCUUUUUUUAUGAGGAAAGGAUAAUUUAAUUAUCUGCAAAGGCAGUUCUGUAUUUUCUGUAGAGCUUUUGAUUCCAUUUUGGAUCAUGUUGUAUUUUAGUUAUUAUACAUUUAUACCGUGCCUUUCUUUUUCACAACUUUUCGUUAGCCAUAUUCAUGUACUAUUAGAAUUUGUAAUCUUUUAAGUUCUUUUUACUUAGCUGCAAAGUGCUCUGAAAAUGAUAGGGCAAAACCUUUAUUUCUUGGCUUUUGGUCAUUCUGCCAAAAUCCGUAAUUGUUCAUUUUCUUUCAGCUAUUAAAACUUGGAUAAUACACUUUACAAUGCCCAAUGAGCAUGAUUGAGAGGAGAAAGCAUCAGUUUCUUUCUUUUUUUAAAAAAAAUAGUUCUGUAGAAAUAGUUUUUUAUCUUCUAUCAAGAAGCUAACACAAAAAAGGCAAAUAUUUCUUCAAAAUAAGUCGAUUCAAUCACACUAAACAUAAUUAGCUUUAAAGAUACACGAGUUGUUAUACUGGUAGUAUAAAGAUUUUGAACAUCAAUUUAAUCCCUUAAUGUUUAAAAUUAAUAUCAAUUUAGUAUUCUAAUGUUUUGAUCAUUAAAAAUAAAAAUCUUCUAACCUAUAUUUGAAUAAUUUGAUCCCUAAAAAUGAUGAUUUAAUUUACAUUUAUAAAAAUUGAAUUGGUGUAAAUUUGUAAACAAUCUUUGAGAAUCUGGCAAUGACACCUUGUAUAUCUUUCGACGGCUAAAUUGAAAUUUGACUCGUAAUGUUAAUUUAUUUUUAUAAAAAUAUAUAUUAUAAUAAUUUGAUGUUUAUUUAUUUCUAAAUAUUCUUAAAGAGACUUAUAGAAGAUCAAAAUUAAACUCAAGAUACUUUAUACUUUUGCUUUAUUUCUCUUUUUUAAGUGUUUCAUAUAUUUACGAGUUAGAAGAAAUUAGAGGAUGCUUAUGGCCUUCUAUCAAAAGGAUUAGAAGAAAUUAUAGCUUCCCCAUAAAAAGAUAAGAAAGCGUUAACGGAAAAAAUAAACACGCAUUAAAGAAAUGACUCCCCAUGUAUUAAUGUGGAAUUUUCAAGUUCAAUUCUUGGUGAAAAAUUCUUUAUCAAGUUUGACACUUUGAAUUAGUCAGAGUUUUUUUUAACUUAUAAAUCAAAAGGUUAAGACAAAAAAAUAUGAAAUUAAGACACUAAGUAUAUAUUUUUUACCCCUACAAAUUUUACGACACCUGAAUAUAGCUUAAUUUACACCUAAAACCAUUCAGAAAGUGUUAGUAAUAUUACCCUUUUCGGUUGGAAUAAGGAAGGGAUUUGUCUUUGUCCCCUUCUUUCUUUUGUGGUCCAGACGGUUUCGCUUGCCAUUGCCUCAAAAAGACAACUAAAUUAGUUGUAAGUUGCAUAAGGACAAAUAAAUUGGAUUUUGGAAUAUGUUUCCAAAUCCCCAUCCAAAUAUGGAAAUAGGAUAGGCCACUAAAGAAUUAUAUGGAAAACUCUAGAUCUCACCAAGAACCCAAGUCACAAUCAUAAAAGAUAAGAUUUUUUUAAUGCUUACCUGGGUCCAGAAAUGUCCAAUGCCUCCUAUAAAUUUUAAUGCAAACAUCAGCUUCUCAAUGUCCUUUGCCUUAUCAUAGCAUUGACAUCUUUCCAACAUCUUUGUCUAACAAAAAAAAUGGCAUCAGCUCUACCAAAUGUAGGUUUCCAUGCCCGCACUUCAUCUAGUAGAAUGAACAAAUUUUCCAAUGUCAAAUUGCUACCAUUGACAAGCAAAAGGAAUAGAACUUUCUGCAGCAAUGUAAAGGCUAUGGCAGGAGGUGAAACGAGUUUGCAGAAGUCAAAGCAGCAAGUGCAACCAAAGAUGAAGGUGCCACAAGCUUCACCUAAAGGUUAUUGAAGAUUAAUGUUUCACAAAUUAUUUUUAUUCCUUCAUCAGACAUAAUAUAGUGACAAUUGACAACUGACAAAUAAUGACUCUUUAUACAGUGCUGUUGAACCAGUUUCCAGUAGCAAGGACUGUGCAGCAAAUGAUGGACACAAUGGAGAGGAUGGUGGAGGAUCCCUUGGUUUAUGGUAGCACUUCACCUUUGAUAGUUGUGGGAGACGAUGAAUACAGUAAGGGGAAGAUUCCUUGGGCAAUAAAGGAAGGCCAGAAAGAUUACAAAAUGAGAUUCAACAUGCCAGGAAUGAACAAGAAUGAUGUCAAGGUAUGGGUAGAACAGAACAUGCUGGUGGUGAAGGCAGAGAAGGCACUCCAGGAGAACCAUGAAGGUCAAGCAGACGGCAACGAAGACUGGCCUGCCAAUAGCUAUGGUAGAUAUAACCACAGGAUAGCCCUCCCAGAAAAUAUUGAGUUUGAUAAAAUUAAGGCACAGGUCAAAGAUGGGAUUCUUUAUGUAACAAUUCCCAAAGCCAGCACUUCUUCAAAAGUAAUUGGCAUAGAUGUACAGUAACUCUAAGCUCAUGAUAAAGUUUGUUCACAGCUACAUUUAAGAUUUUGUUAUCUAAUUUUUUAUAUGAGGGAUAAAAUGAGACCUUAUUCCCUCUACACAACCAUGCUGACAUAAAAUUCAGAAGAAAAUUCUCCAAAAUUAUUUAAAACAAAUGACUUUAGAUGAUGUGAAAAGAAACAUGAUAAAUUCUGAUCAAGUCAGUAAAGAAAUUGAGAGAAUACAUUGCAAAUGUUCAUGUUAUUUCUCUUGUUAGUGAUGUCAUGCACAAUCAAAUGCAAAUAGCCAACUAAGGUGAAUUCAGUCAUGCAGCCUCCCUUUUGUUUACAAAGAUUACAAGAAUUUAGUUUACAAACUAGCAGAUCACAUGGGAGUCAUUUUUGAAGUUGACAAUCUCUUUCUGCCUUCAAACGAACACUUGCAAAUAGCAGAAUGCCGUAAACUGGAUUCCAAGUGAAGUUCUGACUGUAUCCAUUAGUUACACAUUUAAUUUCUGAAAAUGUAGGUUGAUUUCACAUGCAGUUCACACUCUAUCCGUCAGAGACACCUUUACUUUCUGAAAAUAUAGGUUGAGAUCUUUUUGUGGAAAGAACAACCAAUUAAGAUGGCUUUUUCUUUCUGCUGGCUUGUGAGAUGCGCUUCAGCACUUGAGUUUCUCUUUUCAUUCCUCUGUAAUACAAAAGACCAAACCUUAUCGGAGCCAUUAUAAAGAUUCCUAAAAUAAGGUCGUGAGUCGUGACUGGGAAGUUUUGAAGUAAAUACCUCUGAUAUAAGUAAAUGUAGAGAUAGUAUAGUAGCAGCAGUAUCACAAGCAAAAUAGACACAAAGAUGUAGAACACAUUUGUCUUCUUCUGCACAUAUCAAGAAACCAGUUAACAAAAAAUUCUCUUAAUUUUGACCCUACAUCUUGGCAUCAAGGGAAUUGCAUCCUACAGAUAUAUUUCCACCAUUCCACCACAAAGUUGCAAAUAUCAUGUUGACCUUUAUUGCCUUAUCUUCACUGAGAGAUCUAUUUCCUAAGUAAGAUCCCUUGUAACAAGUAAAUGGGAUUUUUUAUAAUUUUCUUUCCAGUUAGCCAUACAAAUUUUCAAAUUACAUUCUCCACAAUUUCUGAAUCCUUUACCACAAAUAAGGAUUUCUGAAAAUUGAACGUGGCUCAUACAAGAUAAUGUAUAGAGUUGGACAAAUAUCAUAAGCACCCAUAAAAGUAAAUCCAAAGUUAAGUGAUUUGAAAAAAGAAGAGUUCAAUUAAAGAUUUUAGAAUUACCCUGUGCCCUCUGGAGAAAGGUUUCCUACUUCCAGUGCAGCUGUGUGCAUCACAGAAUUGGUGCAAGAAGAAUUCUGCCAAUUGUUAACAUAAGAAAGCAAUUUCACAAACUACCAUAAAUACACAAUACAAAGUAUAAAAUAUUUUGCAACAAUGAAGAAAAUAUUAUAAUACCAUGAAGUUGGCUUGCUGCAGGGCCAUCACUGACAGGAAAACAACUAUCGGCUAAGCUCUAUGAAAAACAGGUAAAUUAGAAACAAAAAUAAAUUUGGUUACAUUAUAGCAAAUGAAUAGACAGAACAAAGCAUACCUCACAUAGAUGUUUAUGUUUUGCAGCAGCAGCAGGAUUGCACUUUGAUUUUUUAGAUCCAGAAUUCAUUUCAUGGUCACAGUGCAGAGCACCACAAACAUCUGCUAAGCACUGGCUUUCACUCUGGAUUGAACACAACUAUCUCAUUUCAGUAAUUAAUGCUACUGUAUCGCAGUUUGAGCAGAGAAAGCAACCAAAAUUCUCAUCUUUUGAGUUACUAUUAGAAUCACAGAUCAAUUAAGUGCUGUAAAAUAUUAUUUACUUUUGGCAAUGGAAGUUAAAGAAUCAAAUCAGCCACACAAUACCAAGAACUGAAACUGCCAAUGUGCGUACAGUACCAACUGCCAAGAACCGGAACUAUACAAAGAAUAGUGAAUUCCCUGGAUAUUGGAGAGAUCCAAGACUCUCCCUAGCCACAAUACCAACCGAUCAACCAACUAACUCCUCUUUUCAAGCCCUCUUCCUCUUUAUAGGCAACAUGCCUUAUUUCUCUAAUCUCUAAUUAUCCCAGCCCUAACUAACUCACUAAUAUAACUGACAAAUGAAUAACUAAUUUUUUGUGGUGCUUCUGAGUCAAGAGAGGAUAACUCACAAAACAGAGAGAGAUAGAGCUUAAAGAAACUCAUCUCAAAUUAUGAGCUUUAAAACUUGAAAAAUAAAGCAAAGAUCUGAAGGUGUUGUUAUUUUUGGGAAAGUAAGGUCUCAAGGUUUGGUUGAACUAUUUCAGUUUGUUUUACUACCAACCCACAACCUUGUUUCAGUUUUUUUAUUUUGUCCUGGACAUGAAUUAAAUAUGUUCUUAAAUGUUAGGCAUGGCCACAGCUAGAGCUCAGACAAGUCUGAAACAACCAUGUUGCACGGCUUGAUCAGCAGUAUCUUCUCAAGGCAAUGGUAAGCAGUCACGGUUACGGAGCUUAAGUUUGGCACUAUCACAAUUCACAACUCCACAUUCCACUAACUAGCCAUUUUUCCACUGAAAAAAAAUAAAAAUUGUAUUGAACAAGAAGCAUCAUACCAAAUUAAGCAAAUUGGAGUGUCUGUUGUCAAAAUGCUGAUCAAGAUGUUUCUCUUCAUAGAAACUUUUCUUACAGUACCUACACUGCCAUUCGUUUAUAUCUAUAUGAGACUUAUGUUGCUCCUGAUCUCUGUAUAUGUCAUUGUCAGGGUGAAGCAUACACCUUUUUGAGAUGUGGUAUUUUUCUUUCUCCACAAAUGGCAUCAAAUACUGCAGCAAAAAUUAUAUAUCAAGAGAAUGCACACUAAUAUCAUUGAGAGAGUUAUUUGCUUGGAUAUAUUCUAAUACCUCUUGAAUGAUCUUCCAAGCUGUUCUACUUCUUUCUCUAGAGCAAUGUAUUUGAUGAUCACCACCCUCCUGAUUCAAAGUUCUGAACAUUGACAUUAUAUAUUAGCCACAUCAAUUCCUGGAACAAAGAGCACGAAAGGAAGAAAACAUAGACUAAAAGAAAGUAAAAGAAGGAAACAAAUAAACAAAGCAUAUCAAUUGCUCACAUGAAACAAAUGAUAGGAGUUUAUCAUGUACAAGUCACAGUGUCAAACACCAUUUUAAGUUAUUUAUUUCCUCGCUCUUACUAACAAUUGGAUAACCAAUAAGUGAAGCAAUUAACUCUAAAAUGCAAACUAAAAAUGUUCUCCUAGUUCAAAAUACCUCCAAUCAAACUUUAAAACUCACUCACCUUCCAGCAUUUGAACCUGCAUGACCCUGUAACAAAUAAACAACUGAAGGUUUAAUUUUAUACUGUCAUGAAAAUUAGAAAAAAAUAGGUGCAGAAGUUUCGAACCAAAAACAAACAAAGCAAGGACCUAACCUUGUAGCAGAAGAUAAUUCCAAAAUAAAUAAAAAAAGCACACAAAACUAAUUUAAAGAGUUACUAGCUCUGUGGUUUUUCAUUGAAAAAUCAUACAGAUCAAUAUUAACAUCGAAAAAGGAGGUAGCUAGAUAAUAAGAACUUCUCCUCAUAUUUCUAAAAUAGAAAAAUUCACAAAUUAAGCUAUUGAUUGCUCCAGAAAAUGAACCAAGUCCUUACACAUUCACAAUUCCAUUCUAUGGCAAUCCAAAUUCAAGCAAUCAUAACAGCCCAUGGCAACAAAAUGAAACUUUCAGGGAAGAAAAAGGAGGUAACCACAUAAUGAGAAAAAGAAAUACAGCAUGCAAUAUUCCUCAAGUAGAAAAAUCACACAAUAACCUACUGAUUUGUGCAGACAAUGAACCAAAAAUCCUCAAAUACUUGGAUUUCCACUCUAUGCCAAAAAUAAUCAAAAUCCAAAUUCACACAAUCCAAACAGCCCAUGAUUGAAUUCAGCAAAAUCCUCACUAGAAAAAAAAAUGGGUAGUUUCAAUAAUUUGAGAAAAUUGAAAAAAACACAUAAAAGAAUGAUUUUUUUUUUUUUUAUGAUGACAUGGUCAGUGUGUGAAGCAGGUGAAAUUGAAAGAUACCGUUGUGAACUGCAGACAAAAACAGAGGCCACAAAGAAUGCAGAGAAGAAACAACCUAUGAUCCGAAACCCACAUCUUCUUCAUUUCUAUUGGAUUCUUGUUCCGUUCAAAGCAAAUUCCUAACCGAAAAAAAUUGAAACUUGCACCGAAAAUGUUCUUGUGCAGUCUCUGCUGGGUACCAGAAACCCCCUGUGCAGCCACGACGCUAUAGCCAAUCGGAUUUUGCCACGUGGCAAACCACGGAAUAAUUGGCAAGCCCCUUUCUUUGAUUUCUGGGGUCUAACCUUCGAUGACUUCAAUUUUCUUUUGCAGUGGUAACUUGUGAGGUGAUUUUAUUUAUAUUCAGAACAUUUCAGCUUUUAAGUAUUCAAUAAAAUAUAAUAAAGUAAUUUAUAUACGGAUGAUAAUGUAAAAAAAUUAUAUAUUAUUCUCUCCGAUCUCAAUUAUAAAAAAAUUAUAUAUAUUUCACAAGUAAUUAGUUUUCAUAUUUAAAAAAUAAUAAUUAGUUAUUUUGAUUAAAAGUGAGUCCCAAUUAAAAAUUGAACAUUUUUUAAACCAUUAUUCAUUGGAAUUUAAUAUUAAGUAUAAAUUUUUUUAUCUUAUUAAAUAAAAGACAUUUUGGAGAUAGUUAUUAAAUAAAAAUAUUAAUAAUUAAGAUUUUCUUAUAUUUGAAAUUAAAACACAAUAAUUUUUUGUUUGAGACUAGAGAAUUAUCAUUUACCAUUAUAAUAAAUUUAUUUGAUCCCUAGAAGAUUCAAAUAAUUCCAUCUCCAAUAGAUUGAAAUCAUCAAUCUAAUAUCAAAAUAUACAAAUGUUGCGAUAAUUCAAUCAUGUCGUUAAUUUUUAGCCUUUGAGUUAACUUGAGUGCACAUGGGGUAUGUCGUUGUUGACACCUCUGGAAGGUGGAUGAAACAUGCUUGCCAAGUAAGAGGGAUUAAGUUGGCACUAAUAUGCUUGCAUAUUUUGCCUUUUCUCAUUCUCUUAGACAAAAAAUCAACAAUGAUGACUUCUAUACAAACAAUGACAAUGCUUUUUUUGUUGUUGUUUGAAAAUGAAAAACAAUCAUUCUUGGUAAAAAAAAAACCUAUUUAAUAGUUUUCGACGUAUAUUUUGUUUCAUUUUAAAUAUAUAUUUAUCUAUAACUUUUUUUUAUUUCUUUUUAUUAUAAUGAUCAUUUUAUCUGAUCAAUGUCUAUACCAACGUGACUAAAUGAGUUGUUAAAAAAUAUCUCAAAAAUAUGAAUUAUUUGUUUGAUAUUCCACUCGAUUAUGUUGGUCUUAUUGUUAAAGAAGAGAAUGCAAUAGUAGUAAAUGUAAUGAUUGACUUUUUGUGAAGGAGGAUCAUGAUAGAGAUAAUGAUGAAGAUGUUAAAGAAGAAGGUGAUGUUUUAUUUUUAUAGAUAAUGAUGAAAGUGACUUAGAUUUUGUGACGAAUCUUUUAUUAUUUAUGUUAUAGAGUAUUUUGUCAAUAAGGUAUAAUGUUUGAGGACCUUUUUAACAUUAAGUGUAAAAAAAUAUGAACCAUUUUGAUAGUUGGUAAAAAAUGUUUAGCGAUUGAAUUGUCAAUUGGUUUCAUUCUACUAAGUCUACUUGAUUCAUAUCAAGUUUUGCUUUAUGAAAAAUACGAUUACAACAAUUUGAUAAAAUCAUCUAUAUAAUUUACCAACUACUACAAAAACACAAAAACAAGAGAAAUAACGAUACACAUUGAGGCAAACAUUCUGCAACCUUUGGCAACGAGCAUGUGUAUAAUAGAUUCCUUGGGUUCUUAGUUGCCUUUAAAGUUUGAUUCACACUCUUCCUUUCACAAUAACAAUAAAUAACAUUACCACCAUUGGAUCCUAUAGAGUCAACUUCAACCAAUUUACUUCAAUGUGUGAACUUGUUUAAACUUUUUGACUUACUUGAAUGUAGUGGCGGAUCUAAGACCCUCAGUCAAUGGGGGCAAUUUACUUUUCAAAUAAUAUAAAUUAAUAAUAAUUAUCAUUAUGCAUAUAAAGAUAAAGACAUAAGUACCAAAAUCAUAAAAUUUUAAUGUAUUUAUUCAAAUAAAUUACAUACCUUAUAGUUGUCCUCUAUGUGAUUUCAUGUUUUGAAAUGGUUGAAUGAUCAGUUCAUUGUCAAUCUAUAAAUUCAUCAAACAUAAUUAAUAUAUAAUUAUAUUAUUUAUAUAUCAAACUUAAGGGGAAAAAAAGAAAAAGAUUUGUGAAAAAACACAUAACCAGAGACUGAGAGACAUGUUUAUAAGUUAUAACAAUUAUCGGUAAUCUGAUACCUAAAUCUUUCUUUGCUUGUUGAGUUGUUGUGAUUUUCCUUGCUCUUGUAGACUUGCAGAAUUACAGCCUCUUAUAACCCUCAUUAGUUCUCUAUUUUUCUAACUCCUCUAUGCAAACAUGUGGGAGAGUUUAAAGUAAAAGCCGAACAGCCCACUAGAAAACGUGAAAAUAGAAGUGAAAGAGAUAAAUAAUUUAAAAUAAUAAAAGAGAAACAAGAAACUGCCCACUAGAGAUAAUCGUGAAGUAGAGGAAAAGAGCAAAAUAAUUUAAUUAAUGAAAGAGAACAAAAAGCGUGGGGAGAAGGGUAGAAAAAGAUAAAAAUUUAUUGAGGGGGUGCACCAAUUAUCAUCACUAACAUAGAAACCAUAAGCCUCUUUCUUUAUUCAGGGGUGCACCUGCCCACCCUGGGAUACACGUGGGUCCGCCACUGCUUGAAUGGUUGUAUUUAAAUUGACACAAGGUCAAUCAUGUGUUUUGCAUUAGUUCCAACAAAAUUUAAUGGGUCACUUGAGUUUUUUCUUUUAGUUUUCAUCAUUGUGUCCACUAUCAAUGAAAUUUUUAAUUUCUAUUAUUUUUUUUAUUUAUAACACUUGAAUUUAAAAUUAUUUAAAAUAUUCAAAUUUAUUAUCACUUAAUCAAUUUCAUGGUUGAUAUAUUUUAUUAAUUAUCCGUCAAUUUUUUUUUAAAUGUAAAUUUACCGGCAUACUCUAUUCCUCUCUAAUGAUGCAUUACUGUAUAAUAAUAUUUUUUAUAAUAAUAAUACACUAAGAUUAAACUUGGUCAAUUAAGUCAUGGUAAACAAAACUUGUUCAAUUAAGACAAAGUCAUUUGAUUAAUUCCAUUGGUUGAAGGCUCUAUACCCAUAGGCUAUACAAUUUCUUCCCAACACAUUGUAACUUAUUUAAAUUUAAAUGUCACUGACCACGAUUUUGACAAGUUACACAAAUUGUAAACAUUUUAUUAAUCACGAUUUUAAUCAACAUAAUUUAUAGCUAGCAAGUAACAAAUGUGAAAGAAAAAAAGUAUCUUUUGACAGAAACCGGACACACAAUAAAAGCACGACUUAUGGUUUUAGUUCAUGACAAGCUUAGUAAAAAAUUAAUUUAAAAUUAUUACAAAUAUUGCAAAAAAAUGAUCUAAGAAUCAUGGACUGAAAUCUUGUAAAUUAAUGAAUCCACUUCAACAAAAUUUGUUGCUUCCUUUCUUACUCUAAAUAUUUACAUAAAAUUUUAUAAUAUUUACAUAGCCUUUAGGUAGGUGACAUAUUCAAUUAUUCAUUAGAAAUUUUUGCACCAAUGGAAACAUUAUAAAACCAAUAGCAGUACAAAUAUAUUAUAACAUUAUCAACAACUAAGUAACAAUUAUAAACUGCUUUUGUUUCCCAAACUUUUAUUUCUAAAAAAAAUCUUAAAAAAGCACAAAUAAACCCGGUUAUGUUACAAAAAAAAUAGAAGGUAUGAUAUUUUGCUCGAACGUAUAUGUCAUUUAUUAUAUCCUACAUUAUUGAUUUAAUGUUUUGUUUCUCUAUGGGCCCGGUACAAAUGCUAGUUUAUCCGUUUUUCACUUUAUUAUAAUUAUAAUAAAAUAAUAAUAGGCAAGUAAAAGUCAGAGACUUUUUGGUGUGCUGAUCCGGAACUAUACAGUAAACUAUAUUAUACUAGUAUUAUUCAUUAUAAAAAAAAAAACAGUAAAAAAAAACCAUAAGACUUUUUGAAUUUAUAAUUUAAUUUGACAUCAUUUUGUAAAUAUAAUUACAUGAAAUCCUUAAAGAUUAUAAAAUAAUUAUAACUCAUUCAAAAGCAAAGAAGUUGUUUUAGAAGAAAAAUAAAUUCACGAGUUCAAUUUAAAUACAUUAAAAUUAUACAGAAUUUUUACAUUUUUAUUUAAUUAUAAAUUACAGGUUGAAUUUGUUGAUUUUAUAAUAAUAAUUAUCUAAAAAAUUUUAUAUUUAGUAUGAUUUUUAAUUAUUUAAUAAUAUAUUUUCCAUCAUUUGCAUUUUUUUUAUAAUUUUAAUUAAUUAAAUUUGCUUAAUAAAUUUUAUUAAAAUAAUUAAAUUAUAAAACUAAUAAACUUAACUUAUAUGAGUAGUUAUAAUUCAAUGAUAUAUAUAGAGAAAAUAAUAUUAUAAAUUGAUUGUAAUUAAAUUCAUUGACCAUUUUGAUUUUAUUUUCCACCAUAAGAAAAGGUGAAGUUUUUGAAGCAGCAUCAGCAUCAGCAUCUACCUGGUCAUCACCAUCACCCAACACUUUCUUCUUAUUCUUGGACUUGUUCUGUUUCUUUCGCACUACAAAUACUUACACACACAUUCUCUCUAUAUAAUCUAUCUAUCUAUGCACCUUCUUCUUCUUCUUCUUGUGUUAGCCGAGAAAAAGAAAAAGAGUGUUUUGUGUUGUGUUGUGUUGUUGUUGUACCUUAACGUGCGCACCCCCGGUGCAGGAAAUGGAGGCUCACGCGAGCUCCUUCGUGUCCAAAGCGCGAACUGCGUUCCAUUCCGCAGCCGCGAAAGCGGAGCGUGUUCUCAUGGACUUCAAAAUCGAUCUAGGUGGGUAAUGGUAAUUGCGUGUUUUUCCCUUCUUUUCUCUCUCGUUCUCGUUGCGUGGAAAUGAAUGCGUUUCGUUCCUUUUUUUUUUUCCUGUUCUGUUUCGGAAUUUUCGAUUUUUUUAUUAUUGAAUUUUUGGGGAAUUAGCAUUGACGUGGUUUUUUGAUCGGUGAAGAUUCUGAUAAGCAAUUUCACGACGAGUUUGGGAGGCAGCGGGGCGAUGAAUCUGCUCGGAGUGAGAAGGUUUGAAGAUGCAUUCAUUUGCUUGUAGUGUGUGUUUUUUGAGUAAUUGGUAUUAUUGAAAAAAAAAAUAGAUUUUGAAUUUAAUUUUAACUAUUUGAAUCUAAUUUGCGUUUGCGGUUUGGAAUUAUGGGGAUGUCGUACUGAUAUAUUCCCUUCUGUCUGUGGUGCUGAUUUUAUUUUUUUUUAAUUAUCAAAGGGAAGUAUAUUUGUUUGGUUUUAAUUGAAGCUAAAUUGUGGAAAUGAAAAUUUAGAUCACGAGUGUUUGUUUGGAUUAGCUUAUUUUAGAGAUAGUUGUUGGUUGAAAUGCAGUUUUGGUUUUUUUUGGCUAAAAAAUAUAUACACGUGCACUAGGUUCUUAAGCUUUGAUGUGUGUCACUCUAUGAAACUAAUGAAAAUCCGUAGUAUUUGUAUGUUACUUCCCUUGGGGAAAAGUUGUUUACUCAUCACUAAUAAAAAAAGUUGUUUACUCAUUUCUUAUACAAAAUUUUGAAUGCAGGAAAUAGAGUGAAAAUUAAGUGACAUUAUUAUGAUUAUUGAGAAAAAUAAAUUUUGUUUUGUUUUGAACCAGACAGGUGCUUACAGUCCGAAAUGUGUCUUAGUCUAAAGAUGAUUAGCAUAAGAUCACUUAUUUGUUUGUGUUAUGUCUGGGUACUUAUUAGGCAAAAUUGAUUUUAUUUUAUUUUUGUAAUGGGAUGUUUCAGUUUCUUGAUGAACUGAAGCAUAUAAAGUGGAGACCUCCACAUAUAGGAACAAAGCAGGACUGGCAAGAUAGAAUAAACAACAUGCGAAAAGGGAGAAAGGAAGUCGAAGUAACAGAUAAAGUUGGCGAUGUAAGCAUGGCCUCUGCUCCAUUUUAUGAUGAAAAUAUGUACAUCCUCAAUGUGAAAAAUGAUCUUGAUGCCAAGGUAAGAAGUUCUGGAACAUUUUAAUUCAAUGAUUUUAUCUUCCAAUUGAAAGUUUCUAAACCAGGCAGUUUUUCCAAUAUAUUAGAAAUUCUGAUAAUGAGUGCCAAGUGUCAGCUAUGAGCAUAGUUUUCAACAGUGUCUUUCUGAAUGUGUCACUUUCAUUAUUCAUAAGCUAGAAAAAUAUUUGAUGUGUACAUGGUAUGCUUGUGAUGAGUUAAUACUCCAUGCUUAAUAAUCUCAUGGUUAACUUCCCGAGAACUCUUUCCAGUAAAUUGAGCAUGUUUUUUGUAUUCAAAUACACAAAUUGAUUUAUUUAAUGAUGUGUGAUAUAAAAUAUUAAUUCAGGCUUCAGAAGCAAUUCCCUCGGUUGAAGGCUUAACUGCUGCGACCAAAUACCCCAUUCCUCCAUCAUCUGUCCUGAAGCAGUUGGCUAUAGCUAUUGAGUAAGUUAUCCUCUCCUUUUUUUCCCGUCAAUUCCAUGAAUUUCUUAAAGAUUCUUUUUAUCGAAUAAGGCAAGAUUCUGUUAACCAAAUUCUCGCAACUGAGAGGUCUAUUUCUUACUCUCAAUUGGUUAAUGCAUUAUUUUUUCAACCCAACACUAAUAGCUGUUCAAAUUUUCUUCAUAAUGACUAAAGCAAGAGUAGUGUAAAUAUUUGAGUGUCUUGUUCUUGUUAUUCAGAAUGAUUUUCAGCUUAAUGAAUAACGAUACAACUAGCCUAUUAAAAUUUUGGGCUUUUUGACCAGGUCUGGAAGGCAAACAAACUCGAUGAAAGAUUUUGUAGCUUCAUCAAGAGGUUCGUCACCUGCCAGAGAGAAGGCAGGCUUAAGUCUCUCUUCAGUGAAGGCUUUAGUGUUGCGUGAAAAGGAGGACAAACUCACCUCUGAGUUUAGUAGUGAUGAGAAAGUUGUGUAUUUGAUUAAUUCAUUGUUUGAUCAAGGUAUAUGAAAUUUAGGUGGCUUGCUUAUGAUAUAAUUACAUCAAUCUUUAUGUUUAUACUUUUUGGGCACUUUAUUCUGUGAUGAUCUUCCACAUCCUUUGUAAUCUUUGCAAGAUAUUUGCAGAGGGAGAGUUCCUUAAAAGGAACUCUGAUCCAGAGGAAACUUUCAUAUCAUCUUUGCCAAGAGAUAUUCAUGGUGCACCUCUUGAAAGCCUAGUUGUUAAGCUAGCUGAAGUAAUCGGAAACUUCAAGACGCUUCGAGAAAUGUCUCUUUUUUGGUCCAGGGUUGUUGAUGAAGUAUGUUUAACUCAAUAAGAAUUUCUAGUUUUAAUACUAUUUAAUAUUUUUAUUAAGAACCUAGAAUUUUAGAUUUCAUUUAAUCUCUAGGUCAUUUUUCAGUUUCUACAAAAUAUAAGUUAUUGUCUUUAGCUCAUUUAACUGUUAGUUAGAUGGAUGAUGUUGUUGAUGGAUUGUACUAUCUUAAUCAAUUUAAUAUUUUUAUCCAAUUUUUUGGUAUGAUUUUGACCACUAUAAAUAUACAAACUGAUGCGAUGCCAUAUCGAGAAAGAGAAAAAUAGUUUUCUCUUUGUUUUGAUCUUGUUUAAUUUUAUUUUUUGAAGUUUGGGCCUUUUUUAUAAUUUUUUUGGUGUAGGUUUUUUCCCCCUUGUUAUCAUCUGAUUUUUGACUUUGGUAUAAUCAGUCUCCUUCCUCCUACUCCCUUCAUUUCCCUUUUGCAAAUAAUUAAAAAGAACCAAAAAAGAAAAGAAAAUCUGUAAACUACUUAUAUGCUGUAUUAUCGGGAACUUUUAGAGUUCUACAAAACCUCUGAAUUGCCAAGUUAUUUACCUAAGUUUAUAUUUUACAUCUACUCGUUUAUGGAAAGAUCCUACAUGAAUUUCUGUUCUAGAAUUUGUAACCUGAACUAAAGUAGUAUAUGGUAAUGUCAAUGCAUUACUUUCUUAAUUAUUACCUGCUAAGCUAAAUGAGUGUGCUUUGAAUUAUUUUUUUUACUUAUACAGCUGAGAAAACAUUGGUCCGAAGAAAAACAUUUGCCUGGAAUCCCCCCAGAUGACAUUCCAGAUCUGAAGUCAUGUCUUCUGUAUCAACAAUUUCAAGUAAUUAAUUGUUGCAUCUCUCGGAAAAAGCGCCAUAUUAUUGCCACUGAAUCUCUGGACACUAUGGUGAUGGAAGCCAAUUCAAAUGCAUUAGAGUCAGCAAACUACACGGGCAAAAUUCCUACAGGCCCUUUAUUAUAUGCAAGAUUAAGAACUGGAGAGCUUGUUCUCCGACUUGGUGCUGAUUGCCCAUCUGGAGAUUUGACAUUACUGGAGACUGGCGAGCCGGCAUACUCUCCUGUCACCCAGGUUUGAUAGCUAUUUGUAUUAUACAAUUACUUAUUUGAACUUGCUUCAGUGCUUGAUGUGUCAUGUCUGUGGCAAUUUCAUGUAGGAGGGACCCUUGCUUACAGAAGAUCUGAUCAAAGAGACAGAGGAGUUUGUGCUGCGGACAGGGAGGUAUGUAAACUAUUUGAGAUAUAAUUGCUUUUUGUAGUGAGCUUUCCAUGAGAGCUUUUGAAAAAAGGCAGUUAUUUCCCCAAAAUGAAUCUUUUCCUAACAUGCACUUAUCGGUGAUGUCCAAUUUGAUCUUUUUUUUGCCCCUCUUCAAUUUCUAGAUUUUGAGCUGAUGGACUAGUUGUAUAUUCACUAAAUUUUAUUUUUGCAAUAUAUUGAUGACUAUGUAUUUGUAUCUCAUGUGUCUGGUAUGCAAAUGACAGCUUCAUUUCACUGCUUAUCUGCAUCUACGAUCUAAUAGGUUCUAGACUUAUAGUUACUAUUGGGUAGGCAUUUCAUGAUAGUUUUCUUUACCUUGUAUGACCAGUGUUGGUGCUGGAUGCUCUCAACUCCUCUCUGAUAUGCAGGCUUUCAAGGUCAGAUUUUCCCUUGAAGAGAACUUUUCUUACUGAUAUUCUUAAUUCUUUUGGAAUGCAUCUAAUGUAGUGAUGCUCUAUCUAAGUUAGUUCUGUUUUGCCUCAUGAUUUAGGCUGCAAAUCCUGGUUGCAUUUUGGAAGAUUUUGUGAGAUGGUACUCUCCUCCUGAUUGGAGUGAAAGUGAGGGAAGUACUGAGGAUAGAGAUUCUUCUUAUGGUGGGGAGUCAAUGUCUACCAGAGGUCAACUAAGUUUGCGAAUGCAAAAAGAAGGUAGGUGUACUAAUCUCUUGCCCAUGGUCAUUGAUUAAUCCAACAAAAUAUUGUGGUCAAUAUCCAUAUUAACUGGUCCUUUGCAUAUGAUAAAACUACAGUUUUAUUUUGGCUUGAAAAGAAUAAUUUAUUCCCUGUAUCUCAUAACCAAUUGUGACAACUUUUGCUAUAUUUUAACAAUGACAAACAUUUAAAUGUUUAUUAACUUGGCUUGUCAAAAAAAAGGUUGUAGUUUGCUGAGGUGUGUGGAAGGAAAGCAUGAGAUCCACAUUAUAUAUGGCAGAAAUUGUUUAAUGCAGGCUAGUGAGGGAAAUUUUGUGCUUUUAAAAACCCUAGUGAAAGAGAGUAUUAAAAGAAAAAAAAAUCUAAUCUUUCUCAUAUAUAAGGAUCUAUAAUUAAGUAUAUGUAUUAUAUAUGAUCACCAGAUACUGUUGAGAAUUUGUGAAUACAACUGACAUGUGGUUAUGUCUCUUUUGAACUCUUCUAUAAUGCUCCUUAUCUAAAUGGUAAAGGAAUUCUAUUUCUCCAUGUUUUCUUCAAGUACUCUAGGGCUAUGAAAUCCUAUUUGUUUUCUCUGGUUCACUAAUUUCUCUUGAACUUCCUUUUGCCUUCAUUGCCUGAUGUAUAAAAAAACUGUUACAUAGUAUUUGUCCCAUUUUUAAAAUUUUAAAAAAGUUGUUUGAUGCUUUUCAUACCCUCAUUGUUAGAUUUAUUUGGAUUGUGACAAUUUUUGUCUGUUAAAGUUCAUUUAUUUUCGUGAAUUAUUUCUUUAACCCUUUGUUUCUUUUCUUGGAUCAUUCCAAAUUAUUUCUCAAAGUUUCUUUGUUUGGAUAUGCUCAAUGAUCUAAAUCAUAUGCAUCGUCAUGUUAUCCAUUUUUUUUUUAUCAGCCCCCAUGUUAUCCAUAAAGUGUACUCUGGCUUAUUUCUAAAUUAUUGUUGAAUCAUGAAUGAUAGAUUGGUUUAUAAACAUUGGAUUUAGUAUAGAAAGCACUUGUUAGAUUGCUUUUGGGCCAUAGCCUAAGGUGUUUGAUGUUUUAUUGACCAUGGGUGGUUAAUCAUUAAUGUGUUCCUGCUGAACUUUUGUGUAAAUUCACUGAAUUGAAGGCUGAGUAUGGUUUAAGUGUGAAAUGGUAGGAUUAGAAUAUUUAUUGAAUUCGUAAUCUCAUCGUCAAUCAAUUGACGUUUGCACUUUGUAUAGGUCUUCAGGUUUUAUAUUCCUAACUUUCUUGGGCAAGCCAUUAAGUUGAAAGUGUAGGCAUGUUUCGUCUCAAUCUUUAUAGCAUUUAAUAAGAUAUAUAAUGCCCGUACUGAAUAUCAUAUAUGGGGUAAAAGCUGUCCAGAUAAAUGAAUCUUGACUGUUAUCUCGGUUGAAUUAUGAUGCAUAUUUUGGAAGAAACAUGGGCAUUGUUAUGGCGACUUGCCACAUUAUGUCUUUUUGAUAUCAUAUAAGGGAACUUUGCUGAAUUCUCCAUUACAUAUUGGUAGGUAAUUUGUGGCGUGAAUUGUGGGAAACAUCUAAACCAGUUCCAGCUGUUAAACAGGCACCUCUCUAUGAUGAGGAUUUGGCAGUGUAAGUGUAAAUAACCAUUUUUGUGAACUGGGAUUUUACCCUUAAAGCCAUCUCUCUUGAAUGGCAUUUUACAUUUAUUUGCAGGGAGGACAUUCUAGAUGCAUUUGAGGACAUCCAGCCUUCAGAGCUUUUUGGACAGCUGUUUGUUUCUCUUGUAAGUUCUUUCUCACCCUCUCUUCUUUUUAUCUCACAUAGGUUGCUUUGGUUUUCAGCCACUAAUGCUCUUAUUCUGUGACAAAAAUACCCACCAUAACUUGUAUUUGCCAUCAAUAUUAUUUUUUGAAAAAUUUCCAAUGCAUAACACAUUUGUUAUUAUAAAUACAAAAAUAGUCUAUUUUGUCGGUUUAAAAAGGAAAAAAGAAAAACAAGCAAAGCAUACCUUUGAAACAUACAUAUCUGCCUAAAAUAUAAUAUGCAUGUAAAGGAUGAAAAGGAGUAUUCCACUAUUCCUCUUAUUGUAUUGAUAUGCUGUGGAUGUUAUCUCACAUAAGAAUAAUACCAUCGGACCUUCCGUCAAUCGAAGAAGAUAUAGUCUCCACUGGAGUUAAUUUACUGUUGAUUAUUCGAUGUUAAAUGGACAAACAUUUAAUAGAACAUGGUUGCUGAUUAAAGUAAGAAUCGCUUCUUAUCAUGAACUUGUAUGUGCCCAUUUGAGUUGUAUGAAGAUUAAACCAUUUCCUCUUAUCUUUAUAAUCAAUUUCUGUUAUAAUUAUAAUUGCUCUUAACUUUUAAUCAUUUGAUUUUUUUUAAAAAAGAUUAUGUAGUAUGUUAGCUAAUUGAUUAACCGAGAAAUUAUUUAUGAUCUUACAAUUAUUUAUAGUUUAUUGAGAGAAUUUCAGCUCGAGUUUGUGACUAGAUUUCAAUGGUAGAUGACUGAAUAAUAAUUGAUCAAUGAUUGUACCAUUCUCACUCCUUUCUAAUCAUAAUUUCUGGUCUUAAAUAUACAGCUCAGUUUUGGAUUUGCAAUUGCUGAAACUAUGCUGUAUGGCGACCUUGAUCUCUCAAAGUUGUUCAAUGAUUGCAAGGAGUACAUAGUUACCACGUGUCAGAGUGACAGAUUCAAUGAGAAAAUCGAUGAACUUGUUCAGGUGGGUACCAAUACAAUAAAACUAAAGUGACUUUGUGAAGUUAUAUGUAGCUCCUGAUAUCCUUUUGAAACGUCUCUAACAUUGAUUCUCACCUUAAGGAAGAAAUUUUUUACAGUCCUUCUGUAGUACAUACUCCUCCCACUAUAAACUGACACUUGAGUUUGUUUGGUUAAUUUUUUUACUGUUUUAAUUUCUUUUAAAAUAAAAAUAAAGAAAAUUUUCUGAAGUUAGAAAAUUGGUACUUGGGAGUGCUGAAAAUUUGCUCCUUAAUUAAAUGGUCAAAAUUUAACCAGUGGAGUCAACUGCAGUAUUAUUGCUUCAUCCAUCUAUUUGAAGAAGCCAUUAACUAUAUAAAGGAAGGGAAACACAACUGAUCAAAUUUUGUGACACUUUGUACCUUUUACUUUAAUCAAUCCUACCUUCUGGGAAUAUUUAAUUUGCCCCUUUUAGUGUUUGAAUUCAUUCUGCUACUUAAAUUAACGCAGCCUGUGCCCGCACGAGGAUGAAAAAAAUAGUUACUUUGGAAUGUAGACAGACUAUAAUUAUAAUUAGUGGUGGGGUCUUGAUAGUUUCAUUUGCAACUAUUUAAUAAUUACUUCUAUCCAAGAAAAAAAUAAUGGUCAUGUCUCUUUGUAGAUGUAUGAAACAGUGGAGAAAAUGUUGCUGAAUCCAGAUGAGGCAUUGAAGAUGAAGCACAUGGAAGAAUCAACUAUGACUACUGAUGAAUCAAAGCGCCGGUUUUCUACUGGUGAGCCAAAGCACCGGUUUAAGAGACUUAGCCAUAUCUUUGGUGGCAAGGAUAAACUGUUGACAAGGCCGGUCUGUAAAAACGAGGUAAACGAUGAAGAAACGCAGAUUCGACAUUCUUUCUCGAGUUUCUUUGACAGCAAGUCAUCUUUAUUUUCAAAGAAGCCACCUAAGCCUGGAAACCUAUACCCUGCUGAGCAACCUCUCUCUCUGGAAAGUGACAGGACAGUUAUUUAGACAAGUUCAGUUUCACCCCAUUUAGGAUAAGCAACAUACUUUUUUUUUUCUCCCCCUUUUCUGCAUCCAGAUAACUGUAAAUUGAUUCCUUUAUUCUUUUUUCAAGUCUUAAUUUGUGAAUAGAAAAUUUUAAUGUAUUAUGAAAUACCCCAAUUAUUCCUACAAUCCAUUUUCUUGUUUAGCUUUGCUUGUUGGGGAGGGCUUGUACAAGGAUGAUCAAUCAAAAUAAUAAUAUAUAGUGUUCUUCAUUGCUGCUUUUGCAUCAUGGUCAUAUUCUCAAGGUGUAAUACUUGCUUUCGUUUUCUAUGGUAAACAUUGGUUCAAAAGUGUUUUUUCUUCCUUUUUAGAUAAACUAAUUAUAAUUAUUGAUAAGAUCUAAUAAUCAACUCCUUGUGUCUACGAUAAUCAAGAUAAGAUGACCAAUCACUUCCCUUUAUUAAUAAACAAUCCUAAAGAAGCUUUUAUGAUUUAGCUAAUUAAUAAUGUCAAAUAGCUCUGUCAAAAUGGGUCACUUUAACCCACAAGGGUUGACUUACCAUGGGUUGAACUAGUCCGACUCACCUUUAAGUUUUGGUGAGUUAUGAAAAUACCAAUUCAGUUUGAGUCCGAUUCUAGUCUAUCAUAGGUUAAUGAAUUGACUCAUUAAAUUGUCAAAAAUAAAAAUAAAGUAAAAAAGAUUAAAAAAAUUAGUCUUCUGUUUUUUUUUUUUUUAAAAUAAGUGACAUUUUUUUCAUCAAAAACAUUCAAAUGAUUGAAAUACAAAUAUAAUUAACAGACAAAUGUUUUAAAAAAUCAUUCAAGCCUCUAAUAUUAUCAUUAAAGCAUUUAUUCAAAUGUUUCAAAUACAUAAAUAUCAUUCAAAAAUCUUAAAAGAGUAUCAUAGUCUUAAAAUAAAAUAAAAUCAUCCAAAUAUUAGUCACACUUGAACAACAUUAAAGUUUUAAAAUUAAAAAUACCUAAGAAAACAUGUGGUAGAAAGAUAUGUAAAUAAAAAGUAAUAAAUUAUGAAUAAAAUGCAAUGCAUUACAUGUGGCAUGCAUGGUUUGAAUUUUUUAAGGAUAAAUAUGAAUUUAGUGCUCCAAAUAUUUACCAAAUUGAUUUUAUUCCUGCAAAAAUAAUUUUAUUAUAUUUGUUUCAUGAAAUUUUCAAAAUUCUCCUUUUAAUUAUUUUAUUUAACUUUGCAAAAAAACUUUUGUUAAAAGUUUACAGCAAUAGCUGUUCGAACAUUAACAUUUUCAUUUCCAACAUGGCAACAUCAGCUAGCAUUAAGUGUACGUGCCAUGUAAAAAAUAAAUAAAAAAGUAUAUUAUAACACUAUUAUUCUCUAACAAUUACAAACAAUUCCGUAAAAAAAAACGAUCGAGUACAAACAAUUAAACUUACAUAUUACCUCUAUUAUUGGUGAAACUUGAUUAUGAGAACAAAAAUUAGUAGGUGCAUUGAUGGUAGCAAUUUGAAUCUUAUCCACAUUGUCUACAGCUGCUGGAUAUAACUUACAUUUAAUAGAAAUUUUUUAAUGAAGUUAAAUAAAAGACUUAACCGGAGAAUUUUGAAAAUUUUAGAGAACAAAUUUAAUAAAAUUAUUUUUUAGGAAUAAAUCCAAUGAGUUAAUAUUAAAUAUAUUAUUUUAUAUUAUUAUUUAAUUAUAAAUUAUUAUAUAUAAUAAAAUUAUUAAUUUUAUAAUAAUUUAAAAGUAUAUCAAUUUAUAAUAAAUUGUGAUUGAAUAAUGUAAAUCUAUUACAGUGAAUGCAUCACCAAUGCUAAUAUUUUUGUCAGCUAGAAACCGUAGCUAUCGGUCAAUGACUUUUACCUACGAAUCCAAAUGAAGCAUACACCUUAAAUUACAAUUAAGGAUAUAUGCCUUUCUUAAUGGAUGAAUACCUACAGUUUUUUAGCUUUUAAGCUUUUAGUGACAGUUUUUAAUUGUCAGUGCAAUUAAGUCAAAUUUCUUAGUGAUAUUUUUCUUAAGUGAAAUAUAUGAUUCUUAUAAUAUUUAUAGUUAAAUAUUAUAACUGAUCCUUAAAGUACAAUAUAAUAAGCACGAAUUUAAAGAAUCAUAAGAAUUAAAAAAAAAACAUUUUCUAAAAGUAAAGUGUGUCAGGUAAAAGAAGAAAUAUAAGCCGUCAAUUAUACAAUUUGAAUCAAUAUAAGCUGUUUAUAAGCAACAAAAAUUUCUUAUUUUUUUUCUCAAAUAUGAAUAAAAUUUUAAUUAACAAAGUCUUAUUUAAUAAAAUUAUUCUCAAAAUACCUUUCAUUUAAUAAAUAUCAAAUAUUUUUUUAUAUUUCAUGUCAAGUUUUAAUAAGAGAUCAUUUAGGGAAAAAAAGAUCUUUUUAAAUUGGGAAUAACAUAGUUUAACCAGGUUAACUAAUUUUUUUAAUAAGUAUGAAAUAUUUUUUUUUUUUAUAUUUGAGACUGAAAUCAAGUCAUGACCCAUCUCACAAAUUUUUGCUCAUGUAAGUUUAGUUUUCAAAAUUAUGCAUAGUCAAAAUAUUAGACAUUUAUUUUCGUUUAUAAUUUACCCAUUUAUUGCUGUUAGUACUCUUUUAUACUUAAUGGCAAAAAAAAUAAAGGAUAAUGUUGUCUAACAUUUUUUUUAUGUAUACAUUUAUAGAGAAAAAGUAUUACACUCAAGAGAGUAGAUUUUUUACAAUUAUUUGAUCAUAAUUUAACUUUAACGUGGAUAAUAAGUUUGUUGACUUUUAAAAUAAUUAUUUUAAAGUAAUUUAAAUAUUUCUUUUAUUAAACGAGACUGUACAACUAUUUUAUAUUAUCCAAUCAUAAUCUAGUAUGUAUGAUAAGUUUGUUGACUUUUAAAAUAAUUAUUUUAAAGUAAUUUAAACAUUAAUUUUUUAUUAAAUAACAUUGUACAACUAUUUUACAUUAUCAAUACACAAACACUAAAUCCAUAUUUAAAAAUUUUUCUAUCUUCUUUUUAUAAGUCAAAUUAAAUGAACUCUUAUUUAAAGUGAACUCCUAAAGGCCCUGAUUAUACAAAUAGCUCAAAGGAAUAAAAAUAGAAAAAAAAAUUGUGUAAAAAACAAGACCAACAUCUAAUCUAUUUUUUUUAUCAUCAAUGAUCUGAAUUAAUUCAGUAGACUCCUCUCUAAACAAAACACAGUGAAAUUGUCCUACUAAUAUGGUUUACAAAAGAAUAAUAAUAUAUGAAUCUCUCUUUAUUUUAACAUCUCGUUAAUUUUUUUUUCUUAUCACGUCAUAAUUCUUAUCGAUCAUUUUUAUAUAUAUAUAUUUUUCUUUCUCCGUAGUUGUUAUGUAACAUAUUGAUCAGUGUGAAUAAAAUAUUUCCCUUUACAAAAUCGGUUGUCAGAAUGUAUUUAUGAAGCUCCACUUAUUUUAAUUUCUUCCCUUUCAUUUUACAAGUUGACUUUAGAAACUCAAACCCCAUCAAUCCUCUUUUUUCUUUUUUUAAGUUUCUUAAACUUGAAUAUACUACUAUCAUUUUUCUCUGCAUACGAGUCAAACAACAACACUUUAAUUAAUAAUCAUUUUUCCUACUCUAUGAGCAAAACAAGAUAAAAAUCACAUUGAAAAACUAAAGAGACAUUCCAAACAUCCAAAUAAAGGCCAUCUUAAAUUUUUUCCCUCAAAAUGUUAUUCUUUUAAAGGUUGCCACAAAAUUAAAAGCCACGCUCUUUCUGGUAAAAAAGUAAAUCCUGAGUUCGGUCCAUGAUCUCAUAUAACCCCAACAACAUUUUUUUAGUUGAGACUUGAGAGGCCCGUUCAAAAUUUGCGCUACAGUUAUGUGAAUCACAAAAAACUCAGACUUCAAGCAUCAAUUCACACGAAGUCACUAGAAACCCAUGAAUAUAUAUAUAAUUGUAUUAUUAUAUAUGUAUUCAUAUUUAUUUGUCAGAGUUGUAUUGAAUAUAAAGAAUAUUGCAACUCAAAAGCUGCAUGUUGCAAGGUCAGGCCCAUGCAAAAACAGAUCAAAAGAGGAGUCUGAGCAACGUGAAUGAGAAAGAAGAUAAACGAAUAGUGGGACCCUAGAGAUAUAUGAGUGGUUGAGGUGUUUCUCUUUUGUCAAAUAGAGGCAGUUGGAAGCAUUUAUGUACCCCAACGCGUUUGCAUGGUUAAGAAGAUGAUCCAAUUUAAAGCAUAUGUUCGUAUACAUCAUAAUAAUUUAGUAGCUCUUAGUUGUUUUAACCCUUACGUACCCUUUGCCCUUUGCCUAGCUAUAUAAACCCUACUUUCCUUCUCUUAGUCUUCAUCAAUAACCAUCUUGUCCAAGUUAAUUACUUGGUUUUUCUACCACAAGAUGGCUUCUAGGUUUCUUCUUCUUGCUCUUCUUGGUGCCCUUGUUUGCACCGUUAUUGAUGCUAGGAAGCUUGGGAGUGAGAAGGGUUCGUUUAGGGAUGAGAAGAACUUCUUUCAUCGUCCAGGGUUUGGAGGAGGAGGUGGAGGCGGUUUUGGCGGUGGCGGAGGAGGAGGGUUGGGUGGAGGUGCAGGAGGAGGGUUGGGUGGUGGUGCAGGAGGAGGGUUUGGUGCUGGUGCUGGUGCCGGUGCCGGUGCCGGUGCCGGUGGUGGAGCCGGAGGAGGGUUUGGAGGAGGCGGUGGUGGAGGAUUUGGCAGCGGAGGUGGAGUUGGUGGAGGAUCAGGGUUUGGAGGAGGAGCCGGGUUUGGUGGUGGUGCCGGUGCUGGUGGCGGACUUGGAGGAGGUGGUGGUGGAGGGUUUGGAGGCGGCGGUGGCGGUGGACUCGGCGGUGGUGCCGGUGGAGGAUUUGGUGGUGGAGCUGGAGCUGGAGCUGGAGCUGGAGCUGGUGGUGGAUUUCCAUGAAAACAUUAAUAUUGUUGCACUCUCCAUAUAAAGAGGACAUUCUAGAUAAGCAGCUAUUCUUUGUGUUUAGCAUUAAUAACAUGUAACUUUCAUAAUGUUCACGUACUUAUUCACUUGUUUGUUUCAAGCAUUUAUGUUUCAAGUGAAAAUAAUUAAUUCUUAAAUUGAAUGUUAUUAACUCUUGUUUAGCGUUAUUAGUUUUCCUUCUCCUCACUCUUCUCUAACUACACCCUUUUACUUCUAUUUCCUAAAUAAAGGAAGGACGUACACACAUUGGUGAAAAUUGCAUGCAUGUACCAAUAUUGGUAAGGGAAAAAUAAAAAGAAAAUUCAUAGAUUCUGUAAAUAUGAUAACAUCUGGUAACCCUUUUAUUUUUGAAUCUGUCCUCAAAUGAAAAAGAGUCACUUGCAACCGUCACAACUUGAAACACAUAAACGGUUCUUGGCUGGAAAUGUUUGGCUACAAUACAUUCUUUGGCAAAAAGCAGGUAGAAAAGAAAUUAAUUAAAGGAUGAAAAGGGAAAAGCUAGGGAAAGGACACAGUUAAAAAACAAACAAACAAACAGAGCAACGAUAAUGUCGUUUCAUGCUUGUAGUACGAAUAAAUAUUGUAACUACAGCUAACAUAGUUGAAUGGACGUUUAUCUUUGACUUAAUUAGCUGCAAACUUUCUACUUCCUGGUCCUAGUUUCAUUAAUGAACAUGUGUCUAUAUUGAAAGAAAAUUAAAAAGUUAUUGGUAACAGAGCUACUGUCUUAUUCAUAAAAAAAAAUAUUGAAAGAAAUAAUCAAUUAAAUUAUUUAAUAAAGAUUAUUUAUAAAUAAAACUGAUAAAUAUUUCAUAUUAAUGUUAUCAUAAAAAAAUGUAGAAAGAAAAUAAUGAUGUGUUCACUUUUUCACAAGUUAUAUUUCUGUAAUUUAUGUUGAUCAUAAAUUUAACUUUUUAUUACGUAAAUUAUUGAAGUAAAAUUUCAAUUCAUCAGGAAUAAUAUAAAAAAACACAGUUGUUUAUAAGUUUUAUAUGUUUUUCUUAAAAAAGUGAUGAUUAUACACUUAUUAUAUAUGCAUGCAUGUAUACACUUAAGGAGAGAGAAAAUAUAUAAAAGAGAGAAAAGCCAAAAGUAUCACAAAUAAUUUAAGUUAAUAAAAGGAAAACUAGAAAGAAAUAUAGGAUUAAAGAAAAGUACAAAUCUUGUAUACAUGUAUGGAUAUUAUAAAAGUUUAGGGCAAGUUUCUUUUUUUUUUUCUCCCUAGAAUACAAUAAUUUUGUUGACUUGCAUUAAUUUAGUGUAAAUGUGUUGGGAUACCUUUUUUUUACAAAGUUACAAAAUAAUCUAUAAUUGAAAUGUAUCUGCAGUAAGUUAAUUAGUUGAUUUUAUAAUAAUUAUUUUAAAAAGAUACAUUUAUCUAUAAAAAAAUUAUACAAUUUAAUAGUUUGUUGUGCAUGUGAAUAUAUUUAAUCACAAUUUCAAUCACUCAUUAGCACGGAAUCACGGUUAAUUAACUUUCCCUUCGUUUUAAUUAAAAGGAAUCAAAUCAAAGAAUCAACAUCAUGCUCAAUUUGAAAAGUAAAAAAAAAUGUCCAUCUCAUGUUUUUGCCAUGACAUUCCUUCAGGUAAAGGCGAUGGAUGGAAGCAUCAAAAGAUGGUUGUUGGUGUGACAGAAGUCGUUGGCAUCAAAAGAUGGUUGUUGGUGUGACAGAAGUCGUUGGCCAAACAGGAGGAUUGACCAACCAAGAAGAAAUCAUAUAAAAGAUUGUAUAAGAAAAUUAAGAAAAAGAAAUCAUAUAAAACAAUGAUUAAUGAUUGGGAGGAAGCAUUAAAUUAAGGCAACCAAUGCUAGGAGCAUAAUCCAGUACAGAAAAAAAUUGGAAAACUAUUUUUAUUAUUUAUAUAUUAUCAACUAAAAUUUGUAAUUAUACUACUAUAUUAAAUUUUAGUACAUUAAAUAAAUUUUUAUUUUCAAAAUUUAGAUCUUAAAUAUAAACAAUAAAAUUAAAAUUGACCUUAGAAUUUUAUUUGUACCUCUUAUUUAUUUGCUUAACUCAAGCAUAAAAUCUCUAUAUGUAAACUAAUUAUAGUUCUCAUAGAAUUCUUAUGGAAACCAUUUCACUAAUAAAAAAAACUAAAAAAAAAACAAAAUGUUGAUGGUGCGUUCGAGAGAAUGACUACCGAGAAGCAAAAUAAACAAAGGAAAUUGAUGCACAAAACUAGUACUAAUAUUUGUUUUGGUAGCACAUGCAACGUGAAUGAUUGAGUAGCAAAAUGCGAAAGUAUUAACUAUUAAUGUGAAACAAUAUUUAUGGAAACCAUUUAUUCGAAGGCAUCAAAAUCACCUAACCAUCAUAAAUUUUUAGAAUGAACAGUAUAUAUGAUUGGCAAAUCAUUAACUCAGCACCGACUAUGUAGAUACUUCUCUUUCUAAUUGCAAAAUUCAUUGACUAAUUAACAAGCAUCGUGUAUCUCUCUCUCUUUGCGCAGCUUCCCCUUGCUUUUGGCUAACUCUUCAAUGCUUCUUGCGUUAGGUUAAUGAAAAUGUGUUAGGUUAAUGAAAAUGCAUACAAUGUAGUCCUUGAAAGGUAAACAACCAUGCAAUUUUUAUUGCUUUUUAUUUCAUUGAUGUGCUCUCUUGCAGAAUAGCUAGAAAUAAUAACAAAUUCAAUGUUUUUUUUAUACAUUAUAGUAUAACUGAGAAUCAUCCUAAAAUACAAUCAUUGGUAAGUCUCCCAAAGAAGGAAGCCUUAAUGAUUACAGAACAGUGUUAUAGAUAAAUAAUGUCUUUUCUUUAACUUUUAUGUCAACACACUUAUGUGCAGUUUAAUAUAUAUAUAACUUUAUAUUUGUCUGUGUAUAUAACAAUUACAUUUCUUUAUGAAUUAUUCCCCAUCAAGCAACAAGAUAAAUUGAAAGAAUAAUAAAUUUUAGUAAGAAGAAAUAUAAUAGCACAAUAGAUAUGUGAAAAUAUACAUACAUAAUGACACCUGGAUUUCCGCUAAUUAAGAAUGAUAUUUACUUAUUUCACAAGUUACUUUUCUAUCAUUGAUGAAUGAUAAUCAAUUGAGUUCGAUCUUCGAACAAAUAUUUGAAAUAAUAUUUUUAAAUAAUUACUUUGAAAUAAUAUUAACAUUAAAAAUAACAACAUCAACAAUAAAUGUAAUUAAAAUAAAUAUUUGUAAUUUGUAAUUUUCAGUUAAUGAAAAAGAAAGAAAAGUUUAACAAAAGUAAAAGAAAAAUAAAUUGAGAAAAAAGGAAAUGUUGAAUAAAGUGUUUGGUUAAAUGGGAAACAAAAGUCUCAUUUGCUUUACAAUUAAACUCAAUUUUUCACAUGGUGUACAAUGAAAAUGUACAUAAUUCCUAAUAGAACAUUAACUUUUCCCCAAUUUUUUGUUAUCAAGUAUAGAGGUUAGUCAAUUAUAAUUAGAAGUUAUCUUUGUAUCAUAGGUGAAGGAUGAUCAAUUGAGCUAAUUUUUUUGAAAAAGUAUUUGAAAUAAUUUUCAAACAAUUAUCUCAUAAUAAAAAUAAAUAAAUUAAAAUUAUAUUUUAUCCUUUUGUCCCUUAAUGAAGAAGAAAAAAGUUAAUGAGAGUAAAAUUAUCUUAUAACAAUAAUAUUAAUAAUCAAAUAUAAUUAAAAUAAAUAUUAUAUUUUUGUUGUUUUGUCCCUUAAUGAAGAAGGAAGGAAAAAGUCAACCAACGGGAGUAAAAGGGAAAUGUAUUUGGAAAAUACAUUGGAGAAAAAUGAAAUAUAAAAUAAGAUUUUUGAUUAGAUGAAAAAAAUAAAAAUCUCAUUCAUUAAAAAUUAAAACUAAUUUUUGACAGCAUGUUUGCAUUUUAAGGUAAUUCCUUACUAAAGCAGCAAAUUCACACUAACUUUUUUUGUUAAUUUAGAAUAAUUAAAGGUUAGUUAAUUUAGAGGUCAUUUUUCAACCAUUGGUGAAGGAAGAUCAAGUGAUCUAACUAUUUGAAAAAAUCAUUUGAAUUAAUUUUUAAGGAAUUACCUUAUAAUAAUAUACUUAAUAUAAAUAUUAUACGUUGCCAUUUUGUUGCUUAGUGAGAAGAAGGAAAAAAUGUCAUUGAGAGUAAAAUAAAUAAUGUAUUUAGACAAUAAAUUGGAGAAAAAGCUAAUAUUAAUACAUAAUAAGAUUUUUGGUUAGAUGGUAAAUUAAAGUCUCAUUUAUUUUUUAAUUAAAAUCAUUUUUUUUGUGUAAAAAUUUCAAGGAAAUAUAUAAUACAUAUCAUUAAUCAUUAACAAUUAUUACCUGAAAAUUAUAAACAAGUCAAUUACCUUAUAUAUGUGUUGUAUAUUUUGAUUAGAUAUUUUAAAAGGUUAAUUUAGUACUUACAAAAAUAGAUAUUUAAUUUGAUUGAAUAUUUCAAAAGUUUCUUUUGUUCUAAAUUAGAUAUCACGGGUGUCCCCAAUCCAUUAGAUCCAAUACUAAUUUCAUUCGCAAGGCAUGAUUUUCAUUGAUCUAUUUUUUUUGCAUAUGGUAAAAAUUGAACAUGGAUUCUCACACUAAAUAGAUCGUUCUCUUACUUAUGAACACAAUGAGAUUUUAUACUACUAUACCAACCGUAUGAAUUUUUCAAAAAGUUAAUUAAAACAAGUCAAUGACCCUCUUAUAAUUAAUUUGAAAAAAUCUUUUAGAAAUUAAUUUAGUUCUUAUCCAAAAUAAAUAUUUAUUUUGACUUUGACUCACCAUAUCAUUUUGACUUGGUCUCACACUAUUUUUUCUUUAUAAAUAUCUAUUAUUGAAAAAAAUUUCUAAGGCUGGCUUUCUCCCACAUUUUUUGUCUUUGAGCUCAUAUCAAGAAUAAACCUUGUUAUCUGGUUUUGUUCUCCUAACCAUGUUGGGAUAAUCCUUAUCAAAAGUAGAUAUUUAUUUUGAAAUUAACUAUUUUUUCUUUGCAAUUAUCUAUUCUUGAAAAGUUGUUAGACCUAGUUUCUCCCACAUUUUUUUCUUUUUGCCUUUUCUCUGAGUUAUUGAGUUCAUAUAAAAAAUAAAUCUUGCUUUAUAGUUUUGUUCCCCCAACCAUGUUGGGAGGGGCUUGUUAUAUCUUAAAAGACUUGAGCACCAUGUAGAUUAGUCCUUCAGGAUAGUGCUAUCACAUGUCUUAGACUAUUUUUGUUUGUUAUUAUUUUAACUCAUGAAUAAGAAAACGAGUCAUCAUUCAUGAUCAUUUAAGUUUGUGGCUCAUAAUAUUGAUUGAGAUUAUUAUUAUGGACAACUACAACAAUAAUAUAAGUAAGAUCGAUAUGCAUUGCCUCCAAAAUUGAUGAAUCCUUCUAAGAAGCAUUGCAAAUAGCUAGGUAUAGCGUUAUGCUUAGGGGACAAGGUAAUGAUGUGAUUUUUUUCUCUCAUCAUUGUAACAAUUUUAUUUUACUUUUUCUUUUUCAUCUAUUUUUUCCAGUACUUUGUUGUCCAUAUGUUUAUUUCUAUCCUCAUAUAUUUAUCCAUACUUGUAGGAACUUAAUUAUUUAUUAUUAAAUGGGUGAAUAAAUCUAUUUCUAACAACACUAUAUAUAAGCAUAUUAUGGUAAGAAGUCUUCUUAAUUGUGGUCACCUCUAACUUGUCUUAACUACAACCUAUCAAAAUUAGUUGCCAAUGUUUUAUAAAAUGUUAUAUACAAAGCUAUUGGAACUAGAAAGAUUGAGUGAAGUUUUGUAGACUACGUAUAGUCAUCAAGAUAUCAACUCUUAAGGGAUUGAUACCUAACAUAGACUACAGAUAUGCCCGAUAUAGUCCUAUAAAGCUUGACCGGUCUUCACCUUUCAACCUAGAUUUGUGGGGAGUUGAGUUAGGCUAUAAACCCAAAUUCUAAAAAGAUAUCAAAAUCUAUCCUAGAUUUAUUAUUAGGCAACCUGCAUUGCCUUGCUCCAUGCUUCAUACCCAUAGCCUUAGGCAUAGAAAGUGUAUUAAAAAGUUGUUUGGACAUUGGCUCUUAAGAGGUUGAGACCCUACAUUGACUAGAGACAUGACUAAUGUAGUCCUUAUAAAGUUUUGGUAGUCCUAAAUACUCACCUUACAAAUAGGUUUUGCGAGAUUAAAUUAGGUCUUAAGCCUAAAUUUUGAGACAUUGACUCAAGUUUUGUGGCAAAAACUUUACUACUCUAAUAAUUUCUAAGUGUACUCAUAAACUAACUUCUUGGAUUAAAGUGAAAAGUGAAAGGGAUGUAUAAUUUUUGCUAGUCUCUUCCAAUAUGAACAAUCCCUAAGUUUAAACCCUUUUUAACAUAAUUAUAUGUAAAAUUUCAGCAAUUAUGACAUGUGUGGUUAAAUUCAUUAGGUAUUUAAUUGUUUUGGAGGACAAUUUUGCAACAUAAUUGGAAUUUAUUGUGAUGGAUUUGUAUGGUUUAUUGAAAGCAUAUAUCAUGUCUUUGAAGGGAGUAUAAAUAUGAGUCAUGCAUGUUCAAUUUUCCAUAGCUUUUGAAAAUAUUGUUUUGUUUUGCUAACAUCUCAAUGCAAUUUACAAAUAACUUCAGUGUGCAACUCUCCUUUGAAAAACACUUUAUAAUGGACGUAAAGUUGUCAAUGUAAAUCUCCAGGUAUGUCACCCCUAUUUUUUCUCUUAGCUAGCUUCUAUACAUUAAUAAAGUUUGACAUCAUAUCUUAACUUCUAGAGUGAAGUUAUGUUUGUUGAUUUAAGAGAUGGAGACCUCUUAUUUUCUAUUCUUAUUUUUUUGUGAUUAAAUUUUAAUAGUUAAAAAAUGUUAAAUUUGUUACUUUUGAUUUGAUGCAACAAUAAUGACAUUGAAGGGAGUAUAAAUAUGAGUCAUGCAUGUUCAAUUUUCCAUAGCUUUUGAAAAUACUGUUUUGUUUUGCUAACAUCUCAAUGCAAUUUACAAAUAACUUAGGGUGUGUUUGAUUUGUAUUUUCAUUUUCUGUUUUCAUUUUCUGAAAAUUGUUUUCAUUUUCAAAAGAUUAGAAUUCUGAAAACAUGUUUGGUUUGACUUCUUGUUUUCUGUUUUCAGGAAAUAAAAACACUGAAAUUUUUUGAUAUAUUGACUUCUUGUCUUUUUUGUAUUUUUAGAUUUGUUUAAAAUUGCAUUCCUUGUUAUCACAUUUUCAUUUUACCCAAAAUGAGGUUCCUGUGUUCAAUUGAAAACACUGGAAAUGAGAUUUUAUUGUUUUCAUUUUCUGGUUGUUUCCUAUUUUCAUUUUCAUUGAAAAUGUUUUCAAAAAUCCAACCAAACACAUUUUCAUCACCAUUUUCUAUUUUCAGUGAAAAUGAAAACAGAAAACAGUCAAACCAAACACCCCCUUAAAUGUGGAACUCUCCUUUGAAAAACACUUUAUAAUGGACGUAAAGUUAUCAUUGUAAAUCUUCAGGUAUGUCACCCCUAUUUUUUCUCUUAGCUAGCUUCUAUACAUUAAUCAAGUUUGACAUCAUCUCCUAACUUCUAGAGUGAAGUUAUAUUUGUUGAUUUAAGAGGUGGAAGCCUCUUUUUUUCUGAUUAAAUUUUAAUAGUUAAAAAAUGUUAAAUUUUUUACUUUUGAUUUCAGACAACAAUAAUGAUAAUGAAGUUCCAAUUACUAGAUUAGCAAUUGAAAUUUCAUGGGUAGAAUAUGUAAGUUCCAUAGUCUUAAGUCAAUUUUCUCGUAUGAACCAUUGAACACGUGAAUUAACUAUAGCGAGAUUGUUUCAACUUAACAAAUGAUAUUGAGUUUGAGUCUUUAGUAUGUAGUUACAUUAAACAGUCAAAUAGAGAUAUUUACUACUCAUAGUGGUCAUACCAUGCACAAAUAGGAUUGCCUCUACUAUAGUAUACUUGUGAUCUAUACAAAAAAAAAAAACUUUGUUUAUGACAAAAGUGGGUCAUUUGGUCCAAAGGGUUACUUGAUACUUUAGCUAGCGCAUGGACUUAAGGUUUGGAGAGUUUAUAUUAGGAAGAAUAAAAGGAGGAAUUGGUAGAAUGUUGAGUCGCUAGAGAGAAAUAUAAAAGAAAAAUAAAAAAUGUUGAUUAAAAAUUAGGUAUGUUAAUCAAAGUUCUAAAAAAUAAGUGAAUAUACAUUAACAUAUAAACAAACACAUAGCCUUCCUAUGCCCAACAUAUUAUAUAUAUAUAUAUAUAUAUAUAUAUAUAUAUAUAUAUAUAUAUAUAUAUAUAUAUAUAUAUAUAUAUAUAUAUAUCAUGUAUAUCCAGAAAGCCAACUAAAAAAAGGAAUUUUACAAAAUAAAUGUAGUAAUGUCGGUUGAAAAUAAAAAAAAAAAACAUAUAGGUAUUUAAGUUUGUAAAAAUAUAUCAAUACAAAAAAAACAUCUCUAUUAAUGUAUAACAAAUUUUGUGUUUUCUUCUAUUAAGUGCUUACCAAAACUUGAUUUUAAAUGUUGGUCAUUGUGAAAGAAAAAAUCCUCAUGCUUCAUAGCCUUUGAAAACACAUAACUAACUAGCUACUUUUAUUUUUAAAAAUCUAUAAACGUAACUCAGAUUUUGAGGUUGUAUUCUUGAAUUUGAUACUUGAAUGUAUCCAAGUCCAACUAUUGAAUUUAUAGUAAGCGGAGAAUUGAGGAGAAUGAUAGAGUUUGAGUGCAUAAUAUAAUGAGUUACAAAAAAAAAUUAGUUCGCCUAAGAGUCACUUUUUAGAUUUUGAUGAUUAAAGUAAUACAUCUAAUAUUAAAUUGAUUUUUUUAUUUUAAUAGUUUUUUGGUUAAAUUUAUUAUUAAAGUAAACAAACUAGAGAACUUUUCUUUGUUUUUUUAAAGCUUUUAUCAUAAUAAGACAUCAUUUAUUAAAAAUAUUGUAAUAAUUUCACUUAUAAAUCUAAAUAUUUUUAUUAAUUUAUUUUUUAAAAAAUUAAAUAUUUGACUCCUUAUCUGAUUUGUAGAUUAGCAUUAUUGAAAGCAAAAAUUAAUUCACAUACCAAAUUUUGCUUUGUCUAACUUUGUAAAUUUCUCUCUAUCUCUCUCUAUCUAUGUAUUCCUAAAAUUAAAUUUAUGUUGAAUGCAUAUCUAAGAAGGAUUUUUUAAGAAAGAAUUUGAGUCAUUUAAAGUUUAGCAAGUUCAUAUUUAAUAGAAAAAAGGAUGUUAACUAUUGAAAGAAAAGGAAGUAAUUUAAUAACUUAAUUUACUAUAUAUAUAUAUAUAUAUAUAUAUAUAGUAAUAUCAUGUUGUAUAAUACUAAAAAAUUACUUAUUUAUUUUUCUAAGAUCACGAAAGAAAUUUUCUUUUUACUAUAUAUUGGGAUUGAUGGUUAAAAGUAAAUAGAGGUUAAAAUAGGCGAGAUUUUUGCAGGGCAGAGUUUGCCUUAAGUUAUAAAAGCAUAGCAUAUUUUACUUAUCAUAUGCCUUUUUUAAAUGACUAGUAAUUAAAAUAAAACGUUCACAUAGUGUAUUCAUUUGAAGGUAAUUACUAAAAAAAUAUAUUUUUGUCAUUUUUUAUUAAUUAAGAUAAAAUUUAGUUAAAUUAGAAGAUAUGUUUCUAUCGAUGGUGAAAGAUGGUCAAGGGAGUUGACUUUUUUUUUAAAAAAAAAAUUGUGAAGGAUAUUUUUUUAAAAUUAUUAAAAAAUUGCCUUAUAAUAAUAAUAUUUAUUCCUUUCAUUAAAUUUAAUUAAUAUAAUAUUAAAAAAUUAGUUUUGUCCUUUAAUGAAGAAAAAUGUCGAUAAAAGUUAAAGAAGAAUGGAUUUGAAAAAUAAAUUGGGAAAAAAGAAAAUAUAGAAGAAGUUGUUUGAUUAAGUUGGAAUUACUAAAGUCCCAUUUAUUUUACAAUUAAAGUUCAUUUUUUAUAUAAAAAAUUGAUAGUGAAAUUGUUAUUAUCAGCAAAAAUUGUUGUGUUGUUCAAACUUAUACCAAAGUAUUAUGAUUUAUUUGAUUUGGAAUUUCAUGUGUAAUUUGAAUGUUAAAAAUAUUUUUUAGUUUCUAGUUUGUGUAAAGUUAUGAUAUUAUGCUUCUUUAAUAUUAUUUUAUGUAUUAUUAAAUUGUUAUAUAUUAAUAUACUAAGACUAAUUACACAUAAUAGUUUAAUGACCAUUGAACCUUAAAUUAAUGUCUAGAGUAAUUCAAUAACUGGUCCAAUUUAAAAAAAUAUUUUAAUUGUAAAAUAAGUAUAAUACUUUAGUGUCCAUUUAAUCAAAUAGCAUGUUCUAUAUUUCCUUUUCUCCUGUAAUUUAUUUUUCAAAUUCAUUCUUCUUUUACUUUUGUAUAAUUUUUUCUUCAUUAAAGGACAACUAAAAAAGUAUGAUAAUCAUAUUAAUUACAUUUAAUAAUACUAAUACUACUACUAGUCUACUAAUUAUUAUUAUUAUUAUUAUAUGGCAAUUGUUUAAUAUUUAAUUUCAAAUACCUUUUUUAAAAAGAAAAAAAAACUCUUGACAAAAAAAUUCUUUUUUGAAAAGUCAUUCUCCUUUGACCCUUCUUCGUCAAUGAUAGGAAAGAUAUAUUCUGAACUAACUAAUAUUUAUAUCCUUAAUUAAUAAAAAAUAUAAUAAAGAUGAUACUUUAACUAAUAAUUUCAUUGGUAUGAAUACACUAUAUGAAAAAUUAAAUUUAAUUGUUAAACAAACGAGACUUUAACUUUUAUAUAACCAAACACCUCAUUUCAUUUUUUUCUCGUUUCUUUCAAAUUCAUUGUUUUUAACUCUUUGUUGAGUCACUUAGACCACUCUCUCCAAUAGUAAAAGUGAAAUCAUUUCCAUGAUCUUAGAAAUAAAAAUUAAGUAGUUAUUCUUUAGUGUUAUAAAACAACAUGAUAUUAUAAUAUAUAUAUAUAUAUAUAUAUAUAUAUAUAUAUAUAUAUAUAUAUAUAUAUAUAAUAGUAGAGUUAUUAAAUUAUCUUCUUUUCUUUGCAAUAGUUAAAAUUUUCUUUAUUCUUUUAAAAAAUAACCCCACAUAUUAAAAAAACUCGAUUCUUUCUUGAGAAAUAAUAUAAAAAAUUCAUCUUAGAUGUACAUUUAACAUUAAAUUUAGGAAUACAUCUACAUAUAAAAAUUUACAAAUUUAGACAAAGUAAAAUAUAGUAUGUCAAUUAAUCUUUGUUUUUAAUAAUACUAAUUUAGAAAACAGAUAAGCAAUUAAUUAUUUUUUUUUAAAAUAAAUUAAUGAAAAUAUUUAUAUUUAUAAGUGAAACUAUUACAAUAUUUUUGAUAAAUGUUAGCUAAUUUGAUAAAAGCUGAAAAAAGAAACAGGCAAAAAAAGUACCUCUAGUUUAAUAAAGCAAAAUUGUUACUUUAAUAGUAAAUUUAACACAAAAAAAAGCAUUAGAAGAGAAAAUAAAUUUAAUAUUAAAUGUGUUACUUUAAUCUCCAAAACCUACUAAGUGACUCUUAAGCCAACCAAAUUUUGUGUAUCUCAUUACUAUGCACUUAAAUUCCAUCAUUCUCCUUAAUUCUUCACCUACUAUGGUUAGAAAUAGUCAUAUGGACACAUUCAAAUGUCAUAUUUAAGAAUCCAACUUAAAAAAUUUGAGUCAUUUUUAUAGUCUUUAAGGAAAAAACGUAGCUAGUUGUGUGUAUCACCACAUAUUUAUAUUUACAAUCAUAUUUAUGGCCCAUUGAUUUGUACAAAUUUUGUUUUCAGGUGAUCGAUGAUGAAUGUAUAUAUAACCAACUAUACCUAUUCAAAUAAUUAAUGUUUGCACUUUUUUUAGAGGAUGUUUGCACUUGUUAGUUUCUAACUUUUAGCAAUUGUUCAACUAUAUGCAAUGACAUACAGUUACAAAAGUCACAAUUUUCUUGUUAUUAAUUUACCCUAUAAUUUUUCUCAUAAAUGAAGUUCCUAGUAAUGUUUUCAUUUUAAGUUUCCUUUUUUUUUUCUUUUCAGAAUAAUUUUAACCAUCUGUGAAAAUUUUAGUUUUAUUGAAAAUUUACAUAUAUAAUUAAUAUGAUUUUUACAAAAAAUGGUCAACAUUGGAUCUAUUGUCUUCAAAGUGCUUAAAAGAAUGGACCAAAAUUGUAUCCAUGAGACUCCAAACUAAAAGGCUUGCAAUUCUCUUCAACUUAGGUGAUUACUGGUUAGACUUUUACAAUGAGGGUUUACUUGAAAAUAAGAGAAUAAAAAAGUGACGAUAAUUAAGAAUUGGUAAAAGCAUUUGUAGAAUGAGUCAUUGAUCAUUAAAAGAUUGAUAAAGACUAGAGAAUGUUAUUUCUUUCAGAAUUUGAGUAUAACCACAAAGACAUCUUUAUAGAAUAAAAUGAUUGACAUCUUGGAAUUAAAAACAAUAUCUAUAUCAUAGUCCUAUUAGAAAAAUGUUGCAUUGUUACAAUGAUUUUAGUGUAGUGAAUGGCAGCAUCCACGAGAAAACACUAGCAGAGGAAAUUUUAACAAAAUUAAAAAAAAAUUCUCCUCAUCCAAAGUUACACAGUGACAAAUUGUUUUUCUCCUGAUUCAGAAAUAGAAAACAAAUUUCAAUGAAUUACAGUCUGUGAAAGAGAAAUUCUCAUAACAUGGUGCAAACAUGAUGUAUCUAAGAAGGCACUGAAUCAAAAAGCCAAAUGUCUUACAUCACUACCAUUAAUUCAGAAGUUUUAUCACUUUGCUAAAGAAAUUAAGAUAGGUCCACAUAUUCUGUUUAUUUGGAGACUUGAAGGAACAAUGCUGAAUUCCAAGGCAGUUUUCAUGAUGAAUAUCAACGCUGUUGUUGCUAAAGUACCAAUUCAAGUAGAAGUCCGUGACACUUAAAUCCCAGGGCCUACCAAUUAAAAAACACGUAUAUUAUGAGUAAUUUUGAAAAGGAGCUUGCAGAAUAAACAAACAAAAAAAAAUGCAUAUACUCCAAAUUAAAGAGAGGGUAUGAGAAGCAAAAGCAUACAAAAUACUUUAGGAACCAAAUAAAACGUAUAUGUUAAAAGCUAAUAUCAUUUUGAAUGAAAAUUUCUUGAAGUGAAGAAAUCGUUUCUUGUUGUUUCUUCAUGGGAGUAAAUUUAUAUAAAAAUGAAUUUUUUAGAAAUAAAAUUUAUAUUUUUUAAAAGAAACUGUUUCUUAAAAAUAAAAAAUAAUAUUGAUAUGAUACAUAAAUAACCUUUAACAUCAAACAAUAUCAUAAUUUAGUGAAAUAAAAAAAAUUAUAAAAAUAAAUUUCUUACAUUGAAGUAAAAUUUUAUAUAAAUUUUUGACAAUAACAUAAUCCUGAAGAUCACAAAAAAUAUUGUGAGAAAAAAAAAACUUAAAAAAUCCACUUAAUAAAAUUUCAUUUAAAGAUAGGAUAAAGAGUUGACAAUUGCAAUAACAUUUAUAUUCAGCAUAAGAAUAACAAAACACUCACUUUGAAAGACGGACUUUUUUCAUUCCCACUAUCAUUCUAUUAUCCAUUGACCACGUUGUCCUCUGUUGAGAUUAAAGCUUUCUUUAAAUUCAUCUGACAUAUCAACACAAUGGAAAACCUUAAGCUUUGGUAACUUGUCAAUACCACGAGGCACCUCUGUCAGUCGGGGAAUAAAUUUUAACUUGAGCUUUUCGAGAGAAGGCAAUGCUCCAUCUUCAAUAACGAUGGAUUUCAAUGGAAACAAAUGUAACAGUAGUAUUUGCUUUAGGUUCGGAAACCCCCUGUUUGGAAACUGCAAAACUUCACCAUCGUAUGCAAUAUGGUGGAUACAAAGGUGCGUCAAAAUUGGUAGAUCUUUAAGUAGUGGCAAUGGAUCAUGUGUCAACUGGGUGAAUGACAAGGACAACGUAACAAGAUUUUGGAGCUUGGCAACCCAGUUUGGGAACU
rnacentral:lncRNA from 1 species